AAUCUAUAUGCAUCUCCGUUCAAAUGUAAAAGCUGCUGGUUAGACAUGACACAAUCAUCAGAUGUGAAUAAUGGUUCAAUAUGUCCUUUAUUGUGAGCCCCACUUACAUAACAUCAGCAUCUACAGAAUCACUUGCAUGUUUGACAAUAAUAUGCGAUGGUGCAGUAAAAGCUCGUUCUGUUCAGGACGAAAGCAUGACAGAUAAUGGCGACAUAACCAAAAUGACUUGAAUCGAUGAGUAAUGACUAUUCGAGCAUUGAAGUGGAAGAGGUCUUUCACAGUCUUGAUUUGAGCUCAGCAGCAACAGCGUCAAUGAACUCUUCAGUGUUCAGGUAAUCGCUUCUUGUAACUCUGAAAACGUUAGAGCACAAUGAGAUAUCAGAUUAUCAAUUAUGAAUUCAGGGUAAUAAUAGAGAAAAAUACAGUAGAGGGAAAGCUGAGCAGCAUAACAUACUUUGAGGAUCCAUGGACAAGGAGUGCAAGGUCCUUGGUCAUCUUCCCAGACUCCACAGUUCCGACGCACGCUUCCUCAAGUUUCUGUGCAAAUUCAAGAAGUCUAGCAUUCUCGUCUAGCUUUGCCCUGCAGUGUGGACAUGGGAGAAUCAGCUAAAAAGCAAAGUCCACUAGAGUAAUAAUUAUAGGCACCAAUGUACUUGUCUUAAUUACUAUUUUGGUCACACCGGAAAAAGGUAUGCUGAACAAAGAGGAAAUUACCCUCUAUACAUGGUUAUCACAAAGGGUUGCACACUUGCACCGGUAGAGAUAUAGAAGUACUAGGUGUACCUGUGUGCAAGUCCUCUUGUCCAAGCAAAGAUUGAAGCAAUGCUGUUUGUGCUGGUUUCACCACCUUUCUGGUGAACACGGAAAUGGCGGGUAACUGUGCCAUGGGCAGCUUCAGCUUCGAUGGUUUUACCAUCAGGGCACAUCUAUAAAUAUCAAAAGGAAUUAGCACAACCUAACAAAUAUUCUCAAUAUAUAUGUAGAAGUACUGACAUGGAUAUGACCAAAGUAAAGGCAUUUCACACUAGAGAUAACACCCAAGAUUUAGUCAAGAUUCAAGAACAUUAGUAAGGAGAAAAUACAUACCAAUACUGACGUCAUCAAGCCCAAAGAGCCAAAACCUGCACAUACACUUCAGCAUUGGUUAUUGAGCACGGGACAAAAGAUAAAUUUUCUGAAUAUUUUAUGCAGAGACUCAAAAGUUACAGUGUUGUGACCUUGAGCUAAGAAAUCACUCUGCACAUCUCCGUCAUAGUUCUUGCAAGCCCAAACAUAGCCUCCUUCGCUCUUAAGUGCAUAGGCAACCAUGUCAUCAAUGAGACGAUGUUCAUACCUACCAAAAGCAACUCAUGACAUACUUUGACAAAAGAUUCCAAAAGAGCUCAAAGCAAGAAUGAUUCAAAACGUACCAUAUUCCAGCAGCCUCAUAUUUGGAUUUCCAGCCAGCUUCAUAGAUCUCCUGGAAAAUGUCCUUGAACCUACACAAUAAAAGUAUAUUUAGCCUGAUCUAAUUGUUUCGGAACAGGCCUUAACUAAUACUCCCUCCGUUCCUAAAUAGCAGUCUUUUUAGACAUUCCAAUAGAGACUACAUACAGGGCAAAAUGAGUGAUUCUACACUCUAAGCUAUGUCUAUAUACAUCCGUAUGUAGUCCCUAUUAGAAUCUCUAGAAAGACUUAUAUUUAGGAACGGAGGGAGUAUUUAAGUGUAGCUAUGAACUAUACCUGCCAUCAUAUUUCUUAAGGAUUGUGUUUUUUGUGCUAAGGUACAAUGGCCAUUUCUUCUCAUAAGCGAUUGCCAUAGAAGCUUCAGCAAAACCUCGAAUUGACUGUACACAAUAAUUAAUUAAUUAGAUGUCAGGAUUUUACUCCAAAAUGCAAAUAUUGUUUGUAAUUGCAGAAAUUGCAGAAACCAAUCCAGGCAUAGCAGUACCUCAUCUGUGUUGUACAUAGCCAUGGCGACUCCUCCAGCACCAGUGAAGUUAAAAACCUCAAGGUCAACCGUCUCGUCUUUUCCCUCUGCCAGUAGACCAAAGAAACAAAAAGGCAAAGAAUAUCAGUGUUUGCUAGCACCAGUUCUCUGAACAAACAAUACAAUCAUACGUGAAAAUAUAGAACUACAAAGACUUCAUUCUUUCAUACUUAAUUUUAAGUGGAGUGAUUAUGCAACCGUACCGAACACUAGUCUGAGUUUGCCAGGUCCCUUGAGAACUGCAUCAGUUGCUCUGUACUGAUCACCGAAAGCAUGCCUUCCAAUGCAGAUGGGCUUAGUCCAUCCUGAUUACACCAAAGAAACAGUUUAGCAAGGAAAUUUUGCAUUUCAUAAUGUGUUCACGUUAGAAAAAAAGUAUGCACUCCCUCCGAUCCAUAUUAUUUGUCACUGCUUUAGUAGUACGAAGUUGUACGAAAGCAGGGCAGGUAAUAUGAAUCGGAGGGAGUAGUAGUUUUAAUCCUCCUUACCUGGAACAAGCUUUGGGACAUUCUUGCAUAUAAUUGGCUCUCUGAACACGGUGCCUGCAGGUAACAAGUGUAAAGAGAAAUGUCAACAACCUAACUACGUCCAUUUUUUUAGCGAAAACCUAAUAUGUCCAUUAUAUUGAAAUACAGCAGGAGCUUACCGUUUAUAAUGUUCCUAAUUGUGCCAUUUGGGCUCCUCCACAUUUGUUUUAGGUUGAACUCCUUAACCCGAUCUUCAUCUGCCAUGGUGAAGUAACCAGAUAUUAGAGAGAAAAUAUCAUCAAAUAGUGCUAGUGCUUCAACAAUACGAAGAACAAAUAAUUGAGCUGCAUAAGCUUGAGUGAAAUAUACCUGGAGUAAUAGUUGCACAUUUAAUAGCCACAUUGUACCUGAAAAUAACAUUGGAUUAGAACAGCACUAUAGGACAACAAAGUCAUAAGAAUAUGCUAAAGUUAUAUAUGGUCAAAUACUUCUGACAAAACUAGCUAGUUUCAAAGAUAUGAAAAUGAUACAACUAAUCAACAAGAUUAGUGAAAAGAUAUCUCCCUUGCUGUUAAUAAUAUUUGAAUAAUUAAGAACAUCAAUCAUAGUACUCAAAAUUCGUAGGGAAAUAUACAGCAACAGAACUACUAAUGAUUAAAAAACAGGACAAACAAAUUGCAGGCUACAUAAAUUUCUUGAAAUGGUGUGGUCACAGCAGUCAUAUUUUUACUUGAACCCAAGCAUAAUAUCAGCACAAACUCAAAUUAUUCAAAACUCCUUACUUGAGAGUAGCCUCUGCAGCCUCCACUGUAACCUUGUCAUCAGUUGCAUCGCGGUGUAGAACUCCCAAGUCAAAGUACUUAAUGUCCAAGUCCAAAAAUGGGAAGAUAAGCUGAAACAAACGAAAAAUCAGCCUGGCAGCAUAUGGAAAACAAGAACCACACACACACAAUGGCCCAAGCGGACAGAUUUGUCAGAGCUGUUGCUUAUUGAUUACCUUGUCCUUGAUAGACUGCCAGAAUACUCUGGUCAUCUCAUCGCCUAUAGGUUAAAAAACAAGAUAUCAGCAUGACAGUGGACUAACAAAUCAAUUGAUUACAUAAGAUAAAAAAAAUAGAAAUAUUACUAUUAUUUUGUGAACAAAUUUAUUGCUUACACUGAAAGUUCGACAUCAUUUUUUUUUCUAAAAAAGCUAGCUACCCAAUUCAACAUGCGAUGCAGACAUGAAGCACUGGCUACGAUUGGACCCAAAGCGCGAAGCAAUCGUAUCAAAAAACACUUUAAGGUUAUGGUUUCUGAAUAUAGAUUUCAAAAACGAGAUCCAGUAGUUACACGUGAGACAGAACUAUUUCACCAGCAGAGUGCGUCCAACCCUGCACCUUCCCACUGCCAAUAGACAACCAUGAUCGUACCCAAGGUGUCAUGCAUGUGCAAUUAUCUCGCCAUCUACGUUCUAAAUCCGAUCUCUGGCACCACGGCGGCGAUACAACUACGGAGAUAGAUCAGAGACACCUGAGCCCAGCAGUUAUUAGAGAUAAAAACGGGAGCAGAACGACAGCUAGAUCUCUCAGAUCUCGCGGCAUCGGCCCGACCAGAAUACAAAAUUCAGCACAGGCAUCGUUUAUAUCGGCAAGGGAACGGCGGAGAUAGAUCUGCCGGGGGAGUGGGAGUGGGAGUGGGAGGGGGGUCUGACCGUCCAUCUCGACGAUGGGGUUGGCGACCUUGAUCUUCUCGAACGCCAUGGCGGCCGCGGCGGACGCUGAUUGCCUCGGAGGUCGGGAGCGGAUCGGGGCAGGUUGGUGGGGGAGGCGGCGGCUGUGGUGGCACGGGGAGGUGAGAGAACGGAGUGAGUAACUUUGCCAGCGCAUUUAAAGACCAGGCCGGAGGGGGCGAGUGGGGCCCGUCUGCGGUAGGGAUAUUUUAGAAAAACAUUUAAAUCUGCCUCACUCCGGCCGAUAGGAUCGGAUCAGACUGCGCGUGGGGAUGGGGGUGGGGUGUUUGGACUUUGGAUGGUGCGUGCGGGUGUUGGGACUUUGGGACCUCCGUGGCCAAGGAGUUUUUGGCUUGCAAGUGUUUGAAGAGUCCGAGUUUUUUUUAGCACUGCUAUGCACACAACAUUGUGUGCAUGAUGUCAACCUGGUGGAAGAGCUCAUUGAUCAGGAGAAUGGUGAUUGCGAUAGAGUGAAAGUUGAGGCAAAUUUUGUGCCACCUCAUACAGAUGAUCAGGAGAAUGGUGAUUGGGAUAGAGUGAAAAUUGAGGCAAAUUUUGUGCCACCUGAUACAGAGGCGAUAUGUAGAGUUACUGUGGGGCAUAUGCCGGAGGACUUCUCGGCCUAGAAGCAUGAUAAAUUGGGAAAUUUCUCUGUUCGGUCUGCAUACAAAGCUCUAUUGCAGUUGAAGAGACAAAAUGAGAGUGCAUCCACCUCCAUAACUGCUCCUAUUAGUCAUUGGCAGAAGUUGUGGAAAAUCCCAAUGCCGCCUAAAGUUUGUAAUUUCUGAGGGAGGGUUACUCACAAAUUUGUGCCAUGUCGUUCGGGUCUGCAGAAGCGUCAUAUUGAGAAGAUAUCAUUUUGCGAGGAUUGCGGAGUGGAGAAACAUGCAUUGUUCUCUUGUACAUGGGCCAAGGUUUUUGGUCUGAACUAAAGCGUUUCCUUCCGGUCAGAAUUCAUGUUCUUCAUCUAGACUCUUGAGCUAUUGAUAUUGUUAACAACAAGGAAGUUCCAGAAUCACUUGCUGCCAUUAUCUUAGUUGGGUGCUGGACAGUCUGGAUAGAAUGGAACAAUAGGAGACAUGGGGAACGAUGUCGUUCCAUUCAGGCUUUUGUCAAAUGGGGAAUUGAUACUAUUCAUGAUCUUGCUACAUUGGAAGGAGUGAAGAAGCACCGAAUGCCGAGAGAGAAUACGAGCUGGUACCGCCAGAGGAAAGCUUUAUCAAGGUGAAUGUUGAUGCCAGCUAUUUAGGAAACUUGGCUCAUGGAGGCACAGGAGUGGUGAUUCGAAACCACAAUGGUGAGUUAAUCCGAGCUCGGCUAUAUGGUGCCGGUACGCGCAAAAUGCAAGGUUCAUGGAAGCCUUGGCGGUUCGGGAUGGUAUCCAUUUAGCAAUGGAUCUUGGCUUCCGCAAGGUUAUCCUCGAGAAUGAUGCGUAGGAGGUUGUCCGGAUGAUCAAUGUUGCAGCUUUUGAGAGGGCAGAUAUUGCUUCCAUUUGUUAUGAGGUCCAGGAGGUGAGCUCCGGUUUUGAUUCCUUCGUUCUCGUGCAUGUAAACUGGGAAGCAAACAUAGUUGUGCAUAGAUGCGCCAGGCAGGCUAGUGAAGAUCGUAGAAGAUGUUUAUGGGUUAACUAUGUACCCUCUUUUCUUCUAGGUUAAAUUCAACCUCUCUGUAAUUCUCCUGUUUAAGUAGUAAAGCAUGUGUUUCGUAAAAAAAAUGAUUCCUGCACGACACCAUAUAGUAGUCCGUUCAUGCAUGUAUCAAAGUGCGGCAUACGCUUGGUUGACCAUAGUGCAGACAUGCAUUGUCCGCACAACAAUUUUCAUUUUUUACCGUAAUUCGAAGAGUUCGAGUUUCUUCGAUAACAAGUAAAAAAUGCUAACGAUAUUCAAUGAACAUUCGCUAUGUAUGGGUUUGCGAACGUUUUUCACGGUAUUUUAUGUUGCGGGAACAUGGCAAAUUUCUUUAAGCGAACACGGCAAAUUUCAAGCAAAUUCCUUUUGUUUGCAUAAUCGGCCAUGCGUUUUUGAAGAAAUUCUCGUGUGCGUUUGAAGAACUUGCCAUGAAAAACGUUCGCAAAUGCCAUGCUCCCCAAGAAAAAAUAGAGUUUAAUUUUUGUUCUUGUUAUCUUGAGGCUUUAGGUUUGAUGAGUGUGUGGCUCAGUCCAUUUUUAACCGGACCUUAUGUUUCCCUUUUGUCCGACGCAUAGGCUGGACAAGGCCCGGACACAAAAACGUUCUUCAAUCGGUCCCUCGACUUCCAGCCCGAAAGUAUGGGUUGUCCAGCAUUCUUCAAAUCCAGCCCAAAUUUGGGACAAUUUAGGAUCGCUCCUAUGCGUUUAUCAUGUCGAGCUCAUGGUCUGAACCCAUAAAAAAAUCUAGCGGUCUGUCGCACAGCUCAUCAGUUUGCCCACCCGCAUUCAUGGUAUGGUGCAGCAUGUCACCCUUGCCGAGCUCGCCAUCGACCCCACCCUCAUCGCGAAGAACCGUGCCAUCCCUGGGUCCAUCUAGUCCAAGCGUAUGGUGACAACAUACCGCUGCGAGAUUCGCCUAUGUGACGUAAAGCGAGAGCAAGUCUUUACGGUGGACCCCCGACAACAAGGAGAUGCCCGAUAUUCACCUCGCCAUCGACGACCAAGAGGCCCAUAGCUGCGACAAAAGGGUCAUGGAGCUCUUCAACGAGGAGUAGCGGAGUUUGUAGUUUGUUUAAUACUUCAAUUGCAAUUUUGCUUAUGUAUGUAGUUUGUAGUUCCUUUUUAUACCUCCAUGUAUAAACUACGUAAAUCUAUGGUGCAUGUUUUCAUACAGACUGAAGGUUUGGAAAAAACGGAGUGGUUGCCUUGGCGGAUAAAUGUGGAUCGGCCGACUCCUGUCUAAGGACACAUAUACAUAGACAUAUAAUCGUAAAAGGCUUUAGCCUCGCUUUAUAUAUAAAGCAAUACGAUCGAAUUGAUACAAAGUGACGAAGGAACCCUCUUACAAAGCAGAUCAAAGAGAAACAUAAGAACAUGAGUAGCCAGACCCCAACAAGAAGCGCCCAAGACUAAUAACUACAUGAGCAACCACGCCUCUAGAAGAAACCAUCGAACAUCGUGCAACAAACACACUAAGUUGUCACCAGAGAGGGCCAUCUGCCCUCUCGCUUCGGGCCACGGAGCGCCGAUCCUGCGAGUGGGCAACGAGGAUUAACAACGAUGUCAAUGAAGUCAAAAGAUAGGAUGCAACUGAGACCAUCCUGCACCAGAGCCGAAAGGACUUCGAGCUAGGAUCAAAGCUUGCCCGUCGAUGACAACGCGCCAUGACCAGAUAGAACUUGAACUCCACGACGCCUCCCCUAGGAGGGUGACGAUGCAAGGUGACCCCAUCACCAAGACCAAAGGUAUGAUCAAGGAUUUACACUCGCGGGGAGAGGGGCCUCAACGAUGCCACCAACAGGGACAUGACACCCACAAACAUCGUUGCCGACAACGCCAGAGCCCGGAAAGUUGAGCUUUCACCCAAAGGCUCAUCCACACCACAUCAAGGUACCAUGGUCAUCGUGUGCGCGGAUACAUCUGCUACAUCUUGAGCUUGCGUUGGUUUUCCUUGAAGAGGAAAGGGUGAUGCAGCAAUAGUAGCGUAAAUAUUUCCCUUAGUUUUUGAGAACCAAGGUAUCAAUCCAGUAGGAGGCUCUCAAAAGUCCCACACACCUACACAAACAAACAAGAACUCGCAACCAACGCAAUAAAGGGGUUGUCAAUCCCUUCACGGUCACUUGCGAAAGUGAGAUCUGGUAGAGAUAAUAUGAUAAGAUAAAUAUAUUUUUGGUAUUUUAUGAUAUAGAUUGGAAAAGUAAAGAUGCAAAUAAAAGUGGAUUGAAAGCUUAUAUGAUAAAAGAUAGACCCGGGGGCCAUAGGUUUCACUAGUGGCUUCUCUCAAAAUAGCAUAAGUAUUACGGUGGGUGAACAAAUUACUGUUGAGCAAUUGAUAAAAAAGCGAAUAAUUAUGAGAUUAUCUAGGCAUGAUUAUGUAUAUAGGCAUCACGUCCGUGACAAGUAGACCGACUCCUGCCUGCAUCUACUACUAUUACUCCACACAUCGACCGCUAUCCAGCAUGUAUCUAGAGUAUUAAGUUCAUAAAGAACAGAGUAACGCAUUAAGAAAGAUGACAUGAUGUAGAGGGAUAAACUCAUGCAAUAUGAUAUAAACCCCAUCUUUUUAUCCUCGAUGGCAACAAUACAAUACAUGCCUUGCCGCCCCUGCUGUCACUGGAAAAGGACACCGCAAGAUUGAACUCAAAGCUAAGCACUUCUCCCAUUGCAAGAAAGAUCAAUCUAGUAGGCCAAACCAAACUGAUAAUUCGAAGAGGCUUGCAAAGAUAACUUAAUCACACAUAAAAGAAUUCAGAGGAGAUUCAAAUAUUUCUCAUAGAUAAACUUGAUCAUAAACCCACAAUUCAUCGGAUCUCGACAAACACAUCGCAAAAAGAGUUACAUCAAAAAGAUCUCCAAGAAGAUCAAGGAGAACAUGGUAUUGAGAUCCAAUGAGAGAGAAGAAGCCAUCUAGCUAAUAACUAUGGACCCGAAGGUUUGUGGUAAACUACUCACAACUCAUCGGAGAGGCUAUGGUGUUGAUGUAGAAGCCCUCCAUGGUUGAUUCCCCCUCCGGCGGAGCGCCGGCGAAGGCUCCAAGAUGGGAUCUCACGGAUACAGAAGGUUACGAUGGUGGAAAUAUUUUUUCGUGGUCGGCUCUGAUGUUCUCGGGGUACGUGGGUAUAUAUAGGAGGAAGAAGUAGGUAGGUGGACGCCCGAGGAGCCCACGAGAUAGGGGGGCACACCCAGUAGGGGGGCGCGCCCUGUCGUGGGAACGACUCCGACAGUAAGAGAGGGGUAGGAUAACGGAGCAUGAUCUAUCGAGAUACAUAUGGGUGACACGGUGGUUUUACCGAGUUCGGGCCUCUCACGGUGGAGAUAACAACCCUACGUCUCGUGCUCCGGAGAGGCUUUGUUUUAUCUGAGUAUAUAUCCAGAGAUUACAAUGUGUGUGUGAGAGAGAGGAACGGAUCCCCAUGCCUGAGCUAAGUCCUGAGACUAAUGGUGAAGAGAGAGAGAGGUGGAAGAAAAGAACCCCCUAAGUCUAGUGGUGGGGGUGGCUUAUAUAGAGUGCGCCACCCCUCACCUCCUAUGUUACAAAGUGGAGUAUCAAUGCCAUAAUACCUGGCCACUACAAAACCGUCAUGCUGACUAUUGGUCUUCGCAUAUCCGAGUGAGUUACCCGGCCGAGUGGAAUGAGCUCGUCGAGUGGAGUGUCGUGCUCCGACUGGUUGUUGCCGUCCGAGUGACUUUCAAGUUGUGGUACAUCUGGACGGCGAUCUGGCCCAGGGACCCAGUACAAAGUGUACGGUGUCCAUGGGUAGGGUCUUUAGGUCAGGCCUGUUACCCUACCCCCAAUACAUGUCCUCGUCAUUAGCCCCCGAAUCGGUCGAGGUUGAGCGGGUCGAGUCGAGGCGAGUUCCCAGAUAAGUGCCUUGACGGAUUCCAGUCUGCAUGGUGCCCGAGUGAAAUGAGCUCAAACGGGUCCGCGGAGGAGCGUUGAACUCACCUUAUAGCAAUUUUUUGAGUGAUUUGGAGCUGGUCCUGCAUCGAGUAACUGGUUACUCGGAAUUUCUUCAUGCUUGGAACGUUUCUUUUUUUUGUUGUUUGGCCGUCACUCGGACCGGGCGGACCGUUCCGAGUGGAUACCAUUCCAGUGGGGGCACGCUGAGUGCACCCACUGGGUGUAGUCCCCGAGACUAUCGUCGACUGCGGGCAGUCGGCGGGAGUCUUAGAGCCUGUCUUUUUUGUUGUUGUUUGGCCAUCACUCGGACCGGUUGAACCAUUCCGAGUGGAUACCAACAAUCGGCGGGAGUCUUAGAGCCUAUCUUUUUUGUUGUUGUUUGUCACUUGGACUAGUUAGGCCGUACCGAGUGGAGAUUACUCCAGUGGGGGCACGCUGAGUGCACCCACUGGGUGUAGUCCCCGAGACCACCAUCGACCACGGGCAGUCGGUGGGGGUCUGAGAGAACUAAAAAUCUUCUUAGCUGGUACUGAUCGAACUUGUUCUUCUCUGACUCGGAGGUCGAGUGAUUCUGGAGCUGGUUUUGCAUCGAGCAAAAUGUUUCUUUCUGAGUUCUCUUCUAGUGGGGGCACGCUGAGUGCACCCACUGGGUGUAGUCCCCGAGCCUCUGUCGGACUAGAUGAGCCUGGCAGAGGGUUUAAGUCUCCUGGUAAACCUCCACGCAGUCGAUACGGUAAAUAUCUUUUUAGUCUGGAAUUGAGUCAAUCCUGAAAUUGAGUCAAUCGGAUGCAUCUUCAGGCACUUGACGUGGUAAAUAAGCUCAGCCUGGAGCUGAGUCAGUCGGACUGAUCUUUGUGCACUCGGCACAGUAAAUAAAUUCAGCCUGGAACUCGGUCAAGCAGGUGAAUCUUCGUGCUCUCGGCACGGUGAAUGAAUUCGGCUUUGAAGCUGCCGACAGUAGAAAAAAGGCGGACACUCCAGGGAGUAAUCGUUCCAGUAGUACUUCUUAUAUUGACCGUUAGAUUUUGCGUGAAAGGGGUAUUUGCAAGAGUAUAUUGUAUCCAUAGAGGAGCUUCGUUUUCACCCUUUUGCAUGAAAGGGGUAUUUGUGUGAGUGGACGUGCUUCACUUAUAGAUCUUCGGCGAACCGAGCAUGUAUGGUCAGAAGAAUAUUCCUGAUGUGAUCAAUAGGUUGACCAAAUGGGCGUAACCCCUGAGGGUGACAUGGCCAACUAUCGUGCGUAGCCCCCGAGUGAUGCUCGAAGGAGGUAAGCUUGCUACAGAGUGCGAUAUGAGGUUUGACCAUAUGAGUAACUUAGUCGUUCCCGUGCUGGGGGUGUAGAGGUAAAGACAUGUCCAACUGAUGGUGACGCGCGAGGCGGCAGAGGGGCGAUGAUGUGUACAACAAAGUGACGAUGCGCGGGGCGGUCGAGUGGUGAAGACGUGCGCAAUCAAGUGGAGACGCGCAGAGCGGUCGAGUGGUGAUGAAGUGACCAACCGAGUGGUGACGCGCGGGGCAGUCGAGUGGUGAUGAGGUGACCAACUGAGUGGCGACGCCCGGGGCGGCCGAGUGGUNNNNNNNNNNNNNNNNNNNNNNNNNNNNNNNNNNNNNNNNNNNNNNNNNNNNNNNNNNNNNNNNNNNNNNNNNNNNNNNNNNNNNNNNNNNNNNNNNNNNNNNNNNNNNNNNNNNNNNNNNNNNNNNNNNNNNNNNNNNNNNNNNNNNNNNNNNNNNNNNNNNNNNNNNNNNNNNNNNNNNNNNNNNNNNNNNNNNNNNNNNNNNNNNNNNNNNNNNNNNNNNNNNNNNNNNNNNNNNNNNNNNNNNNNNNNNNNNNNNNNNNNNNNNNNNNNNNNNNNNNNNNNNNNNNNNNNNNNNNNNNNNNNNNNNNNNNNNNNNNNNNNNNNNNNNNNNNNNNNNNNNNNNNNNNNNNNNNNNNNNNNNNNNNNNNNNNNNNNNNNNNNNNNNNNNNNNNNNNNNNNNNNNNNNNNNNNNNNNNNNNNNNNNNNNNNNNNNNNNNNNNNNNNNNNNNNNNNNNNNNNNNNNNNNNNNNNNNNNNNNNNNNNNNNNNNNNNNNNNNNNNNNNNNNNNNNNNNNNNNNNNNNNNNNNNNNNNNNNNNNNNNNNNNNNNNNNNNNNNNNNNNNNNNNNNNNNNNNNNNNNNNNNNNNNNNNNNNNNNNNNNNNNNNNNNNNNNNNNNNNNNNNNNNNNNNNNNNNNNNNNGUUAUGAGGUGACCAACCGAUGGUGACGCACGGGGCGGCCGAGUGGUGAUGAGGUGACCAACCGAGUGGCGACGCGCGGGGCGGCCCAGUGGUUAUGAGGUGACCAACCUGAUGACGACGCACGGGGCGGCCGAGUGGUGUUUUUAAACUUAGGCGAGUACUAGACUGCAGCUAAGCCCUCCGAGUGGGAGGGUUGCUCUCCACUCGGUAGAAUUUUCAGACUUAGGCGAGUACUGGACUGCAGCUAAGCCCUCCGAGUGGGAGGGUUGCUCUCCACUCGGUAGGAUUUUCAAACUUAGGCAAGUACUGAACUGCAGCUAAGUCCCCGAGUGGGAGGGUUGCUCUCCACUCGGUAGGAUUUUUUGAAACUUAGGCGAGUACUGGACUGCAGCUAAGCCCCCGAGUGGGAGGGUUGCUCUCCACUCGGCAGGAUUUUUUGAAACUUAGGCGAGUACUGGACUGCAGCUAAGCCCCCGAGUGGGAGGGUUGAUCUCCACUCGGUAGGAUUUUUUGAAACUUAGGCGAGACGGAUUCGUAACUAAGUCACCCACUGGGGGAUUUAGAGCAUAUAAAAAAGAAUAACAACCAUUUAUGAGAUUGUAAAAACUGUGUCGCGGGGUGACCGAGUGGUGAUGAGGUGACCAACCGAUUGGCGACGCGCGGGACGGCCGAGUGGUGAUGAGGUGACCAACCAAGUGGCGACGCGCGGGGCGGCCGAGUGAUGAAGAUGCUUGCCACGGAGUGACGAUGCAGGGGGCGUCCGAGUGAAGUAGAUGCGUCCCACGAAAUGAUGAGGCGCGGGGCAUCCGAGUGAAGUAGACGCGUCCCGCGGAGUGGCGACGCGUGGGGCGUCCGAGUGAAGUAGACGCGUCCCGUGGAGUGGCGACGUGCAGGGCGUCCGAUUGAUGAAAAUGUGUGCAACUAAGCGUUGGCAUGCAGGCGACCGAGUGGCAAUGAUCCCGUUUGGUCCGAGCGAACUAGUCACGUCCGAGUGGUCAUGCCGACCGAAGGGAGUUGUUGCCGAGUGGAUGAUGCCGGAGGGAGAAGCUGUUGAGCAUGGCGGCAUGAUCAACUCCUGGUCCACACACCGUGGCGGGUUUGUGCCUCCAGCGCGGGAAACGCUGUCGUGUGUGGGGACCGAGCCAGCUUCCGGUUGCGGCGGUGUGGUGUUGACUCCAGUGUACAGGCUAUCACAGAGCGCUUGGCACCGGACGAAGGAACUGCCGGGGCAUCGUGCCGGAGACCGUUGGUCGCCGGGAUUCGCCCAUGCUUGCCGCUUCACAUGCCGUUGCGUGCAUUGAUGGAGUUCACCACGUCCAAAACCUGUACACGCAUGCAAAAGACUUAAUUAGCGAUAAUUAAGCAAGAGUUAAGGCUGGUAUUGCAUGCGAUGGAAUUUUUGGUCAUUUAUCUCCUGCAAGCGGUUUAUUGCCACGUCGUGGGAGGUCCACUGCCCAUUCAAGUCCAGCGAUCUGGACCCGGCAAGGCUGGUGGAGAUGACCUGUAGUCAAUUGCCCAUGUCCAGAGUCUGCAUGCAAGAGGUGUUAGUGUUAAUUAGGCACGAGGCUGUUAAUGCAUGCAAGGGAAGUUUCCCUUUCCCACGUCCAUUUAUCCCCUGCAUGCAGGAAAUAAAUGGGAAGGAAUUAAGGUUAGAGGGAGAGUUAAAGGCAGGGCACAGAGCUCCCUGGUCAGCCAUGAUGCACAGCGGCGGCGGCUUUGGCGUGGACCCAGCACGAGGUGAGGCGGCCCGUGAGAAAUCCAAGUGCGGGACGGUGUUGUCCUGCGAGGCCGCGUGCGGGCGGAGCUAUGCUGGGCCUGAGGCUCCCCGCGGAGGUCACCGUCGAGCUGCCGGCCCCAUUGUCACCGCCGAGCUGCCGCGGAGGCGCGGCCGCAUCUGCCGAGGACGAAGCUCUGCUUGCCGGCUCAUGCGCUUCAUCGCUCGGGGAGUCGGCCGGUCGAUUGGGACUACCGAGCCCGCGCAGAAGCUGCGGCCAAGCCACCAAUCGGAAGGAGGAGCGGCGCGCUGCUAGGCGCGGCGAUCCGUCGGGGCGAUGGAGGGAGAUGUCGAAGAGCGGAACCGCCGUGUGUCCGCGUCGCCGUCGUGCAGCUUAUGCUCUGGCUACGUUAGGUCCGCGCGAGAUGACCACCUAAACCGGCGUCCAUUACUCUUUGAUUCUUGUACAUGCUUGAAAUCGAUCGGCAUGACGUCCUAUGAAGAUGCAUCUUUUCUCCUCCUUUUUUGAUGCUUCUGUUACUCGCUGCUGAGAUGAACAGUAUGAACAAUAAGAAUAGAAAAUAAACAUAGAUGAAUAAAAUAAAAAACCAUCUGCAUCGCGGCUCGAUAGACGCCAUGCCCCACGGUGGGAGCCAACUGUCAUGGGAAUGACUCCGACAGUAAGAGAGGGGUAGGAUAACAGAGCAUGAUCUAUCGAGAUGCAUAUGGGUGACACGGUGGUUUUAGCGAGUUCGGGCCUCUCACGGUGGAGAUAACAACCCUACGUCUCGUGCUCCGGAGAGGCUUUGUUUUAUCUGAGUAUAUAUCCAGAGAUUACAAUGUGUGUGUGAGAGAGAGGAACGGAUCCCCAUGCCUGAGCUAAGUCCUGAGACUAAUGGUGAAGAGAGAGAGAGGUGGAAGAAAAGAACCCCCUAAGUCUAGUGGUGGGGGUGGCUUAUAUAGAGUGCGCCACCCCUCACCUCCUAUGUUACAAAGUGGAGUAUCAAUGCCAUAAUACCUGGCCACUACAAAACCGUCAUGCUGACUAUUGGUCUUCGCAUAUCCGAGUGAGUUACCCGGCCGAGUGGAAUGAGCUCGUCGAGUGGAGUGUCGUGCUCCGACUGGUUGUUGUCGUCCGAGUGACUUUCAAGUUGCGGUACGUCUGGACGGCGAUCUGGCCCAGGGACCCAGUACAAAGUGUACGGUGUCCAUGGGUAGGGUCUUUAGGUCAGGCCUGUUACCCCUACCCCAAAUACAUGUCCUCGUCACGCCCCCUCCACCCUUGUGGCUUCCUCGAUUACUUCUUGACUUGCACUCCAAGUCCUCUGGAUCACGUUUGUUCCAAAAAGAUCGCCCUCGAAGGUUUCAUUCCAUUUGGACUCUGUCUGAUAUUCUUUUCUUCAAAACACUGAAAUAGGCAAAAAAAACAGCAAUACGGGCUGGGCCUCCGGUUAGUAGGUUAGUCCCAAAAAUGAUAUAAAAGUGUAAAGUAAAGCCCAUAAACAUCCAAAACGGGUAAUAUAAUAGCAUGGAACAAUAAAAAAAUUAUAGAUACAUUGGAGACGUAUCAAGCAUCCCCAAGCUUAAUUCCUGCUCGUCCUCGGGUAGGUAAAUGAUAAAAACAGAAUUUUUGAUGUGGAAUGCUACCUAGCAUAAUUCUCAAUAUAAUUUUCUUUAUUGUGGCAUGAUUGUUCAGAUCCAAAUGAUUCAAGAUAAAAGCUUAUAAAACAUAAAUAAUAAUAAUACUCGAAGCGUACUAACAAAUAAUCAUGUCUUAUCAAAAUAGCAUAGCCAAAGAAAGCUUAUCCCUACAAAAUCAUAUAGUUAGGCCAUGUUUCAUUUUCAUUACACAAAAUACUCCCAUCAUGCACAACCCCAGUUUCAGCCAAGCAAUUGGUUCAUACUUUUUAACGCGCUUCAGCUUUUUCAACUCUUACGCAAUACAUGAGCGCAAGCCAUGGACAUAGCACUAUAGUGGUAUAUGGUGGUGGUUGUGAGGACAAAAAGGGAGAAGAUAGUAUCACAUCAACUAGCGUAUCAACGGUCUAUGGAGAUGCCCAUCAAUAGAUAUCAAUGUGAGUGAGUAGGGAUUGCCAUGCAACGGAUGCACUAGAGCUAUAAAUGUAUGAAAGCUCAACAAAAGAAACUAAGUGGGUGUGCAUCCAAGUCGCUUGCUCACGAAGACCUAGGGCAUUUUGAGGAAGCCCAUCAUUGGAAUAUACAAGCCAAGUUCUAUAAUGAAAAAAUCCCACUAGUAUAUGAAAAUGAUAACACAAGAGACUCUCUAUCAUGAAGAUCAUGGUGCUAUUUUGAAGCACAAGUGUGGAAAAGAGAUAGUAGCAUUGUCCCUUCUCUCUUUUUCUCUCAUUUUUUAUUUUUUUAUUUAGCCUUUAUCUUUUUUUAUUUGGCAUUUCCCCUUUUUUUAUUUGGUGGGCUCUUUGGCCUCUUUUUUUCUUUCUUUUUUUAAAAGUCUGAAGUCUCAUCCCGACUUGUUGGGGAAUCAUAGUCUUCAUCAUCCUUUCCUCACUUGGGACAAUGCUCUAAUAAUGAAGAUCAUCACACUUUUAUUAAUUUACAACUCGAGAAUUACAACUCAACACUUAGAACAAAAUAUGACUCUAUAUGAAUGUCUCUGGCGGUGUACCGGGAUAUGCAAUGAAUUAAGAGUGACAUGUAUGAAAAUUAUGAUGGUGGCCCUGCCACAAAUACGAUGUCAACUACAUGAUCAUGCAAAGAGCAAUAUGACAAUGAUGGAGUGUGUCAUAAUAACGGAACGGUGGAAAGUUGCAUGGCAAUAUAUCUCAGAAUGGCUAUGGAAAUGCCAUAAUAGGUAGGUAUGGUGGCUGUUUUUUCGAGAGUACGCCAAAGGCGUACCUUAGCUUUAUAGAAGGCAGAGAAUAUUCACAAGAGAUUACAAAGCGAAGGUCGCAACAAACUUGUGCCUAAGCCUCAUCACACUCCACUCUUGAACCUAACGCGAUUACUCAAUAAAUUGUUGAACUCCUAUAGUUCCUGCCAUAGCCCAUAGCUUUAGUUCUUGGAAUAUAAUCUCAGUCAUUCCCCAUUCAUUGAGAAUCCUAGCUCCACCAACACCCUGCCAUUCCUUUGCUUCCAGAGACACCAACAUAUGAGAGCUAUGAGCAUGUCAAAUCCUUUCCGCUUAGACUUGACAACUUGCUUCCUCCCCGUGGCCCACCAAUCCUCCAACCUUGCGUGCUGCGUAGGUAGCAUUGCCAAGUUGAUCCUUGCCCUGGAGAAACACUGGUACCAAACUUGCCUUGCGAACACGCAUUGUAGAAGAAUAUGAUCAACAGUAUCCUCCUCUUGAUCGCACAGGUAGCAAGGAGAAGUCCUAUCUUGUAGCCCAUGCCUGAAUCUCCUGUCCGAAGUCCACAACCUGUAUUGCACUGCUAGCCACAUGUAGAUCUUGCAUGCUAGUGGUGCUUCAUUCUUUCGGAUGGCAGAGGAUAACUGAAAUUUGAUUCCUCCUUCACAUAGCAUCCUAUAUGCCGAAACAACAGAAUAGUCCCCUUGUGUUGUCCAUGCCCAGACUGGUUUAUCCUCAAUGUCAGUUGUGAGGUGCACCUCCAUCAGAACUUCCUACAGAUUAAUGAACUGCGCCAUUCCAUCAGUGUCCAUGUCGCCCACGAUAUCAUUAGUCCAAGCGUGCGAGGCUAAGCCCUCUUGAACAGAUCUCCUGUUGGCUACUUGAGUCCUCACCUUGUUUGCAACCAGAGGGGCGAUUUUCUCAAUCCUAUAUCCUCUGAUCCACCUAUCUUUCCAGAACAACAUCCUUUUCCCAUCUCCUAUCUGCCACUGAACUAGGCUCGCAAACGUCUCCAUGGCUCUCAUGUUCGUUUUCAAUUGCAGUCCCUACCAAGGUCUAGCUGCGUCAGUUCUUCGGAGCCAUUCCCAUCUCAGUCUAAUGGCAAUGCCUUGUUUUUGCAGAUCUAUCACACCUAAACCACCAAGGUAUUUAGGCCGGCAUACUCGUCUCCAAGAAACUACACAUUUGCCUCCCUGGAUAUCCUCUGUGCCUGCCCAAAAAAUGCCCUGCAGCCUCUAUCGAUCCUGUCCAAUGCCCAUUUGGGUGCUUCAGCAACAAUAAGGUGAUGUGUGGCCCGGGCUCUCAUAACCUGAUUCACCAAAAUGAGUCGACCUGGCCUCGUGACCAUCCCUCGCUGCCAACCAGGCAGAAUUUUCAGAGCGGCGUCAACCAUGGGUUGCCACUCCGAACGAGUCAGUUGCUUGAUGCUGAGUUGGAGUCCCAGAUAUUUGCAAGGAAAAUGCCCAAUUUUCCAUGGAAGAGCACUUUGGAUCAGCUCCUCAUCGUCCUCAUCUCCUCUAAUCAGGAUGGCAGAAGAUUUUUGCGAAAUUUACCCUCAGACCAGACGCCUUGCCAAAUAUGCCAAGAAUUUCUUUCACAAAUAAGAUGUCAGUAGCUGUCGGCUUAAUGAACAUCACUACAUCAUCCGCAUAUAAGGAGAGCCUCUACAUUGGCCCACAUCCAUUUAUUUUUCUCAAAACCUGCUCCUCAUGUGCUUUCUUCAUGAUUGCGGUGAGCACAUGUUAGGGAACAUAGUAAUUUCAAAAUUUUCCUACGCACACGCAAGAUCAUGGUGAUGCAUAGCAACGAGAGGGGAGAGUGUUGUCCACAUACCCUCGUAGACCGAUAGCGGAAGCAUUAGAACAACGCGGUUGAUGUAGUCGUACAUCUUCACGAUCCGACCGAUCCAAGUACUGAACGUACGGCACCUCCGAGUUCAGCACACAUUCAGCUCGAUGACAAUCCCCGGACUCCGAUCCAGCAGGGCGUCGGGGAUGAGUUCCGUCAGCACGACAGCCUGGUGACGAUGAUGAUGUUCUACUGACGCAGGGCUUCACCUAAGCACCGCUAUGAUAUGACCGAGGUGGAAUAUGAUGGAGGGGGGCACCGCACACGGCUAAGGAACGAUCACAAAGAUCAACUUGUGUGUCUAGAGGUGCCCCCCUACCCCCGUAUAUAAAGGAGCAAGGAGGGAGGCCGACCGACCCUAGGGGGCGCGCCAAGGAGGGGGGAGUCCACCUCCUAGUGGGAGUAGGACUCCCCUUUCCUAGUCCAACUAGGAAGGAGGAAGGGGGGAGGAAAGAGAGGGAGAGGGAGAGGGAAAGAGGGGCCGCGCCCCCCUUCCCUAGUCCAAUUCGGACUCCCCAUGGGGGGGCGCCACCUCCUGGGCUACUGCCCUCUCUCUCCCCUCAGGCCCACUAAGGCCCAAUACUUCCCCGGGGGUUCCGGUAACCCCUCCGGCACUCCGGUUUUCUCCGAAAUCACCCGGAACACUUCUGGUGUCCGAAUAUAGUCGUCCAAUAUAUCAAUCUUUAUGUCUCAACCAUUUCGAGACUCCUCGUCAUGUCCGUGAUCACAUCCGGGACUCCAAACAACCUUCGGUACAUCAAAACUUAUAAACUCAUAAAAAAACUAUCAUCGUAACGUUAAGCGUGCGGACCCUACGGGUUCGAGAACUAUGUAGACAUGACCUAGAACUGUUUCCGGUCAAUAACCAAUAGCGGAACCUGGAUGCUCAUAUUGGCUCCUACAUAUUCUACGAAGAUCUUUAUCGGUCAAACCGCAUAACAACAUACGUUGUUCCCUUUGUCAUCGGUAUGUUACUUGCCCGAGAUUCGAUUGUUGGUAUCCAAUACCUAGUUCAAUCUCGUUACCGACAAGUCUCUUUACUCGUUGCGUAAUGCAUCAUUUCGUAACUAACUCAUUAGCUACAUUGCUUGCAAGGCUUAUAGUGAUGUGCAUUACCGAGAGGGCCCAGAGAUACCUCUCCGACAAUCGGAGUGACAAAACCUAAUCUCAAAAUACGCCAACUCAACAUGUACCUUCGGAGACACCUGUAGAGCUCCUUUAUAAUCACCCAGUUACUUGUGACGUUUGGUAGCACACAAAGUGUUCUUCCGGUAAACGGGAGUUGCAUAAUCUCAUAGUUGUGGGAACUUUGUAUAAGUCAUGAAGAAAGCAAUAGCAACAUACUAAACGAUCAAGUGCUAGGCUAACGGAAUGGGUCAAGUCAAUCACAUCAUUCUCCUAAUGAUGUGAUCCCAUUAAUGAAAUGACAACACAUGUCUAUGGUUAGGAAACAUAACCAUCAUUGAUUAUUGAGCUAGUCAAGUAGAGGCAUACUAGUGACAUUAAGUUUGUCUAUGUAUUCACACAUGUAUCAUGUUUCCAGUUAAUACAAUUCUAGCAUGAAUAAUAAACAUUUAUCAUGAUAUUAGGAAAUAAAUAAUAACUUUAUUAUUGCCUCUAGGGCAUAUUUCCUUCAGUCUCCCACUUGCACUAGAGUCAAUAAUCUAGAUUACACAGUAAUGAUUCUAACACCCAUGGAGUCUUGGUGUUGAUCAUGUUUUGCUUGUGGAAGAGGCUUAGUCAACGGGUCUGCAACAUUCAGAUCCAUAUGUAUCUUGCAAAUCUCUAUGUCUCCCACCUGGACUUGGUCCCGGAUGGAAUUGAAGCGUCUCUUGAUGUGCUUGGUCCUCCUGUGAAAUCUGGAUUCCUUUGCCAAGGCAAUUGCACCAGUAUUGUCACAGAAGAUCUUCAUUGGUCCCGCACUAGGUAUGACACCUAGAUCGGAAAUGAACUCCUUCAUCCAGACUCCUUCAUUUGCUGCUUCCGAAGCAGCUAUGUACUUCACUUUGCAUGUAGAUCCUGCCACGACGCUUUGUUUAGAACUGCACCAACUUACAGCUCCACCAUUUAAUAAAAACACGUAUCCGGUUUGCGAUUUAGAUUCGUCCGGAUCAGUGUCAAAGCUUGCAUCGACGUAACCAUUUACGACUAGUUCUUUGUCACCUCCAUAAACGAGAAACAUAUCCUUAGUCCUUUUCAGGUAUUUCAGGAUGUUCUUGACCGCUGUCCAGUGAUCCACUCCUGGAUCACUUUGGUACCUACCUGCCAAGCUUAUUGCUAAGCAUACGUCAGGUCUGGUACACAGCAUUGCAUACAUGAUAGAGCCUAUGGCUGAAGCAUAGGGAACAUCUUUCAUUUUCUCUCUAUCUUCUGCGGUGGUCGGGCAUUGAGUCUGACUCAACUUCACACCUUGUAAUACAGGCAAGAACCCUUUCUUUGCCUGAUCCAUUUUGAAAUUUUUCAAAACUUUAUCAAGGUAUGUGCUUUGUGAAAGUCCAAUUAAGCGUCUUGAUCUAUCUCUAUAGAUCUUGAUUCCCAAUAUGUAAGCAGCUUCACCGAGGUCUUUCAUUGAAAAACUUUUAUUCAAGUAUCCCUUUAUGCUAUCCAGAAAUUCUAUAUCAUUUCCAGUUAACAAUAUGUCAUCUACAUAUAAUAUCAGAAAUGCUACAGAGCUCCCACUCACUUUCUUGUAAAUACAGGCUUCUCCAAAAGUUUGUAUAAAACCAUAUGCUUUGAUCACACUAUCAAAGCGUUUAUUCCAACUCCGAGAUGCUUGCACCGGUCCAUAAAUGGAUCGCUGGAGUUUGCACACUUUGUUUGCACCUUUUGGAUCAACAAAACCUUCCGGUUGCAUCAUAUACAACUCUUCUUCCAGAAAUCCAUUCAGGAAUGCAGUUUUGACAUCCAUUUGCCAAAUUUCAUAAUCAUAAAAUGCGGCAAUUGCUAACAUGAUUCGGACAGACUUAAGCAUCGCUACGGGUGAGAAAGUCUCAUCGUAGUCAACCCCUUGAACUUGUCGAAAACGUUUUGCAACAGGUCGAGCUUUGUAGACAGUUACAUUACCAUCAGCGUCAGUCUUCUUCUUGAAGAUCCAUUUAUUCUCAAUGGCUUGCCGAUCAUCGGGCAAGUCAACCAAAGUCCAUACUUUGUUCUCAUACAUGGAUCCUAUCUCAGAUUUCAUGGCUUCAAACCAUUUUGCGGAAUCUGGGCUCAUCAUCGCUUCCUCAUAGUUCGUAGGUUCGCCAUGGUCAAGUAACAUGACUUCCAGAAUAGGAUUACCGUACCACUCUGGUGCGGAUCUUACUUUGGUAGAUCUACAAGGUUCAGUAGAAACUUGAUCUGAAGUUUCAUGAUCAAUAUCAUUAGCUUCCUCACUAAUUGGUCUAGUCGUCACAGGAACCGGUUCUUGUGAUGAACUACUUUCCAAUAAGGGAGCAGGUACAAUUACCUCAUCAAGUUCUACUUUCCUCCCACUCACUUCUUUUGAGAGAAACUCCUUCUCUAAAAAGGAUCCGAAUUUAGCAACAAAAAUCUUGCCCUCAGAUCUGUGAUAGAAGGUGUACCCAAUAGUAUCUUUUGGGUAUCCUAUGAAGACACAUUUCUCCGAUUUGGGUUCGAGCUUAUCUGGUUGAAGUUUCUUCAUUUAAGCAUCGCAGCCCCAAACUUUAAAAAACGACAACUUUGGUUUCUUGCCAAACCACAGUUCAUAAGGCGUCAUCUCAACGGAUUUUGAUGGUGCCCUAUUUAAUGUGAAUGCAGCCGUCUCUAAAGCAUAACCCCAAAACGAUAGCGUAAAUCAGUAAGAGACAUCAUAGAUCGCACCAUAUCCAGUAAAGUACGAUUACGAUGUUCGGACACACCAUUUUGUUGUGGUGUUCCGGGUGGCGUGAGUUGUGAAACUAUUCCACAUUGUUUCAAAUGUAAACCAAACUCAUAACUCAAAUAUUCUCCUCCACGAUCAGAUCGUAGAAAUUUUAUUUUCUUGUUAAGAUGAUUUUCCACUUCACUAUGAAAUUCUUUGAACUUUUCAAAUGUUUCAGACUUGUGUUUCAUCAAGUAGAUAUACCCAUAUCUGCUCAAAUCAUCUGUGAAGGUGAGAAAAUAACGAUACCCACCACGAGCCUCAAUAUUCAUUGGACCACAUACAUCAGUAUGUAUGAUUUCCAACAAAUCAGUUGCUCGCUCCAUAGUUCCGGAGAACGGCAUUUUAGUCAUCUUGCCCAUGAGGCACGGUUCGCAAGUACCAAGUGAUUCAUAAUCAAGUGAUUCCAAAAGUCCAUCAGUAUGGAGUUUCUUCAUGCGCUUUACACCGAUAUGACCUAAACGGCAGUGCCACAAAUAAGUUGCACUAUCAUUAUCAACUCUGCAUCUUUUGGCUUCAACAUUAUGAAUAUGUGUAUCACUACUAUCGAGAUUUAAUAAAAAUAGACCACUCUUCAAGGGUGCAUGACCAUAAAAGAUAUUACUCAUAUAAAUAGAACAACCAUUAUUCUCUGAUUUAAAUGAAUAACUGUCUCGCAUCAAACAAGAUCCAGAUAUAAUGUUCAUGCUCAACGCUGGCACCAAAUAACAAUUAUUUAGGUCUAAAACUAAUCCCGAUGGUAGAUGUAGAGGUAGCGUGCCGACCGCAAUCACAUCGACUUUGGAACCAUUUCCCACGCGCAUCAUCACCUCGUCCUUGUUGGAAAUAUGCCCUAGAGGCAAUAAUAAAAUGGUUAUUAUUAUAUUUCUUUGUUCAUGAUAAUUUUCUGUUAUUCAUGCUAUAAUUGUGUUAUCCCGAAAUCGUAAUACAUGUGUGAAUACAUAGACCACAACAUGUCCCUAGUAAGCCUCUAGUUGACUAGCUUGAUCAACAGAUAGUCAUGGUUUCCUGACUAUGGACAUUGGAUGUCAUUGAUAACGGGAUCACAUCAUUAGGAGAAUGAUGUGAUGGACAAGACCCAAUCCUAAGCAUAGCUCAAAGAUCGUGUAGUUCGUUUAGCUAGAGCUUUUCCAAAUGUCAAGUAUCAUUUCCUUAGACCAUGAGAUUGUGCAACUCCCAGAUACCGUAGGAGUGCUUUGGGUGUGCCAAAUGUCACAACGUAACUGGGUGACUAUAAAGGUGCACUACGGAUAUCUCCGAAAGUGUCUGUUGGGUUGGCAUGAAUCAAGACUGGGAUUUGUCACUCCGUAUGAGGGAGAGGUAUCUCUGGGCCCACUCGGUAAUGCAUCAUCAUAAUGAGCUCAAUGUGACCAAGUGUCUGGUCACGGGAUAAUGCAUUAUGGUACGAGUAAAGUGACUUGCCAGUAACGAGAUUAAAUGAGGUAUUGGGAUACCGACGAUCGAGUCUCGGGCAAGUAACGUACCGAUUGACAAAGGGAAUUGUAUACGGGAUUGAUUGAAUCCUUGACAUCAUGGUUCAUCCGAUGAGAUCAUCGAGGAGCAUGUGGGAGCCAACAUGGGUAUCCAGAUCCCGCUGUUGGUUAUUGACCGGAGAGGCGUCUCGGUCAUGUCUGCAUGUCUCCCGAACCCGUAGGGUCUACACACUUAAGGUUCGGUGACGCUAGGGUUGUAGAGAUAUUAGUAUGCAGUAACCCGAAAGUUGUUCGGAGUCCCGGAUGAGAUCCCGGACGUCACGAGGAGUUCCGGAAUGGUCCAGAGGUGAAGAAUUUAGAGGAAGUGCAGUUUCGGCCAUCGGGAAAGUUUCGGGGGUCACCGGUAUUGUACCGGGACCACCGGAAGGGUCCCGGGGGUCCAUCGUGUGGGGCCACCUAUCCCGAAGGGCCCCGUGGGCUGAAGUGGGGAGGGGAACUAGCUCCUGGUGGGCUGGUGCGCCCCCCUUGGCCCCCCUUGUGCCUAGGGUUGGAAACCCUAGGGUGGGGGGCGCCUCCACUUGCCUUGGGGGGCAAGCCACCUCCCUGGCCGCCGCCCCCCCCCCUUGGAGAUGGCAUCUCCUAGGGCUGGAGCCCCCCCUUAGGGGGCCUAUAUAAAGAGGGGGGAGGGAGGGCAGCCGCACCCAUGCUCUUGGCGCCUCCCUCUCCCAUUGCUACACCUCUCCCUCUCGUAGAUGCUCGGCGAAGCUCUGCCGAGAUCACUGCUGCAUCCACCACCACGUCGUCGUGCUGCUGGAUCUCCGUCAACCUCUCCUUUCCCCUUGCUGGAUCAAGAAGGAGGAGAUGUCUUCCUCAACCAUACGUGUGUUGAACGCGGAGGUGUUGUCCGUUCAGCACUAGGAUCAUCGGUGAUUUGGAUCACGACGAGUACGACUCCCUCAAGCCCGUUCUCUUGAACGCUUCCGCUCGUGAUCUACAAGGGUAUGUAGAUGCACUCCUUUCUCUUGUUGCUGGAUGAACUCCUAGAUUGAUCUUGGUGAAUGUAGGAAAUUUUUUAUUUUAUGCAACAUUCCCCAACAGUGGCAUCAUGAGCUAGGUCUAUGCGUAGUUCUCUUUGCACGAGUAGAACACAAAUUUGUUGUGGGCAUAGAUGUUGUCAACUUUCUUGCCACUACUAGUCUUAUUUUGCUUCAGCGGUAUUGUGGGAUGAAGCGGCCCGGACCGACCUUACACAUACGCUUACGUGAGACAGGUUCCACCGACUGACAUGCACUAGUUGCAUAAGGUGGCUAGCGGGUGUCUAUCUCUCCCACUUUAGUUGGAGUGGAUUCGAUGAAAAGGGUCCUUAUGAAGGGUAAAUAGAAGUUGGCAAAUCAUGUUGUGGCUUUCACGUAGGUAAGAAAACGUUCUUGCUAGAACCCUAUUGUAGCCACGUAAAACAUGCAACAACAAAUAGAGGACGUCUAACUUGUUUUUGCAGCAUAUGAUUUGUGAUGUGAUAUGGCCAAAAGUUGUGAUGAAUGAUGAAUGAUAUAUAUGUGAUGUAUGAGAUCAUGUUCUUGUAAUAGGAAUCACGACUUGCAUGUCGAUGAGUAUGACAACCGGCAGGAGCCAUAGGAGUUGUCUUUAUUUUUUGUAUGACCUGCGUGUCAUUGAGAAAUGCCAUGUAAAUUACUUUACUUUAUUGCUAAACGCGUUAGCCAUAGUAGUAGAAGUAAUAAUUGGCGAGCAACUUCAUGGAGACACGAUGAUGGAGAUCAUGAUGAUGGAGAUCAUGGUGUCAUGUCGGUGACGAAGAUGAUCAUGGAGCCCCGAAGAUGGAGAUCAAAGGAGCUAUAUGAUAUUGGCCAUAUCAUGUCACUAUUUGAUUGCAUGUGAUGUUUAUCAUGUUUUUCAUCUUGUUUACUAAGAACGACGGUAGUAAAUAAGAUGAUCCCUCAUAAUAAUUUCAAGAAAGUGUUCCCCCUAACUGUGCACCGUUGCGAAGGUUCGUUGUUUCGAAGCACCACGUGAUGAUCGGGUGUGAUAGAUCCUAACGUUCGAAUACAACGGGUGUAAGCCAGAUUUACACACGCAAUACACUUAGGUUGACUUGACGAGCCUAGCAUGUACAGACAUGGCCUCGGAACACGGAAGACCGAAAGGUCGAACAUGAGUCGUAUAGAAGAUACGAUCAACAUGGAGAUGUUCAUCGAUGAUGACUAGUCCGUCUCACGUGAUGAUCGGACACGGGCUAGUCGAGUCGGAUCAUGUAUAACUUAGAUGACUAGAGGGAUGUCUAAUCUGAGUGGGAGUUCAUUGAAUAAUUUGAUUAGGUGAACUUAAUUAUCAUGAACUUAGUCUAAAAUCUUUACAAUAUGUCUUGUAGAUCAAAUGGCCCACGUUACCCUCAACUUCAACGCGUUCCUAGAGAAAACCAAGCUGAAAGAUGAUGGCAGCAACUAUACGGACUGGGUCCGGAACCUGAGGAUCAUCCUCAUAGCUGCCAAGAAAGAUUAUGUCCUAGAAGCACCGCUAGGUGAAGCACCAAUCCCAGAGAACCAAGACGUUAUGAACGCUUGGCAGUCUCGUGCUGAUGAUUACUCCCUCGUUCAGUGCGGCAUGCUUUACAACUUAGAACCGGGGCUCCAAAAGCGUUUUGAGCAACACGGAGCAUAUGAGAUGUUCGAAGAGCUGAAAAUGGUUUUCCAAGCUCAUGCCCGGGUCGAGAGGUAUGAAGUCUCCGACAAGUUCUUUAGCUGUAAGAUGGAGGAAAAUAGUUCUGUCAGUGAGCACAUACUCAAGAUGUCUGGGUUGCACAACCGCUUGACUCAGCUGGGAGUUAAUCUCCCGGAUGACGCGGUCAUUGACAGAAUCCUUCAGUUGCUUCCACCGAGCUACAAGAGCUUUGUGAUGAACUUCAAUAUGCAGGGGAUGGAAAAGACCAUUCCUGAGGUAUAUUCAAUGCUGAAAUCAGCGGAGGUGGAGAUCAAAAAGGAACAUCAAGUGUUGAUGGUGAAUAAAACCACUAAGUUCAAGAAAGGCAAGGGUAAGAAGAACUUCAAGAAGGACGGCAAGGGAGUUGCCGCGCCCGGUAAGCCAGUUGCCGGGAAGAAGUCAAACAAUGGACCCAAGCCUGAAACUGAGUGCUUUUAUUGCAAGGGAAGUGGUCACUAGAAGCGGAACUGCCCCAAGUACUUAGUGGACAAGAAGGCCGGCAAAACCAAAGGUAUAUGUGAUAUACAUGUAAUUGAUGUGUACCUUACCAGUACUCGUAGUAGCUCUUGGGUAUUUGAUACCGGUGCCGUUGCUCAUAUUUGUAACUCAAAGCAGGAGCUGCGGAAUAAGCGGAGACUGGCGAAGGACGAGGUGACGAUGCGCGUCGGGAAUGGUUCCAAGGUCGAUGUGAUCGCCGUCGGCACGCUACCUCUACAUUUACCUACGAGAUUAGUUUUAAACCUCAAUAAUUGUUAUUUAGUACCAGUUUUGAGCAUGAACAUUGUAUCAGGAUCUCGUUUAAUUCGAGAUGGCUACUCAUUUAAAUCCGAGAAUAAUGGUUGUUCUAUUUAUAUGAGAGAUAUGUUUUAUGGUCAUGCCCCGCUGGUGAAUUGUUUAUUCUUAAUGAAUCUCGAGCGUAAUGUUACACAUAUUCAUAGUAUGAAUACCAAAAGAUGUAAAGUUGAUAACGAUAGUCCCACAUACUUGUGGCACUGCCGCCUUGGUCACAUUGGUGUCAAGCGCAUGAAGAAGCUCCAUGCUGAUGGACUUUUAGAGUCUCUAGAUUAUGAAUCGUUUGACACAUGCGAACCAUGCCUCAUGAGCAAAAUGACCAAGACUCCGUUCUCCGGAACAAUGGAGCGAGCAACCAACUUAUUGGAAAUCAUACAUACUGAUGUGUGCGGUCCAAUGAGCGUUGAGGCUCACGGAGGAUAUCGUUAUGUUCUCACUCUCACUGAUGACUUGAGUAGAUAUGGGUAUGUCUACUUGAUGAAACACAAGUCUGAGACCUUUGAAAAGUUCAAGGAAUUUCAGAAUGAGGUAGAGAAUCAACGUGACCAAAAGAUAAAGUUCUUACGAUCAGAUCGUGGGGGAGAAUAUUUAAGUCACGAAUUUGGUACGCACUUAAGGAAAUAUGGAAUCGUUUCACAACUCACGCCGCCUGGAACACCUCAGCGUAACGGUGUAUCCGAACGUCGUAAUCACACUCUAUUGGAUAUGGUGCGAUCUAUGAUGUCACUUACUGAUUUACCGCUAUCAUUUUGGGGAUACGCUCUAGAGACAGCUACAUUCACUUUAAAUAGGGCACCGUCUAAAUCCGUUGAGAUGACACCGUAUGAAUUAUGGUUUGGGAAGAAACCUAAGUUGUCGUUUCUAAAAGUUUGGGGAUGUGAUGCUUAUGUCAAGAAACUUCAACCUGAGAAGCUCGAACCCAAGUCAGAAAAAUGCGUCUUCAUAGGAUACCAUAAGGAAACCAUUGGGUAUACUUUCUACUUAAGAUCCGAGGGCAAGAUCUUUGUUGCCAAGAACGGGUCCUUUCUGGAGAAAGAGUUUCUCUCAAAAGAAUUAAGUGGGAGGAAACUAGAGCUUGAUGAAGUACUACCUCUUGAAACGGUAAGUAGCGCAACUCAGGAAGAUGUUCCUGUGGUGCCUGCACCGACAAGAGAGGAGGUUAAUGAUGAUGAUCAAGAUACUUCGGAUCAAGCUCCUACUGAACUUCGAAGGUCCACAAGGACACGUUCCGCACCAGAGUGGUACGGCAACCCUGUCUUGGAAAUCAUGUUGUUAGACAACGGUGAACCUUCGAACUAUGAAGAAGCGAUGGCGGGCCCAGAUUCCAACAAAUGGCUUGAAGCCAUGCAAUCCAAGAUAGGAUCCAUGUAUGAAAACGAAGUAUGGACUUUGACAGACUUGCCCGAUGAUCAGCGAGCGAUAGAAAACAAAUGGAUCUUUAAGAAGAAGACGGACGCGGAUGGUAAUGUUACCAUCUAUAAAGCUCGACUUGUCGCUAAGGGUUAUCGACAAGUUCAAGGGGUUGACUAUGAUGAGACAUUCUCUCCCGUAGCGGAGCUAAAGUCUGUACGAAUCAUGUUAGCAAUUGCCGCAUUCUAUGAUUAUGAGAUAUGGCAAAUGGACGUCAAAACGACAUUCCUUAACGGCCAUCUUAAGGAAGAACUGUAUAUGAUGCAGCCGGAAGGUUUUGUCGACCCUGAGAAUGCUAACAAGGUAUGCAAGCUCCAGCGAUCCAUUUAUGGGUUGGUGCAAGCAUCUCGGAGUUGGAACAUUCGCUUUGAUGAGAUGAUCAAAGCGUUUGGGUUUAUGCAGACUUAUGGAGAAGCAUGCGUUUACAAGAAAGUGAGUGGGAGCUCUGUAGCAUUUCUCAUAUUAUAUGUAGAUGACAUACUUUUGAUGGGAAUUGAUAUAUAACUUUUGGACAGCAUUAAGGCCUACUUGAAUAAGUGUUUUUCAAUGAAGGACCUUGGAGAAGCUGCUUACAUAUUAGGCAUCAAGAUCUAUAGGGAUAGAUCGAGACGCCUCAUAGGUCUUUCACAAAGCACAUACCUUGAUAAGAUAUUGAAGAAGUUCAAUAUGGAUCAGUCCAAGAAAGGGUUCUUGCCUGUACUGCAAGGUGUGAGAUUGAGCUCGGCUCAAUGCCCUACCACGGCAGAAGAUAAAGAAGAGAUGAGUGUCAUCCCCUAUGCCUCAGCCAUAGGGUCUAUUAUGUAUGCCAUGCUGUGUACCAGACCUGAUGUAAACCUUGUCGUAAGUUUGGUAGGAAGGUACCAAAGUAAUCCCGGCAAGGAACACUGGACAGCGGUCAAGAACAUCCUAAAGUACCUGAAAAGGACUAAGGAUAUGUUUCUCGUUUAUGGAGGUGACGAAGAGCUCGUCAUAAAGGUUACAUAGACUCUAGCUUCGACACAGAUCUGGAUGACUCUAAGUCACAGACCGGAUACAUGUAUAUUUUGAAUGGUGGGGCAGUAAGCUGGUGCAGUUGCAAGCAAAGCGUCGUGGCGAGAUCUACAUGUGAAGCAGAGUACAUGGCAGCCUCGGAGGCAGCGCAUGAAGCAAUCUGGGUGAAGGAGUUCAACACCGACCUAGGAGUCUUCUGUGACAACACUAGAGCUAUUGCACUUGCCAAGGAGCCCAGGUUUCACAAGAAGACCACGCACAUCAAGCGUCGCUUCAACUCCAUACGUGAAAAUGUUCAAGAUGGAGACAUAGAUAUUUGUAAAGUACAUACGGAUCUGAAUGUAGCAGAUCCGUUGACUAAACCUCUCCCUAGAGCAAAACAUGAUCAACACCAGAACGCUAUGGGUGUUCGAUUCAUCACAAUGUAACUAGAAUAUUGACUCUAGUGCAAGUGGGAGACUGUUGGAAAUAUGCCCUAGAGGCAAUAAUAAAAUGGUUAUUAUUAUAUUUCUUUGUUCAUGAUAAUUGUCUGUUAUUCAUGCUAUAACUGUGUUAUCCGGAAAUCAUAAUACACGUGUGAAUACAUAGACCACAACAUGUCCCUAGUAAGCCUCUAGUUGACUAGCUCGUUGAUCAACAGAUAGUCAUGGUUUCCUGACUAUGGACAUUGGAUGUCAUUGAUAAUGGGAUCACGUCAUUAGGAGAAUGAUGUGAUGGACAAGACCCAAUCCUAAGCAUAGCUCAAAGAUCGUGUAGUUCGUUUAGCUAGAGCUUUUCCAAAUGUCAAGUAUCAUUUCCUUAGACCAUGAGAUUGUGCAACUCCCGGAUACCGUAGGAGUGCUUUGGGUGUGCCAAACGUCACAACGUAACUGGGUGACUAUAAAGGUGCACUGCGGGUAUCUCCGAAAGUGUCUGUUGGGUUGGCAUGAAUCGAGACUGGGAUUUGUCACUCCGUAUGACGGAGAGGUAUCUCUGGGCCCACUCGGUAAUGCAUAAUCAUAAUGAGCUCAAUGUGACCAAGUGUCUGGUCACGGGAUCAUGCAUUACGGUACAAGUAAAGUGACUUGCCGGUAACGAGAUUAAAUGAGGUAUUGGGAUACAGACGAUCGAGUCUCGGGCAAGUAACAUACCGAUUGACAAAGGGAAUUGUAUACGGGAUUGAUUGAAUCCUCGACAUCGUGGUUCAUCCGAUGAGAUCAUCGAGUAGCAUGUGGGAGCCAACAUGGGUAUCCAGAUCCCGUUGUUGGUUAUUGACCGGAGAGGCGUCUCGGUCAUGUCUGCAUGUCUCCCGAACCCGUAGGGUCUACACACUUAAGGUUUGGUGAUGCUAGGGUUGUAGAGAUAUUAGUAUGCGGUAACCCGAAAGUUGUUCGGAGUCCCAGAUGAGAUCCCGGACGUCACGAGGAGUUCCGAAAUGGUCCGGAGGUGAAGAAUUUUAUAUAGGAAGUGCAGUUUCGGCCAUCGGGAAAGUUUCGGGGGUCACCGGUAUUGUACCGGGACCACCGGAAGGGUCCCGGGGGUCCACCGGGUGGGGCCACCUAUCCCGGAGGGCCUCGUGGGCUGAAGUGGGGAGGGGAACCAUCCCCUGGUGGGCUGGUAUGCCCCCCCUUGGGCCCCCCCUGCGCCUAGGGUUGGAAACCCUAGGGUGGGGGGCGCCUCCACUUGCCUUGGGGGGCAAGCCACCCCCCUGGCCGCCGCCCCCCCCUUGGAGAUGGCAUCUCCUAGGGACGACGCCCCCCCUUAGGGGGCCUAUAUAAAGAGGGGGGAGGGAGGGCAGCCGCACCCAUGCUCUUGGCGCCUCCCUCUCCCAUUGCUACACCUCUCCCUCUCGUAGAAGCUCGGCGAAGCUCUACCGAGAUCACUGCUGCAUCCACCACCACGCCGUUGUGAUGCUGGAUCUCUGUCAACCUCUCCUUUCCCCUUGCUGGAUCAAGAAGGAGGAGACGUCUUCCUCAACCGUACGUGUGUUGAACGCGGAGGUGUUGUCCGUUCAGCACUAGGAUCAUCGGUGAUUUGGAUCACGACGAGUACGACUCCCUCAACCCCGUUCUCUUGAACGCUUCCGCUCGUGAUCUACAAGGGUAUGUAGAUGCACUCCUUUCUCUCGUUGCUGGAUGAACUCCUAGAUUGAUCUUGGUGAAUGUAGGAAAUUUUUUAUUUUAUGCAACGUUCCCCAACAGUCCUUAGCCAAUCUUCGCUUAAUUCGUAGUCCCUGUUUCGAGUUGCAAAUAUUAGCAACAGAACCAGUAUCAAAUACCCAGGUGCUACUGCGAGCAUUAGUAAGGUACACAUCAAUAACAUGUAUAUCACAUAUACCUUUGUUCACUUUGCCAUCCUUCUUAUCCGCCAAAUACUUGGGGCAGUUCCGCUUCCAGUGUCCAGUCUGCUUGCAGUAGAAGCACUCAGUCUCAGGCUUAGGUCCAGACUUGGGUUUCUUCUCUUGAGCAGCAACUUGUUUGGUGUUCUUUUUGAAGUUCCCCUUCUUCUUCCCUUUGCCCUUUUUCUUGAAACUGGUUGUCUUAUUGACCAUCAACACUUGAUGCUCCUUCUUGAUUUCUACCUCCGCAGCCUUUAGCAUUGCGAAGAGCUCGAGAAUAGUCUUGUCCAUCCCUUGCAUAUUAUAGUUCAUCACGAAGCUCUUGUAGCUUGGUGGCAGUGAUUGAAGAAUUUUGUCAAUGACACUAUCAUCAGGAAGAUUAACUCCCAGUUGAAUCAAGUGAUUAUUAUACCCAGACAUUUUAAGUAUGUGUUCACUGACAGAACUAUUCUCCUCCAUCUUAAAGCUAUAGAACUUAGUGGAGACUUCAUAUCUCUCAAUCCGGGCAUUUGCUUGAAAUAUUAACUUCAACUCCUGGAACAUCUCAUAUGCUCCAUGACGUUCAAAACGUCGUUGAAGACCCGGUUCUAAACCGUAAAGCAUGGCACACUGAACUAUCGAGUAGUCAUCAGCUUUACUCUGCCAGACGUUCUUAACGUCGUCAGUUGCAUCUGCAGCAGGCCUGGCACCCAGCAGUGCUUCCAGGACGUAAUUCUUCUGUGCAGCAAUGAGGAUAAUCCUCAGGUUACGGACCCAGUCCAUGUAAUUUCUACCAUCAUCUUUCAACUUAGCUUUCUCAAGGAACGCAUUAAAAUUCAACGGAACAAUAGCACGAGCCAUCUAUCUACAACAAACAUAGGCAAGCAAUACUAAGUUCAUGAUAAAUUUAAGUUCAAUUAAUCAUAUUACUUAAGAACUCCCACUUAGACAGACAUCUCUCAAGUCAUCUAAGUGAUUACGUGAUCCAAACCAACUAAAUCAUGUCCGAUCAUCACGUGAGAUGGAGUAGUUUCAAUGGUGAACAUCACUAUGUUGAUCAUAUCUACUAUAUGAUUCACGUUCGACCUUUCGGUCUCCGUGUUCCGAGGCCAUAUCUGUAUAUGCUAGGCUCGUCAAGUUUAACCUGAAUAUUCCGCGUGUGCAACUGUUUUGCACCCGUUGUAUUUGAACGUAGAGCCUAUCACACCCGAUCAUCACAUGGUGUCUCAGCACGAAGAACUUUCACAACGGUGCAUACUCAGGGAGAACACUUCUUGAUAAUUUAGUGAGAGAUCAUCUUAAAAUGCUACCGUCAAUCAAAGCAAGAUAAGAUGCAUAAAGGAUAAACAUCACAUGCAAUCAAUAUAAGUGAUAUGAUAUGGCCAUCAUCAUCUUGUGCUUGUGAUCUCCAUCUCCGAAGCACCAUCAUGAUCACCAUCAUCACCGGCGCGACACCUUGAGCUCCAUCGUAGCAUCGUUGUCGUUACGCCAUCUAUUGCUUCUACGACUAUUGCUACCGCUUAGUGAUAAAGUAAAGCAAUUACAGGGCGUUUGCAUUUCAUACAAUAAAGCGACAACCAUAUGGCUCCUUCCAGUUGCCGAUAACUUCGGUUACAAAACAUGAUCAUCUCAUACAAUAAAAUAUAGCAUCACGUCUUGACCAUAUCACAUCACAACAUGCCCUGCAAAAACAAGUUAGACGUCCUCUACUUUGUUGUUGCAAGUUUUACGUGGCUGCUACGGGCUGAGCAAGAACUGUUCUUACCUACGCAUCAAAACCACAACGAUAGUUCGUCAAGUUAGUGCUGUUUUAACCUUCGCAAGGACCGGGCGUAGCCACACUCGGUUCAACUAAAGUUGGAGAAACAGACACCCGCUAGUCACCUGUGUGCAAAGCACGUCGGUAAAACCAGUCUCGCGUAAGCGUACGCGUAAUGUCGGUCCGGGCCGCUUCAUCCAACAAUACCGUUGAACCAAAGUAUGACAUGCUGGUAAGCAGUAUGACUUGUAUCGCCCACAACUCAUUUGUGUUCUACUCGUGCAUAUAACAUCAAUGCAUAAAACCUAGGCUCUGAUGCCACUGUUGGGGAACGUAGUAAUUUGAAAAAUUUCCUACGCACACGCAAGAUCAUGGUGAUGCAUAGCAACGAGAGGGGAGAGUGUUGUCCACGUACCCUCAUAGACCGAUAGCGGAAGCGUUAGAACAACGCGGUUGAUUUAGUCGUACGUCUUCACGAUCCGACCGAUCCAAGUACCAAACGUAUGGCACCUCCGAGUUCAGCACACGUUCAGCUCGAUGACAAUCCCCGGACUCCGAUCCAGCAGGGUGUUGGGGAUGACUUCCGUCAGCACGACGGCAUGGUGACGAUGAUGAUGUUCUACCGACGCAGGGCUUCGCCUAAGCACCGCUACGAUAUGACCGAGGUGGAAUGUGGUGGAGGGGGGCACCGCACACGGCUAAGGAACGAUCACGAAGAUCAACUUGUGUGUCUAGAGAUGCCCCCUGCCCCCGUAUAUAAAGGAGCAAGGGGGGAGGCCGGCCGGCCCUAGGGGGCGCACCAAGGAGGGGGGAGUCCACCUCCUAGUGGGAGUAGGACUCCCCUUUCCUAGCCCAACUAGGAAGGAGGAAGGGGGAAGGAAAGAGAGGGAGAGGGAGAGGGAUAGAGGGGCCGCGCCCCCUCCCCUAGUCCAAUUCGGACUCCCCAUGGGGGGGCGCCACCUCCUGGGCUGCUGUCCUCUCUCUCCCCUCAGGCCCACUAAGGCCCAAUACUUCCCCGAGGGGUUCCGGUAACCCCUCCGGCACUCCGGUUUUCUCCGAAAUCACCCGGAACACUUCCGGUGUCCGAAUAUAGUCGUCCAAUAUAUCAAUCUUUAUGUCUCAACCAUUUCGAGACUCCUCAUCAUGUCCGUGAUCACAUCCGGGACUCCAAACAACCUUCGGUACAUCAAAACUUAUAAACUCAUAAAAAAACUGUCAUCGUAACGUUAAGCGUGCGGACCCUACGGGUUCGAGAACUAUGUAGACAUGACCUAGAACUGUUUCCGGUCAAUAACCAAUAGCGGAACCUGGAUGCUCAUAUUAGCUCCUACAUAUUCUACGAAGAUCUUUAUCGGUCAAACCGCAUAACAACAUACGUUGUUCCCUUUGUCAUCGGUAUGUUACUUGCCCGAGAUUCGAUCGUCGGUAUCCAAUACCUAGUUCAAUCUUGUUACUGGCAAGUCUCUUUACUCGUUACGUAAUGCAUCAUUCCGUAACUAACUCAUUAGCUACAUUGCUUGCAAGGCUCAUAGUGAUGUGCAUUACCGAGAGGGCCCAGAGAUACCUCUCCGACAAUCGGAGUGACAAAACCUAAUCUCGAAAUACGCCAACUCAACAUGUACCUUCGGAGACACAUGUAGAGCUCUUUUAUAAUCACCAAGUUACGUUGUGACGUUUGGUAGCACACAAAGUGUUCUUCCGGUAAACGGGAGUUGCAUAAUCUCAUAGUUGUAGGAACUUUGUAUAAGUCAUGAAGAAAGCAAUAACAACAUACUAAACGAUCAAGUGCCAGGCUAACGGAAUGGGUCAAGUCAAUCACAUCAUUCUCCUAAUGAUGUGAUCCCAUUAAUCAAAUGACAACACAUGUCUAUGGUUAGGAAACAUAACCAUCAUUGAUUAAUGAGCUAGUCAAGUAGAGGCAUACUAGUGACAUUAAGUUUGUCUAUGUAUUCACACAUGUAUCAUGUUUCCGGUUAAUACAAUUCUAGCAUGAAUAAUAAACAUUUAUCAUGAUAUGAGGAAAUAAAUAAUAACUUUUUUAUUGCCUCUAGGGCAUAUUUCCUUCAGCACAUCCAUUGCAAUGACGAAUAGUAGUGGGGAAAGAGAGUCACCUUGUCGCAGUCCACAAACGUGCAUGAAUUUCUUGCCAGCACUUCCAUUCACCACUACUCGAGAGCUAGCAGAGGACAGCAGCGUUGUGAGCCAAGAUAGCCAAACUUCCGAGAACCCUUUUGGCCUUAGCACCUCAAACAAGAACGACCAAGACAAAGAAUCAAACGCUCGCGAGAUGUCCAAUUUGAGCAGAACUCCCUUCGCCUUCCUUUGGUGUAAUCUUCUUGCCAUUUGACUAACAAGUAGAAAGUUAUCAUGCAAUGCUCUUCCUUUUAUAAAUGCUGACUGAUUUAUGUGGACCAACUCCCCCAUGCGUGGCCUCAUCCUAGUGGUCAUUAGCUUUGACGCCAUCUUCGGCAGACUGUGGACCAGGCUAAUUGGUCUGAAGUCUUGAAUAUGGCAAGCCUCCGGGGAUUUUGGUAUUAAAGUGAUAAGCGCCUGAUUAAGCCUUCCAAAACCCCUCCCAUUGUUCAGGAAUAAUUUGUGGAGGGCCGCGAUAACAUCCCUCUUCACAGUAUCCCAAGCUAUCUGGAAGAAAAUUCCAAUGUAUCCAUCCGGUCCUGGAGCUCGAUCCGAAGGGAGUUCCUUAACUACUGCCCAGAUUUCCUCCUCACUGAAUGGGCGAUCAAGCUCCGAUAGAUCCAUAGGCUGUAUGUCCAGCGUUUCCAGAUUUAAUGAGUGCUCCCUUGCAGUAUCCCUCCCAAGAAGCUCCUGAUAUGUCGUAUAGAAGGCCUCCUCUUUGCCUACUUGAUCAGCAAUAACUUGGCCCUCUACAGAAAUUGCCGGUAUGAAAUUCUUUGCCCUCCUGCCAUUAGCUAUCAUGUGGAACAAUUGCGUGUUCGCAUCCCCCUCUCCAAGCCAUCGAACCCUAGAUCUUUGCCUCGCAAUCGUUGUUUCCAGGGAAGCCAACCCUAGCACCAUAUGCUUUAAAGUCUUUCUGAGCCACCGUGCCUCCUCGGAGAGUAAUCUCUGUUCAUGCGCCACAUCAAAACGAAGAAUGACCGCAUUGGCUACUGCAAUCUGCAUCUUUAUGUUGCCCACUUUCUUUUGUCCCCAUGCCGUGAGAUGGCGUGCAUGAUACUGCCAUGGUGGCUGUUUUGAGGAAGGUAAAUAAUGGGUGCAUGAUACCGGCGAAAGUUGCGCGGCAUAAUAGAGGCUAGCAAAGUGGAAGGGUGAGUGUGCGUAUAUCCAUGGACUCACAUUAGUCAUAAAGAACUCAUAUACUUAUUGCAAAAGUCUACUUGCCCUCGAAGCAAAGUACUACUACGCAUGCUCCUAGGGGAAGGGUUGGUAGGAGUUAACCAUCGCGCGAUCCCGACCUCCACUCAUAAGGAAGACAAUUAAAAGAGCACCUCAUGCAACAAAUUUGUCACACAACUUUUACCAUAUGUGCAUGCUACGGGACUUGCCAACUUCAACACAAGUAUUUCUCAAUUUCGUAAUUACCCACUAGCAUGACUCUAAUAUCACCACCUUUAUAUCUCAAAACAAUUAUCAAGCAUCAAAUUGAUCCUAGUUUUUAAUGCACUUUCUAUGAUAGUUUUUAUUAUACCCAACUUGGAUGCCCAUCAUUCUAGGACCAAAUUCAUAACCAUAGCAAAUACCAUGCUGUUCUAAAAGACUCUCAAAAUAAUAUAAGUGAAGCAUGAGAGAUCAACAAUUUUCUUCAGAAUUAAGCCACCGCCGUGCUCUAAAAGAUAUAAGUGAAGUACUAGAGCAAAUACUAUCUAGCUCAAAAGAUAUAAGUGAAGCACAUAUAGUAUUCUAAUAAAUUCUAAUCAAGUGGGCUUCUCCCCAAAAGGUGUGUACAGCAAGGAUGAUUGUGAAAAACUAAAAAUCAAAUACUAAUAUCAUACAAGACGCUCCAAGCAAAACACAUAUCAUGUGGCGAAUAAAAUAUAGCUCCAAGUAAAGUUAUCGAUAAACAAAGACGAAAGAGGGGAUGCCUUCUGGGGGCAUCCCAAGCUUUGGCUUUUGGCUAUUCUUGAAUAUCUUGGGGUGCAAUGGGCAUCCCCAAGAUUAGGCUCUUGCCACUCCUUAUUCCAUAGUCCAUCAAAUCUUUACCCAAAACUUGAAAACUUCACAACACAAAACUCAACAGGAAAUCUCAUAAGCUCCGUUAGUGAAAGAAAGAAAAACCACCACAUAAGGUACUUUAAUGAACUCAUUAUUUAUUCAUAUUGGUGUUAAACCUACUGUAUUUCAAGUUCUCUAUGGUUCAUACCACUUAAUACUAGCCAUACAUGCAUCAAAAUAAGCAAUCAACACACGAAAGGCAAAAUCUAUCAAAAACAGAACAGUUUGUAGCAAUCUGUAACUCUCGAAUACUUAUGGAACUCUACAAAUCCUAUGAAAAUAGGAAGUCCUGGGCCAUUUGUCUAUUGAUCUACAUCAAAAAGAAUCAACGCAAAAUCGCGUUUUCGUGAAUUACUAAAAUUAUUUUCGUGCGCGCAAAGUUUCUGUUUUUCAGCAGAAUCAAAUUAACUAAUACCAUAGGUUAUCCUAUAGGUUCUACUUGGCACAAACACUAAUUAAAACAUAAAAACACAUCUAAACAAAAGGUAGAUGCAAAAAUUAUUACUAAACAGAAACAAAAACAAAAAACACAAAUAAAAUUGGGUUGCCUCCCAACUAGCUCUAUCGUUUAACGCCCUUAGCUAGGCAUAAAAGCAAGGAUAGAUCUAAGUAGUGCCAUCUUUGGCACUCAAUUCAUAAGUAGCUCGCAUGAUAGAUUCAUAAGGUAAUUUAACUUUCUUUCUUGGAAAGUGCUCCAUGCCUUUCCUUAAUGGAAAUUGGAAUCUAAUAUUCUCUUCCUUCAUAUCAAUAAUCGCACCAAUCAUUUUAAGGAAAGGUCUACCAAGAAUAAUAAGACAAGAAAGAUUGCAAUCUAUAUCAAGAACGAUAAAAUCUACGAGCACCAAAUUUCUAUUUGCAACAAUGAGAACAUCAUUGAUCCUUCCCAUUGGCUUUUUAAUGGUGGAAUCCGCAAGGUGCAAAUUUAAAGAGCAAUCAUCAAGAUCAUGGAAAUCUAGAAUAUCACAUAAAGUUUUCGGAAUCAUGGAAACACUAGCACCCAAAUCACAUAAAGCAUAACACUCACGAUCUUUAAUUUUAAUCUUUAUAGUAGGUUCCCCACUCAUCAUAAAGUUUUCUAGGUAUAGAAACUUCCAAAUUAAGUUUUUCAGCAAAAGAUUGCAUCAAGGCAUCAACAAUAUGUUUGGUAAAAGCUUUAUUUUGACUAUAAGCAUGAGGGGAAUUCACAACGGAUUGCAACAAGGAAAUACAAUCUUCUAAAGAGCAAUUAUCAUAAUUAAAUUCCUUGAAAUCCAAGAGAGUGGGUUCAAUGCUAUUUAAAGUCUUGACCUCUCCAAUCCCACUUUUAUCAAAUUUAGCAUCCAGAUCUAAAAACUCCGAAUCAUUGGGAUGCCUUUUAACUAAAGUUGACUCAUCUCCAGUCCCAUCAUAUUAAGAUUCAUAUUGCAAAACAAAGAUCUAAUAGGGGACACAUCAAUAACUUUAAGAUCUUCAUCAUUAUUUUCAUGGAAACUAGAAGAACACGCUUUUAUAAAGCCAUCUUUCUUAGCAUGCAAUCUAGCGGUUCUUUCUUUGCACUCAUCAAUGGAAGUUCUCAUAGCUUUGAUAGACUCAUUGAUAUCAUGCUUGGGAGGAGUAGAUCUAAGUUUCAAAGAAUCAACAUCAAGCGAGAGUCUAUCAACGUUCCUAGCCAAAUCAUCAACUUUGAGCAAUUUUUCUUCAAGCAAGGCUUUUUUUUGAGAGAUCAUAAAUUCUUUAACAUUAUUCUCAAAAUCAGAGGGCAUCUUAUUAAAAUUACCAUAAGAAUUAUUUUAGGAAUUUCCAUAUUUAUUAGAGGAAUUGCUAGGGAACGGUCUAGGAUUAAAGUUUUCGCUAUAAGCAUUGUUACCAAAAUUAUUCCUACCAACAAAAUUCACAUCCAUAGAUUCAUUAUUAUUCUCAAUCAAAGUAGACAAAGGCAUAUCAUUGGGAUCAAUAGGAGCACUCUUAGUGGCAAAAAAAUUCAUAAGUUCAUCCAUCUUUCCACUCAAAACAUUAAUUUCUUCUAUAGCAUGCACUUUUUUACUAGUAGAUAUUUCGGUGUGCCAUUGAGAAUAAUUAGCCAUAAUAUUAUCGAGUUUUGUAGCUUCUCCUAAGUUGAUUUCCAUAAAUGUGCCUCCCGCGGCCGAAUCUAAAAGAUUUCUAGAAGCAAAAUUCAAUCCGGCAUAAAAAAUUUGUAUGAUCAUCCAUAAAUUCAAACCAUGAGUAGGGCAAUUGCGAAUCAUCAAUUUCAUUCUUUCCCAAGAUUGGGCAACAUGCUCAUGAUCAAGUUUCUUAAAAUUCAUAAUAUCGUUCCUAAGAGUGAUGAUCUUAGCAGGAGGAAAAUACUUAGAGAUAAAAGCAUCUUUGCACUUGUUCCAUGAAUCAAUACUAUUCUUAGGCAAAUACGAAAACCAAAAUUUAGCAUGAUCUCCAAGUGAAAACGGAAAUAACUUCAAUUUAACAAUAUCAUUUUCCAUAUCUUUUUUCUUUUGCAUCUCACACAAAUCAACAAAGUUGUUUAGAUGGGUAGAGGCAUCUUCACUAGGAAGGCCGGAGAAUUGAUCUUUCAUAACAAGAUUCAGCAAAGCAGUAUUGAUUUCACAAGACUCAACAUCAUUAAGAGGAGCAAUCGGAGUACUAAGGAAAUCAUUAUUAUUGGUAUUGGAUAAAUCACACAAUUUGGUAUUAUCUUGCGCCAUCGCGACAAGUAAUCCAACACACAAGCAAACAAAAAGGCAAACGAAAGAGAGAGGAGAUCAGGAAAGAGAGGGCGAAUAAAACGGCAAAGGUGAAGUGGGGGAGAGGAAAACGAGAGGCAAAUGGCAAUUAAUGUAAAUGCGAGGGAGAUGAGUUUGUGAUGGGUACUUGGUAUGUCUUGACUUGAGCAAAGACCUCCCCGACAACGGCGCCAGAAAUCCUUCUUGCUACGUCUUGAGCUUGCGUUGGUUUUCCUUGAAGAGGAAAGGGUGAUGCAGCAAUAGUAGCGUAAGUAUUUCCCUCAGUUUUUGAGAACCAAGGUAUCAAUCUAGUAGGAGGCUCCUCAAAAGUCCCACGCACCUACACUAACAAACAAGAACUCGCAACCAACGCAAUCAAGGGGUUGUCAAUCCCUUCACGGCCACUUGUGAAAGUGAGAUCUGAUAGAGAUAAUAUGAUAAGAUAAAUAUAUUUUUGGUAUUUUAUGAUAUAGAUUGGAAAAGUAAAGAUGCAAAUAAAAGUAGAUUGAAAGCUUAUAUGAUAAAAGAUAGACCCGAGGGCCAUAGGUUUCACUAGUGGCUUCUCUCAAGAUAGCAUAAGUACUUACGGUGGGUGAACAAAUUACUGUCGAGCAAUUGAUAGAAAAGCGAAUAAUUAUGAGAUUAUCUAGGCAUGAUCAUGUAUAUAGGAAUCACGUCCGUGACAAGUAGACCGACUCCUGCCUGCAUCUACUACUAUUACUCCACACAUCGACCUCUACCCAGCAUGUAUCUAGAGUAUUAAGUUCAUAAAGAACAGAGUACCGCAUUAAGAAAGAUGACAUGAUGUAGAGGGAUAAACUCAUGCAAUAUGAUAUAAACCCCAUCUUUUUAUCCUCGAUGGCAACAAUACAAUACAUGCCUUGCUGCCCCUACUGUCACUGGGAAAGGACACCGUAAGAUUGAACCCAAAGCUAAGCACUUCUCCCAUUGCAAGAAAGAUCAAUCUAGUAGGCCAAACCAAACUGAUAAUUCGAAGAGACUUGCAAAGAUAACUUAAUCACACAUAAAAGAAUUCAGAGGAGAUUCAAAUAUUUCUCAUAGAUAAACUUGAUCAUAAACCCACAAUUCAUCGGAUCUCGACAAACACACCGCAAAAAGAGUUACAUCAAAUAGAUCUCCAAGAAGAUCAAGGAGAACAUUGUAUUGAGAUCCGAAGAGAGAGAAAAAGCCAUCUAGCUAAUAACUAUGGACCCGAAGGUCUGUGGCAAACUACUCACAACUCAUCGGAGAGGCUAUGGUGUUGAUGUAGAAGCCCUCCAUGGUUGAUUCCCCCUCCGACAGAGCGCCGGCGAAGGCUCCAAGAUGGGAUCUCGCGGAUACAGAAUGUUACGGUGGUGGAAAUAGUUUUUCGUGGUCGCCUCUGAUGUUCUCGGGGUACGUGGGUAUAUAUAGGAGGAAGAAGUAGGUCGGUGGACGCUCGAGGGCCCACGAGAUAGGGGGGCGCACCUAGUAGGGGGGCGCGCCCUCCACCCUCGUGGCUUCCUCGAUUGCUUCUUGACUUGCACUCCAAGUCCUCUGGAUCACGUUUGUUCCAAAAAGAUCGCCCCCGAAGGUUUCAUUCCGUUUGGACUCCGUUUGAUAUUCCUUUCCUUCAAAACACUGAAAUAGGCAAAAAAACAGCAAAACGGGCUGGGCCUCCGGUUAGUAGGUUAGUCCCAAAAAUGAUAUAAAAGCGUAAAGUAAAGCCCAUAAACAUCCAAAACGGGUAAUAUAAUAGCAUGGAACAAUAAAAAAUUAUAGAUACGUUGGAGACGUAUCAACAUCCAUAUUGCAUCAUUGUUUCUUACUGUAAUUCAUCUUAAAGUAUUGUCUUUUCUCUCUUAAAAUGCAAGUUAUAACAAAAGAGGGGGAACUGGAAUUCAGAACCUAAAAUAGCAACAGAAGAGAAAGCAAUUAUCCGGAGCUCGAAACCAACCGCAGAUUUUUCAAGAAUUAUUUCGGAGUAUAUGAGGAAUAUUCGAGAAAAGAAGUACCAUAGGGGGCCCAUAGGGUAAACGCAUGGACAGAUGGUGCGGUCUACCCCUCCUAGUCGUGCCCCUUGUCCAUGUGGGCCUCGGGAGGCUUGUGUCCCGAUGCCCUUUGAGCCAUAAAUUCCCAUUUACCCUAGAAAAAUAACAAACAUUUCUGGACUUUCCGCCGUCGCCCGAGAGGCGGAACAGAGGUAGAGCACUUUUACUCUCCCGCGGAGCGAUUCUGCUAGGGAAACUUCCCUACGGGAGCGGAAAUCGAAAGCUUCAUCAUCACCAACACUCUGUUCAUCAUGGGGAUCAUCAUCUUCAUCAACAUCAUCUCAUCUCCUAACUCUAGUUUAUCCUUUGUAUUCAAUCUUUGUAUCAAACCUCAGAUUGGUGCCUAGGGGUGCUAGUAGCGUUAAUUACACCUUGUCGUUGAUGCCUGUUGGUUUAACUGGUGGAAGAUUAUUAUCUGAAGAUUAUUAAUCAUAUAUUUAUACCCAUUGUUCAUGAUCAAUAUGAUGAGUUGUGAGUAGUUUCUUUAGAUUUUGAGGAAAUGGGAGAAGUAUUAUUGCUAGUAAUCAUGUGAAGUUGAUCGUUGUUUAAUUUUUUUGAUAUUAUCUUUUGUUUUCUUCCUCUACUGGUGUUAUGUGAACAUUGUUUACAUGACACUUCACCAUCUUUGGGCCUAGGGGAAGGCAUUGUGAAGUUAGUUUGUAGAUGAUGGGUUGCGAGAGUGAUAGAGACCUAAACCCCGCUUAUGAAUUAUUCCAUAAGGGGCUGGUUAGAUUUGGAUCCAGUUGUUUAAUGUCAUGGUUAGAUUUAUCUUAACUACUUCUCUUGUAGUUGUGGAUUCUUGCAUGGAGAGUAUAAUCACAAGUAGGUAUUUGUUCAAGUUAGGACAGUAAAUUAGCCCUGGUCCACCCACAUAACACUUAUCAAGGCAAUGAACAUAAUCGAUGAAGGUGAAAGUAACUUGGCGAUAUUCCCAUAUGUCCUCAAGAGCGUUUUAAUCACUAUAAAAAGUGCCACCGACUUGUCCUUAUAGUACAAUUAAGGAUUAAGGCACUUGCUCCACUUUGCUAUCUUGUUACUUGUUAUCUUACUACAAAUUACCUUGUUAUCAAACCAUGUAUCAGAGCUAUAUCUUACAACACUUGAAGUGAAAUUCUUGCUGAAAACUGCCUAUCAAUUCCUUCUGCUCCUCAUUGGAUUUGGCACUUCUACUCAUCGAGAGGACUAUGAUUGAUCCCCUGUAUCUGUGGGUCAUCACCCACCAUCACCAAAUCAAGCCUCCAGAUCAUGAUCAGAAAGACGCCACUACUGAAGCACCGCCAUCACGAGGAUUCCCCGCCACAACCUUUCGCACCAUUCACACAGAUAUGGAGAGAAGCCACCACCGCAAUGUCGCUUGCCGCAGAGAGGAACGUGUAGUCCACCUUCUAGGGCUGGCGCGCAAGGGCUCAAAUCCUCAGACCACCAUCCGUUGCACAUCGACAUCGGAACAAACCACUGGAGGGGAUGGAAAGACGCCUCAUUUCACAUCUAGAGGACCACCGGCCAUCCCCGCCAUGCCUCACCAAGCCCCCAAAUCAAAUCUGCCGGAGCCGUCGGGCGGCCACCCGCCAGCUCAUGCAAUGCAACACUAGCACUGACAAGCCACUUCGAUCAACGCUCAAGCCACCUUGUGCCCUUGACAGGGGAAGCUCUACAACAAGGGAAAGAGAAACCGUGACUCAGAAUGGAGGAAUUCCACCAAAAGGGACCAAAGGCGCUGGCAUUCACCAGAUCCGAGACAAGUGGUAUUAGAUUCGCCAGCCAGCCAGCGACGUGCUCGAAGUAUGGGAUCUAGCGGGGCUACGCCACACGCUGCAGAACCAUCCCGCACACCAUAGUCAAGGCGCGACGAGGCAUGGUGAGCCGGUCGGAUCCCGCCAACCGUGGCACAAGCUGAGCUUCGGGAAGCAAGUCGCGACGAGAGGAGAAAGGGAGGGUAGUGUGUCGGGCCCAAGCGAGGUGCGAGCACCCAUCGCCGCUAACCACCACCUGCGGCUUUGCCUUGGCAAUGUCGAUCGACGGUGGCGACACGACUUGUGGAGAGGAGGAUAGAGGAGUGGCGACAGGAGCGCCACCUGAGUUGCCCAUGGGGACGACGCAGAGCACCUAGGGCCUCCGCUCGAAUCAACACAUCGACAUAUAAGGGGUCAAAAUAGUUCAUUGUGGCUCGAGAUACACUUAUCAUUUGGAUAUGUCAUGUGAACUAAAGCGCGUGAAAGUCUCCAACUCGCCUUCAUCGGGUAUAUUAUCUUGAAAGCAAUUACUAGUGUUUUGGCAGUUUACUAUCGUCGUGUAUCCUCCUUUGGAGGACCAUGCAUAUUUAGCAAAGUACUUGCAUGAGUUUAAGCCUGGAGUAGCAAAGGACUAAAAGGUCAAAAAAACGCGAAAAUCCAUGGAUUAAGUAGCUCAGAUCCUUAGAAAUAUAUUCUUGCAAAUAUUAAAAAACUCUUUCGAUUUCGUUGGGGUGCCGAAAAGUUCUUCCUCCUGCAUCCAUCAGCGGUGCGCCAUGAGUAAUGCCCGUUACCGCCUCUGGGCCUCUGUCUCAACGAAGCAAACUUGUUUAAACCCAAGAGAUUGUAGAAACAACAGGCAUAAAGUCAUUGAUGUAGACUAGAAGACGUCGAUGGUCGUGAUCUGCAUAUCAAGUCGCCACCCCAGAGAAGAAAACAACAUAUAGAGCCUAUAUAGAAUGUCCAAGUUCCGACCAGACGAAGUCGGAGAGCACAAACCUCACAAGCUCUUUGACGAGGCCAAGACUGACCAACCUUUAUCAGUCAAAACUGGAGUCAAAGGACCAAGACGUACAACAACGUCGUCCGCUCCGCAAGACAAUGUGAUCAGUGUCAGAGCUUGGGGGGGGGCAAAAGGGCCCAUUGGCCUCCUACUCUAGAAAACUUUGAAGUGUACCUCUAUUAUAUUGGGCUUGAAUAUCAAAGAUUUCUCAGAGUUCAUGCAUAACUUAUCUUCUUCGCUCCUCAAUAAUCUUCAUCAAGCUCCACCACUGAGCGCGAUCAAGACAAACCCUCAAAAUAAGACGCCAGACUCGAAGAACUAGAUUAAUCUUUCACAAGCUUCCCGGCGAUAUGAGGAGGCAUCACCGGCACGAAGACGAUGGGGAGACCUUAUUCCACGUCGACGGCGACACCAUCGUCUUGACAUCGCCAAAUGGAGACCUACCUGAUGCACCAUUAAAGAAAACUAUGUCUCUCAUGAGUGAUCGGGGCCUUCCCGUACAUUUCCACCGACAAAGCUAGUGAAGGAGGAGGCCCACCGGCUCUCUCCCUCCCCUACCCCUUGCUGGCUAGGGUAAACUCUCCCCUCCAGACUUCGCCGGCGAGCCCGUAGAUUCACCUCCCCCUCUGCCUGCCACUCCGGCGGCGGCGGGGGGGGGGGUGCCUCUGCUCCGAUUAGUAGUUUAAGUUUGGGUUUUUUAGUCCUCGUAGGUGCGGAGAUCGGGCGGAUGGCGGCGCUUCUUCUUCGAGUUUGUCUUCCGGGUUCCGAUCCUCCUUCGAGUUCGUCUAUUUGGACGUAGUCGACGGAGCUCCGACGUAGAUUCCUGCCGUCUUCUUGAGAUGGUGAGGUUAGGGUUUCUCGUCAUAUGGCAAGAUUUGGUGUUAGGUGUUUCAGAUCUACUCAGGGGUUCAACGACGAUGACUGUGGCUCCAAGGCGCUGGUCCUUAGGGGCACGUUUACAAAGACUUCUUGGCUGUCAUCAACAAGGUCAAACCGGUUUAGGUAUGGGAACGGUAACAACGGCACUUCGGCGGCUCGUUCUGACGCCGGUAGUGGUCGUUCGAUGGUCUCAGAAUCACGAUGUAAUUUUUAUUAUGUUUGAGAUACUUUGUAUUUCCGGUGAACUUGGAUAAUAGGUCUGAAUCAUUUCAAAAAAAAGAGAGGAGGCCGGCGAUUAUCGGUGGAGGAAAAUGACCGCGGAGGACAGUAAAAACAAACUCAAACAAUAUGCCGUGAAUGGGGGAGACUUUGUGAGCUGUGCCUGCGACAUAUUUCCUGCCGGCCAAAGGGCUCGCAGGGGUGUCUUGGUAACUUCAACAUUAGACUAACAUCAGUGCAUCUUUUAGCAUCUCCACCAACUACCAAAAGCGUCACAACGCAACCUAAUCCAAUCAUGCCUUCGCUGUGACCGUUCGGCGAUGCCCGCCGGCAGGUAGGCCUCAAGAAAUCUGUCCCACCUUGUCAGUCACUCAGCAUUUUAUAUGUUAAAAAUAUCGGGUAGAACACAAGCGAACGGAAAUUUCUCACCUACCGCUUCCCACCAGCUGCUCUGACAAGCCUCACCAGCAACGUGCCCAGCGGCUCAGGGCCCGGGAGAACUGCAACACUUGUGCCAGACCCUUUGGCAUGACGCAUAAAAUUCAAGUUCAAAACGGGAGAGACAUACUCUCGGAAAAAAAAACGGGAGAGAUAAAAAAUCAACAGGCCUCCGAUGAAUGACACGGACGAGAGAGAAGAAGACUGGCAGCUUGGAAAAAAUGACAUCAUUAUCACAAUGAACGAUUUUUGGAUUUCUUCUAUCAUGUCAUCGGGAUCAGACUGACCUGAUCCAAUGGUUUAAUUGCCAUACUUUCACGUCUCUUGAGUAUUAUGGUUUGUGCUAGAUUUCAAGAAAAAUCAUGAAAGCGUUGGAGGAAGACGUGUGUUCAUUGAAGCUAUGUCGAAGUCACAAAAAUCCUGGGUCUUUUUCACGAGAAGCAGCUCCAUUUGGCUUACUGGCCCAAUAUAGGACCAAGAGUCAACAGAGUAUUGGCGCUUAAGCAGCACUAGAGGACAUCAUUGUUCGUCUCCGAAUGAUUAUUUGUGCACAUGCUAUGUUUACCCUUUUUAUUGAGUAAUGUUUUUUUUUCUUUUUGCAUAAAGGAUCAUAUUUCUCUACCUAAUCUUUCCUUACUAAUAAAGCAAAUAGUGCUUCUGGUCGUACGUCACUAAAAUUACCCUUGGAGUUGUAAAUAAUUACCCACCAUGCCACCGGUAAGUGGGAAAAAACGGUUCACUUAAAUCGCGGACGGCUUAUGUUUAUUUAGGGUAAGCCCAUAUCAUUCAUAACGCGACGUAGAGUGGCGUGGUGGUAUUAGCCUCACGUCUCCAUACCUGAGACCUGGGUUCGAUUCCUGGUUCUCUCCUUUUCACUUCUUUCUCCUUCUCCUUUUUGUUUUUUCGAGAAAUCUUCUCCUUCUCCAUUCUCUCCUAUUUAGCAGAUGGGCCACAUGAUGUUUCAGUUUUGGCCCAGCCACUUUAUUUUUAUUUUUUCUAUUUUCGGGCACAUUCAAUUUUUUUUAACUCAUAACUUUCAAACCCAAAAUCUAACAUGUCAUAUAUGGAAAUCUCUCAAAAAAUCUUCUCCUUCUCCAUUCUCUCCUAUUUAGCAGAUGGGCCACAUGAUGUUUCAGUUUUGGCCCAGCCACUUUAUUUUUAUUUUUUCUAUUUUCGGGCACAUUCAAUUUUUUUUAACUCAUAACUUUCAAACCCAAAAUCUAACAUGUCAUAUAUGGAAAUCUCUCAAAAAAUCAUGCAGAUUUUAAAUAUGCUAUUAUAUUAAUCAUUUCUAAAAUUUUGUUUACGAUACAACCUUAAUUAAUAUCUUCUUUACAUGUGGUAUUUUGGAAAUGUCGGUUUACCAUUGAUAUUUAUGUUGUUAAAUAAAUUUGAAACAUCUUGAGUAUUCAAAAAUCAUCCAAUCUUAUGCUUUUUGCAAAACACCACUUAUCAUGUUGUUUGUUGUGUGGCAUCGUGAAAGAUUUCAAAGGAUUCGCCGAUGUUGUAAAGUGUGAGCAUGAUGGAUGGAUAUUUUUUUUCCGUUGCAACGCACGGGCAUGUUUUGCUAGUAAUAAUAAAGCAAGUAUUGCUUCUGGUUGUCCGUCUAAAAAUUACCCUCGAAAUUGCUAUAUAUUACCCGCUAUGCCACCCAUAAGUGAAAACAAUUCGGGUUUUUCUUCAAAGUCGCCGUACUAUCGUCACAGUGUCUAUAGCCUAUCUCUCCCAGCCAGAAGACCACGGUUUGAACCCCAGGUUCCACACUUUUCCCCCACUCCUUUUUCUCUCACGCACUUCCUCCCCCCACGUAUGUGUUCAUGGGCCGGUCCGCGGGGCGUGGCGCCCCUACUUUUUUCCAUUUCAUUUUUUGUCUUUUUCUUUUCUUUUUUCUGUUUUUUUCUUCUUUAAAUUAAUUCAGGAUUUACAAAUUUCAAAAAGUUGAUCUUUAGAGAAAAGCAGGCAAACGCAGGGCACAUCAUCGAAGCUUGCAAGCGCGACAUUGAGUAGUGGAGGAUGGCUGGUGCAAAGUGCCCAGAGUUACCCUUCGGGGAGGUGACAUGAGAUUAUCCCCACUAGAUCAUGAGUUCCCAGUUUUCCUAACUCCGGACCAGUUGUAAUUUCCAUUUUUCGGCCUCAGCUCUUGAUCACUUGAUCACCCUUUGUCACUCUUCCUUAUGCUUAAAUCAAUGAAAAGUCGGCAAUGCCUGCCGCUUAAAAAAACAAAUUUCAAAAAGUUGCGACUUUUGAGAAAAAUGUUUGAGAAAUCAUAAAAUGUUUAUGAAUUUAGAAAAAAUUGAAAAAUCAUAAAAUUUCCGUGGUUUCAAAAUUUUUGAAAAAUUAAUAAAAAAAUCACAAUUUGAAAAAAAAUGCCGGGAAAUAAAAUCAUGUUUUCUCGAUUUUGAAAAAAAUGAUCAUGUAUUCAAAACGUAUUCGUGAAUCUAAAAAAAUUUCCAUGAAAUUUUAUAAAAUACUCAAACAAUUCAACUCUUUUGUGAAUUUCAUUUUCCCCUAAUUUUUAAAAAAUCAUCGAUUAAAAAAUGUUCAUGAUUUGAAAACUAUUCAUGUAUUCAAUAAAUGUUUGUCUAAACAAAACAAAUGUUUGUGAAUUUAAAAAAUGACCAUUUAAAAAAAAUGUUUGUCGAUUCAAAAAACCGUUCGCCAUUUUAAAAGUCUUUUAUGUCUUGGUUUUGAUUAGUUUUGGGAAAGUCUUUAUAUGUCUAAGCGUUGGUAGUAGUUCGUGGUAGAUGGGAUUUAUUUUUAAAGUUUUAAAUACACAUUGACAAGUGUGUCGUGCGGUGGCAAGCUCAUUGCCUUGGGAUUUACCAUGACGAAUGCAUUGCGCUCACGUGGACAUCACGUCCAUCAUCAGCGAGGGCCGGAAGAAAGAUAAGUGGCAAACUAAUGAGCCACCGUAUUAAAAUAGAGGACACUCAUACGUCCGGGUAUUGAGUCAUACUUAUUUGGCCAGCAUGUAAUUUUUUUAUCUACCCUUGCAACCGCACGAGCAUGUUUGCUAAUAUUAUAUAAAAUUUCGUCAAGUACAAAGUAUCUCAAACACAAAAUUACAUCAAGAUUCCAAGAACACCAAACGACCACUAAUGCCACCAUAACGGGCCGCCGACGCGCCGUUGUCGCCGCUUUGACCUUGUCGAUGCCAGUUAGAAAGUCUUUGUGCACAUGCCCCUAAGGACCAGUGCUCUAGAGUCGCAGUCGUCGCCGUUGAACCCUUGCGUUGUUCUAAAUCAUUUGACAUCAAACCUCGCCACAUGACGAGAAACCCUAACCUCAUCGCCCCAAGGAGACGCCGGACCUUCGUCGACUAUGUCCAAACAAACAAUUUCGAGGAGGAUCGAAGCCUGGAAGACAAACUCGAAGAAGAAGCGCCACACAUGCGAGAACUAAAAAACCCUAACAUAAACUACUAACUAGAGCAGAGGCACGAGAUUCUCCUCCCAACAAUGGCCACCGGAGUGGCAGGCAGAGGGGAGGCACAUCCACAGACUCGUCGGUGAAGUCUGGAAGUUUGACCUAACCGCCUAGGGUUAGGGGAGGAAACCCUUUUGAGAAAUAUGAACUUACUUGUUGCUAUUGUUGGCUAGCAUACUAUCAAGAAUGUUUAUAUCAUGGAUUUUAGAUAUAACUAGGUGAUUUCCCUGCGCGUUGCUGCGGGAUUUUAAAGAUUGAUUUUUGAUAAAUUAUGUAUGAACGAAAUGACCUAAAUCAAAAGGUAUUAUUUCCCGUAAAUAGUUGUGAGUGAAUAAAAAAUAUGCAUGGGCCUUGUACCAUUGGAGAUGAAACAGUUAAAUCAGGGGUAUGCAUGUGCUACAAAAUAGUUUUAGUGGAUGAUGAUGUGGCCAUUUGGUGAUGUGAAGGGUUGUAUGUUGAGAGAAUUGGAGUUAGUGGGAAUCAACUAUUUAUUUUAGGUAUUAUAGAUUAGAUUUUUAGAAGGCUUUGGAACGCCUUUUUAUAGGAUAGUACUUUUCCAUUGCAAGAAAAAAAUACAUACAAAUAUACACAUAUAUACAUGGGGAUUCCAUGCCCUCAGCAUACAUAUACAACAAAUAGAUCUGAUGCUCAAAUAAAUAUACAACAAAUAGAUAUCAAGAACAAAAUCUCACGAGGUUUGUUAAGAGGUGAAAUGUCACAUAUAUAUUAUUAAUAUUUUAAAAUUAGAGCUCUUAGGCUCUCAAUUCAUUAACUGAGAAAAAUAUUGUUCAGUUAAUUAGCAAAAAACCAGAAAAAACCCGGCACAACACGCCCACAAAGGGCAUCUGGCCGACCUGACUACCCACAAAGAUCCACACACACCAUCGAAGAGUGGAAUGAUGUCAAGGUUCUUAUUAAAUUGUCAUGGCAGCUAAAAUGGAAGUGGCGGUACUAGCAACGGGAAAUUAAAGAUACAAGCUCUAUUAAACAACAUAGAUUAGGUUUAAUGUAUUAUAAGCAUUCAAAAGGUAUUGCACCACGGCUGCAAGCAAAUUAAGUUGUACUUCUCGACAACACAACUAAUAAUACAAUGAUAAUGAAUAUGACUAGCAAAAGGGCUUGUGCAUUGUAACGGAAGAAAAAAUAUAUUGAUUUUCACUUGCCAUGACCACAUUUUGCAGCAUCAUCGAGAUACACUAUCACUCACAAUUUCGUGAAAUCAUGAACAAUUUUUGAAAUCAUGAACACUUUCUUAAUCUCGUGCAUAUAUUUGAAAUUGUGAAUAUUUUUCAAAUUCGUGAACACUUUUACAAUUUUUUGAAUAUUUUUUAAAUUCAUGAACAUUUAUACUAUCUGCAAACAUUUUUCAAAAAAUUGUGAAUUUUUUAAACAAUUUUCUUGAAUCGGUGAACAUUUCUAGAAUCAAUGUUUUUUUGGGAAAUUGGUGGAACAAUUUUUGAAAUUCACAAACAUAUUUUUGAUUUAACAAACAUUUUUUGGAAUGCACGAUCAUUUUGUGAAUCAGCGCACAUUCUAUGAGUGAAUAAAGUAUUUCCUACGUCACAAAUAAUUAUUAGUUUUUAGGACAUUUUUUCAUUCAUGAACAAAUUUUGAAUUAGUGGAAUUUUGUUCAAUUUCAUUAACAUUUUUUAAUAUACAAACUUUUUAAAGUAUCAUGAAUAUAUUUUAUUUUACCACACAUUGUUUUAAAAAAAAUGAACAUUUAUUGAAUAAGUAAACAUUCUUUUACAAAAUUGUGAACUUUUUUGAAUCCGCAAAUAUUUUAUGAUUCAGUAUGUAUUUUAUUUCAAACUUAUCUUUUUUAAUUUCGGAUAUUUUUUGAAAUCCCAAAUUACUUAAAAUAGAAAAAACAAAUACAAAAAACAAAAAAAAUGAAAAUGAAAAUUUUAAUAUUUUAAAAACAUGCCGCACGAACAUGGGCCGGCCCAAACGAAUCGCUGCGGUCUUCUCCCAGCGUGUAGUUUAGGAGGUCCCUACUGCAUGGGCCGUCCCAGGCGAGGGAUUCCCAAAUUAUUUCAAAUAUUAUUUACCACUUAUUGGUGGCAUUGAUGGGUAAUAUUUUACAGUUUCAUGGCGUACCGUCAGAAGCAAUAGCCCCCUUAUUAUUAUUAGAAAAAGGGUCCGUGCAAUGCUAUAGGAGAAAAAAGAUCAUAGUCUUCAAUGACCAUGACCACAUUUUGCUGCAUCACCGACAUACACUAUCAUUCUCAAUUUCAUGGAAUCAUGAACAAUUUUUGUAAUGAUUAACGUUUUUUUAAACACAUGGACAUUUUUCAAAUUCGUGAACAUCUUUGCAAAUUUUUUUAUAUUUUAUAAAAUGAAGGUCAUUUUAUGAAUUCAUGAACAUUUUAUACUAUUUGCCAACGUCGUUUAAAAAUUGUGAAAAACUUUUUAAAACAAUUUUCGUGAAUCGAUGAACAUUUCUAGAAUUGAGGAACAUUUUUUUGGAAAUUUUUGGAACAAUUUUUGAAAUUCACGAACAUUUUUAGAUUUGGCGAACCUUUUGGAUUUAACAAUCCUUUUUUUAAAUGCAUGAUCAUUUCUUGAAUUAGCGGACAUGUUGUGAAUGAAUAAACUUUUUUCUAAGUCACAAACAGUUUUAUUUUUAUUUUUAGGAUAUCUUUCCAUUCAUGAAUAUGUUUUGAAUUUGCAAAAUUUUGUUCAGUUUCAUUAAUAUUUUUUAAUACACAAACUUGUUAAAGAAUCAUGAACAAUUCUUGAUUUUCCAAACAUUUUGUUUCAAAUUUCGUAUAUUUUUUCAACAAGCAAACUUUCUUACAAAAUCACUAACAUUUUUUAAAUACACAAACAUUUUAUGAUUUAUUAAAAAUUUAUUCGAAAUUCAUUUUUUUUUAAUUUUUGGAACAUUUUGGAAGUCCCAAAUUAUUUAAAGUAGGAAAAACGAAAAUAAAUAGGAAAAAGAAGAAAAAUAUAAUUUUAAAAAAUAGGCCGCCCGGAUACGUGCCGGCCCAAACGGACGUGUUGCGUCUUCGGCGAAUCGUAUUUGACACAUACGCGCUCGUUUGCAAACGGUCGCCUGCAGGCUGCGACUAGUUGGGCCCGGGCCUACUUCCCGUUUCUUUCUAGGAAAAAAAAGAGGUUUGCGCGCAGCCGGAGUCAAACUCGCGACCUCUUCCUCAACCUCCAACAACAACAACCACUAUGCCAUCCAGGAACCACUAAUGCACAACCUGUUUUCCUUUUCUUUGUUCCCUACAUUCGCGGGAAUCCUCCGGUUUUGGGAAGCUUUCAGAAGCUUCCCAAACCGGGUUUUCUCCCAGUUCGUUGUCAUUUUCGGGGUGAUCCUCAUUUUGGUUUUCUAUUCUUUUUGUUAUUUUCUAAAUGUGUGUUUUUCUAAGUCGAUGGUUUUCCAUUUUUGUGUUUUUUUACAAAACAACCGAUGACCUUUUUUGUAAUUUUAUGAACUUUUUUUCUAAAUUGAUGAACGUUUUUCAAAAUCGAUGAACUUUUUUUCAAAAUUGAUGAACUUUUUUCAAAUGCGAUGAACUUUUUUCUAAUUUUAUGAACUUUUGUUUGAAAUUGAUGAAGGUUUUUCAAAUUUGAUGAACUUUUUUUAAGUUUGAUGAACACUUUUUAUAAUUCAAUGAACUCUUUUUCAAAUUUGAUGAACCUUUUUUCUAGUUUGAUGAACUUUUUUUCGAAAUUGAUGAACUGUUUUCAAAUGUGAUGAACUUUUUUGCAAAAUUAUGAACUAUUUUCAAAUCCGUUGAAUGUUUUUCAAAUGUGAUGAACUUUUUAAAAAAAUCCAAUGUACUUUUUUCAAAUCCGAUGAACUUUUUUCUAAUUUGUGACUUUUUUCCAAUCUGAUGAACUAUUUUUCAAAAUUAUGAACUUUUUUCAAAUUUCAUCGAAAUAUUUCAUCAAUUUUUUAAAAAGUUCAUAAAAAAUCCAUCGAUUUGAUAAGAGUUCACGAAUUUGAAAAGAAUUCAUCAUAUAAGGAAGAGAAAAAAAGAAAAACUAAAAACGAAUAAGGGAAAAAGGAAAAAAAGGAAAAAGUAAAGAAGAAACCAGAAAAGAGGGGAAAAGAUGUAAGCUAUCAAAUGUGCAUAUCUGGCCGUCUGGUUAGAUCGUUGCAUCCUGGAACAAGAGGUCGCUGGUUUGAUCCUUCUCCCGCGCGCCAUUUUUCUUUCUUUGUUUCCUUUCGGCCGCUCCUUCGUUUUGGGCUGGCCCAAAAGCACGACAGUGUGGGCACCGAAACUCCUAGUUGGCGCCAAAGGCGCUGACUAGGAGCUCCCUGCGUCUUCUCCAGCAUGCAGAGCGCAAUAAAGGAGGUUUCUACUGCAUGGGCCAACUCAGGCGGGGCAUUCCCCUAUGUGAAACGUUUUUUAUUACAUAUAGAUGGCAUUGAUGGGUAUUUUGUAAAUUUGGUGGCAAUUUUAAUGACGUACGCCAGAAGCAAUAACCCCUUUAUUAUUAGAUGUGUAAUAUACAGACUUAACCUUUUAGAUAAUUCAACGCAUAAGUGAGAAUGAACAAGUAAAAAUGAGAUUUUUUUGUUGCAAAAAUUAUCCAAAUCUAUUAUCAAAGUUCACCGAAGUCAAAGCACCUCAAACAUAAUAUUUAUAUCGAGAUUUCGAGACCACCAAACGACCAUUACCGUCGCCAAAAUAAGCCACCGAUGUGUUGUUGUCGUCGCUAUCCUACCAGAGCCGACUUGACCUUGUCGAUGACAACCGGGAAGUCUUCGUGCACAUGCCCUUAAGGACCAGCACCUUGGAGCCACACUGGUCACGUUGAACCCUUGAAUAAUAUGAAGCACCUGAAAUCAAAUCUCGUCAUAUGAGGAUAAACCCUAGCCUCAUCCCAAGAAGACGGGGGGAAUCUACGGUGAAGCUCUGUCGAUUAUAUCUAGAUGGACAACCUCGAGGAGGAUCGAAACCUAGAAGAUAAACUUAAAUAAGACGCGCCUCCAUCCGCCCGAGCACCGCACCUAUGAGGAAUAAAAAGCCCUAACCUAAACUACUAACCAGAGUGCACGCAUCGGGAUUCCGCUCUUUGCCAUGGGCCGCCGAAGCAGCAGACAAAAGGAUGGCAAAUUCAUUGGCUCACUGACGAAGCCUGGAGGGAAGAGUUGCCGUACCCGCCGCCAAGGAAUAGGAAAUGGAAAGAGAAAUCCGGAGCCUAGAAGUGAGAAUUCUUUUGGCAUCCGCAUUAUCACCGCUUUGUGUAUCAUUGGCGGGAUUAUCCUCAACAACGUAGGCCGGAGUUGAGAACAGUUACAAGCUGCAACACUUGAGCGAUGGGCAGGGGCUCUGGCCUCUGAUCACAAGACAACAUUGUGAUGAAGGCUGGGGUCAGGGGCUCCGACCCUUGCUUACAAGGCAGCAUUGUUGUCGCUGGGGGCAUUGAGUGGUGUGACAUCAGUUAGUUGAGCAGCUUCAGCUCUGGCACUAGAAGCUGUGACAAGAGGUCAUCAAACCGUACACCCAGCGGCAAAGAAAACCAUAAUUUGCCAUGGGCAUCUUCGUGCAUCACCGGACUCAUCAUCGGAUGAGAACACCCUUCAACAAAAGCAAGGUUAGUUAAACAAGGUUAUGAUGUGUUGGAAGAUGAACUUUGUAAAUAAAUUGGCUAGUGAACACACCUUCUGAUGAGGACCUGCACAGCUUUACUACUACUACAGAUGAUUUUACUGCCCUGGCAAGUUUUGCAUACUCCUCAAAUUUAUAUUUUUUACUUUUGAGAGACGCUGAAAUGAACCUUAGCUUGGUGUUGUGUCUAAGCUGAAUACCGUUUACAUUCCUACAUAAUUCUUUGUUUAUUUAACGGUUCCUCUUUAAGUGUAGGAUAUCAUAGUUGCAAAGAUUUUUGCGACUUCAGUUAUAUAUCCUUGCGGAUAAUGAUGCUAAGGAGAAAAUUCAAUAUUUUCCAAAUAUGACUAGUAAUGAAAGCCACCAUUCCAGAGAAGCAAAUUAAAGUAAUCCCGAGUUACCGUGUUUCGCAUAACAUUCGUACAUACAGUUCUACCAAAUUUCAGAUCUCACAACCAGGAGCAAAGAUUUUACAAUAUAUGAAAGUUCAACCAACUAGUAAAAAAUAUCCUAAAAUUUAUAAAAGUAACAACACUAUAGAACAAGCAUUAUCAAUGUUUUACUUUUACCUGAUCCGGAUCCUUAGAAGCUCCUCUCCCCUCCGCCGCCCCUCGUGCGGGCGACGGAGGGGCUCCACCCCUAGCUGCCGGGUCACCGCCCCUCCCUCUCCAUCCCCACCGUCGCCGCUGGUGGUAGGCUGAAAGUGCAACUAAUCCCUGGGUGGCUUUGGUAAUUCAUAACAACAUAUAGCUCAUUCAACUAAUACUCUUUCAAGAUCAAUAUUUUAGAAAGUUCAAUGAUUGGUAUGGCAUGGACUAGAGAUGUGGACCCCUCAAGAAUGCUAAGGACUCAUAUUGGCAAAAGCUCAAGACUCAACAUUUUCAUUUUAGUGAUCCAAGAUCACAUUGAGUCUAUAGGAAAGCCAAUACUAUUAGAAGGGGAUGAGGUGUUGCUUAAUGGCUUGCUUGCUCAAAUGCUUAGUGAUAUGCUCCAAAAUCCCUCAACCACUUUCUCAUUUACACAUAUGUCCUAAACCUAAAGUCAAACUCGGCCCCACCAAUUUGAUCUAUCCGGCGCCACCGAGUUCACUUGACAUAGCCAUACCCACAAACCCUAAUCAGUUCGGUCUUACCGAUAGGGAUCUUGGUCUCACCGAGAUGGGAAUGCAAACUCUCUGUUUCCCUUCGUAACGUUUCGGUCUAACCGAAGUGAGCGAUCGGUCCCACCGAGUUGGCAUUGCAAACUCUCUGUUUCCUUUUCGUAACGUUUCGGUCUAACCGAGAUAAGCUAUCGGUCCCAUCGAGUUUGCUUGACCAAGUCUCUGUUUGCUUAUUACUAAAAUCAGUCUCACUGAGUUCAUGUGACCGGUCUCACCAAGAUGAGGUUUUGCCCUAACCCUAGCGCAUCGGUCUCACCAAGUUGAUGUUGUUGGUCCCACCGAAAUGCCUAAAGUUCACAUUUUGAACCAAGUCGGUCUGACCGAGUCUAACCAUUCGGUCCCACCGAGUUUGGAAAUUUGUGUGUAACAGUUAGAUUUUGUGUGGAGGCUAGAUAUACCCCUCCACCCCCUUCUCCAUUUGUGAGAGAGCCAUCAGAAUGUGCCUACACUUCCACUACUCAUUUUCUGAGAGAGAACCACCUGCUCAUGUGUUGAGACCAAGACAUUCCAAUCCAACCACUAGAAUCUUGAUCUCUAGCCUUCUACAAGUUGCUUUCCACUCAAAUCGUCUUUCCACCAUAGCCAAAUUUGUGUGAGAGAGUUGAGUGUUGGCGAGACUAUCAUUUGAAGCAAAAGAGCAAGGAGUUCAUCAUCAACACACCAUCUAUUACCUUUUGGAGAGUGGUGUCUGCUAGAUUGGUUAGGUGUCACUUGGGAGCCUCCGUCAAGAUUGUGGAGUUGAACCAAGGAGUUUGUAAGGACAAGGAGAUCGCCUACUUCGUGAAGAUCUACCCUAGUGAGGCAAGUCCUUCAUGGGUGAUGGACAUGGUGGGAUAGACAAGGUUGCUUCUUCAUGGACCCUUCAUGGGUGGAUCCCUCCAUGGACUCGCGCAACCGUUACCCUUCGUGGGUUGAAGUCUCCAUCAACGUGGAUGUACGAUAGCACCACCUAUCGAACCUCGCCAAAAAUCUCCGUGUCUACAUUGCAUUUUCUCCCUCCAAACUCCUCCCCUUUACCUUCAUAUGCAAUGAUUUACAUUCCGCUGUUAUACUCUUAGAAUUUCAUGUGUAGGUUGAUUGCUUGACUUGUGUUAAGUUGCUAAAAUAUGCCAAGACAUAAAAUUGAGAAAAGGCUAGAUUUUUAUUUGGUCAAGUAGUCUAAUCACCCCCCUCUAGACAUACUUUCGAUCCUACAAGUGGUAUCAGAGCUUUGGUCUCCAUUUGCCUUGAUUUCCAUAGCUUUGGUGAUCAUAGCUUUGGUUUCAUAACCUAGGAGAGUAUGGCGUCUAGCGAGGGAAAUUACCACCGUAGAGGUCCUUACGUUGAUGGUACUAAUUUUGCUAGUUGAAAGCAUAAGAUGAAAAUGCAUAUUCUUGGACAUAACCCCGCCAUUCGGGCUAUUGUGUGCAUUGGUUUGCAAGGUGGAUUCUUUGAUGGGAGAGAACCAAAUCGUGAAGCAACUGCGGAAGAGUUGAAGAUGCUGCAAUACAACGCUCAAGCUUGUGAUAUCCUCUUCAAUGGAUUGUGCCCCGAAGAAUUCAACAAAAUCAGCCAUCUUGAAAAUGCAAAGGAAAUUUGGGAUACUUUGAUUGAUAUGCACGAAGGUACUGAGCCCGUCAGGGAAUCUAAGUUGGAUGUGCUUCAAAGUCAACUUGACAAGUUCAAAAUGAAGGAUGGUGAAGUUCUCACUGAAAUGUACUCUAGGCUUGCUCUCAUCACAAAUGAGAUUGCCGGCUUAGGAAGUGAAGAGAUGACUGACAGAUUCAUCAUCAAGAAGAUCCUAAGAGCCUUGGAUGGGAAAUAUGAUACCGUGUGUACAUUGAUCCAAAUGAUGCCCAAUUACAAAGAUCUCAAGCCAACAGAAGUCAUUGGAAGAAUUGUUUCUCAUGAGAUGUCACUCAAGGAUAAAGAAGAGCUUCACAACAAAUCUAGUGGUGCAUAUAAAGACUCAUGUGAUGCUCCUGCAACAUCAAAGUGAAAAACCAGUCUUCAAUGAGGAAUUGAGAUUAAUGGUGAAGAACUUCAACAAAUUCUACAAGAGUAGAAGCAAAGAAAGAAGCUCCAAGUCAAGAUCCUACCAUGACAAAAGAUCUUCUAGUUGUGAGUGAAAUUGCUACAAUUGUGGAAGACCCAGACACUACUCCAAUGAGUGUACGGCUCCCUACAAAAGAAGAAAAGACUCACCUAAAAGAAGAAGUAGAAGAGAGGAAUCACCUCCAAGAGAUAGAAGGAGUAGAGAUGAUCAUUAUGAACUAAGAACCUCUCGCAGAAGCAAGGAUUCAGAAAGUAGGGACAAGUCAUCAAAGAGCUACACAAAAUGAAGACAUCAAGCUCAUGUUGGUGAAUGGAUAUCCGGUUCUGACUCCGACCACCACUCCGAGAGAAGUUAUCACUCCGACUCCGCAUAUACUUAAGAUGAAGAUGUUGCCGGUCUUGCACUUGUGUCAACCAACUCCUACGACAUAUUUGAAUCACCAAAUAAAGGAAUUGGAAGAUGCUUCAUGGCUAAAGGCCCCAAGGUAUCACACCCCGAGUAUUUUGAUUUCAAUAGUGAUGAAGAUGACUUGCUAGGUGAUGAUGAUUUACUUGUUGAAAAUGCUAGUGAUGAAAACUAUGAUGAAAUUGCUAUUAAUCAUGCUAAUGAAGAUGAAACAAAUGACAAUGAUAAGAAGGAGAUUGAGCGUCUAACUAAAGAACUAAACACUCUUAAGUUAGCUCAUGAAACUACUUUAGAAGAUCAUCGAGAACUUUUAAAAACUCAUGAGAAGCUACGCUUCGAGAAGUUCAACCUAGAGUAAGAACAUGGGUUCUUAAAAGCCAUCAAUGAUGAUCUUCAGAAGAAAAGUUCUUCUUACAUUGCCAAGCGUUUACUCUUGUCUACUUACAUGCCACAAGUAAAAUCUAGCAACAAGAUUAAGAAAGAUUGUUCUUCUAGUAGUAACAAUAACCAUGAUAAAUCCAAUAUUGUUGCUUCUAGUAGUUCUCUUGAUUACACUAAUGAUUCUCUUAGCCAAGUUACACUUGAGCAAGAAAAUGGCUUAUUGAAGGGAAUUAUAGAGAAAGGUGUUUACAAGAGCCUUGUCAGAAGUAAGCAACUUGAGGAAAUUGUACACAAGCAAGGAAGGCACCGAAAGAAUCAAGGUGUUGGUUUUGAAUGAAAGUUCAAUGCCAAUGGAGUUGAGUGGGAAGAAGAUCAAUACCCCAAGACGAAGUUUGUUCCUCAACAAGAGAAGUAUGAUCCUUCUUCCUUCAAGGGGACACAAGCUCAAGAUGAUCUUCCACCACAAGACCACAAGCUAAAAGGCAAGGACAAGCUUCAAGAAGAGAUUGAUACAUUUGAAGAUGCUCCAAAGGCCUUGGUCAAGUGGGUUCCCAAGUCUACCUCAAGUUCUACGUCAUCAAGUACAUCUACAACCCCAAGGAUUCCCGUCAAGAUGAUGUGGAUCCCAAAGAAGAAGAACUAGAGAGUUCUUGAGGGUGACUCCGCCAACAUACUUCACUCAUAUUCAUAUUGGCAAGAACAAGUGUAAUCAACUUCCACAUCUUGCACUAGUUCAAGGAGUCACAAACUCUCUUGAUAGUAAGUCAAGGAACAAGGUAACCUAAUGCUUCCAUGGACAUCAUCAUAUGUGUGUACUUCACUCUAUGUCUACGGAUAUCCUUGUUUGUUCAUUGUGGGACUAACCCAUGUAGGUAUUGAAAGUGCAACUCACUCCAAUGGAUUGCUCCAAAUGAUCCACAUCUUCAACAUCUACAUGAAGUCAUCAUUGACAAACCCAAGGUUAGUUCAUCCCUCUAAAAGGGGAUAGCACAUCUAGGGGGAGCUUUACUCUAAGAAUUGAGCUAAAGCAACUCUAAUGGUGUGAACACAACAUUGCUUUAUGUAAAAGUGGCAACCCCACUUGUGCUUAAACGAUGAGUAUGACCUAUGAUCAUAUGUUCUCAUUUGACUCCUAAGUCAAUAUAUUCAUAUAUAGAUGACCUAGUUAUCGCCAAUUUCUUGAUAGAUGCUAGAGUGUUUGUGCAUGCUUGCCACAUAUUUCAUUUGCAAUCUUAUUGUGUGAGCAUGUUGAUUGCAUAAUUUUAUCCAUUCGAGGACAUCCAUUUGUUGUUUUGAUUGUUUGGUCUUUUCUUUGGCCAAAUGGAUGGACAAGAAUGCCUAAGAACUUCCUCUAGCUAUCUAUGCUUUUCUCGUCUCAAACUCUAUUCAUGUUACAUCACAAAGUUUGAUCAAUUCAGAUUCUAACCCUCUGGGUGAGGAGCACUCAGAGUCACCGAUUCGUCAUAGACUUAAACUUCCAAAACCUCUCUGUGCAUUUCGGUCUGACCGAUUCAUCCUUUUCGAUCGUACCGAGUUCACUGAGUUGAUCUAGGUUUUCAGUCUCGGUGCAACCGAUUAGAACUCUUCAGUCACACCGAGUUAUAGUAACCGCUUGCGAUUCUGCAUCUCGGUGCCACCGAGUUGUUCUAGUUGGUCUCACCGACAGAGUCUGGAUAUAUAUACCAUGAGUCGAAUUUUUGGAAACUUCUCCAAAAACCCUUCGCCUGCGCUAUCCAGCUUUACUGACCCAGGUCUCCGGUCGUCGCCUCUGUUGCCAGCAUCCUCCUGCCGCUGGACUCCGCUGUCGUCAACGGGAUCUCCUCCGCCAUUGUCACCAUAGCGAACUCACCGCCAAGUUAGGGUAUGGGUUCGAUCCUUUGUGCUUUCUAACUCCGAUUCUUAACACAAAUAUAAUGUCAUGAUUCUUGCCACAAUUGAAACUAUUCUAUCCAGUAGGAACUUCCUUUAGAUUAGAUUUGAUUCGAAAAUUUAGGGUUAGGUUUCCGCUAAGCUCAUCUCGGACCGACCGAGUUGUAGAAAUCGGUCCCACCAAUUUGGCCUAGGCCAUUGCACUAUGAUUUUUGGUCUGACUGAAACUUGCAAAUAGGUGUGACCGAGUUUAGAACUUUGUGAAACCCUAGCAAUAUCGGUGUCACCGAACUGUGCCUCGGUGUGGCCGAGUUCACUAGUUUAGACACUGAAAGUUGCUUCGGUGUCACCGAGUUCAGCAAAUUGGUAGCUCUGAAAUGACUUCAGUAGAAAACUAAAACUAAGUUUUUGGCUCAUUUGUUUUGCAAAAGCUCUGCACUUUGUGAUUCUCAUCCACUCUAUCUCAUCUACAUCUAUUCACAGGGUCAGCUUUUAGUUUGUAGCCAUGUCUGACAACAGUGACAGUCAAAAUAUGUCAGAGGAAUAGGUUCAGAUGAGUGAGGGCACUAAUCCCUCUGAGAGCAGUCAAGAUGAUGGGAGCAGAAGCACUCCCAGUAACCUGCCCAAAGCUGCAACUAGGCAGAGGAAGAAGAAGACAUCUGAUUCUGAGGAUGAAGACUUUGUGAUUGAUGAGGAAGUGUCAUCCAAGAGGAAAGGAGACAAGAAGGAAACUAGCACUGCUGCUAAGCCAGGGUCGAAGACAAAAGCUCCUGCUAAAAAAGUUCCUAUGUCCAAAGCCGGAGCCUUAACCCAAGAGACUAUGGUGUUCACUCUUGAACCCAAAGAGGUUGGUGAGGGCAAGAAAAGGAAGGAGAGGGUCAAGAAAACAAUGGCCAGAGUCAUUGGGAGAUCUUCUAUGAUCAGAGACCCAAAAGAAGAUGAAGAGCAAGAGGCACCUCCUGCCAAAUCAUAGAAAUGGAUGGGGGAUGCAAUCAAAUCAGGGGCUGCUCCUUCUAAGCCCAAAUCUUCCCCCAAGCUUGCUGCUUAAGCCCCAAAGAGAUCCACCAGGAACAUAUCUGCUACUGAGAAGAACAAGGCCCCAGUGCCUAAAAUGGAAGAAGACAAAGAUGAGCAAGUGCUCAGAAAGUUGAAGCCGAUACCUUAUCAUGAUGACACUCACCCUGUUGCUGAAAACAUGAAGCUCGGGAAGGAUGCAGGUCUCAGGCUAUGGAGGAAAAAUGACCCAUAUGCCACCAGAAGGAGAAUAGCUGUUGACUACAAGUUCCACACAAAGGAACAUCAAGACUUCUAUGAGAGUGUAAUGCUUGACAAGAAGCCAAUUGUCAAUGAUAUGAGAUGGGUCGACUGGAAGUACAUUGACAACAAUGAAGAUCACUUUCCAAGAGUCCAUAAGAGCUUCAGACUAACAGGUGUUGAUGCUUUUGUUGGCCAAAAGCUAACUAAAUGGAACGAUGAGCUGAUCAUGCAGUUCUACUCCACAACACAUGUUUACCCGGAUGGUAAAAUUGUGUGGAUGACAGAGGGCACCAGGUACCAAUCAAUUGUGGCUGAGUAGGCAAAGCUGAUAAAUGCCCCAGAAGAGCUUGAUGAUGAUACAUAUGUCUAUGCUAAGCCAAGGAAGGGACAUGACUCCAUGGCUCAUAUAUACAAGGAAAUCCCAGCUGCUGCUUUGGACACCCACAAGUUUGGGUCUGUUUAUUAUCUGCUAUUAGGUCUACCAACAAUCAACACUAUUCUCAAACACACCUUGCUGCCCAAGUCUGAAGAUGACAUGAUGAUCAGAGGGCACUCAAUCAAUCCGCAUCAUAUGUUUGAUGUGCCUGAAAAGUUCAAGGUGAUGACACUGAUUGUAGAGACAAUCAAGAGGACUGAUGCAAAUCAGAAGAGAUCAUGUGGUUAUGCUCCACAAAUCCAGAUGCUCAUUAACUCCAAGAUGGGCAAGAGCAUGUAUCUUCUAGAUAAGGAACAUCUUCCUCUGCUGCCAGAGUUUGAAGAUAAUGUGGUUGUCAUGGAUCCAUCCCAUCCCACAUUUGUGCAUGCUCAGGAGAAGAAAGAGAAAGCCAAAGCUGAGAGGGCUGCCAAGAUUCCGAGUGCAGAAGAAGCCUCUCAAGUUUUCCUGAAAUCCAAGCAAGACCAACUGGGCUAUCUCAUCCAAGCAACAUUGAGGAUUGAGAAAGGGCUGGCAACCCUGACUCAGAACCAAGAGAGUCUAGAGAGGAUCUUUGAGACUAAAAUGCAUGACUUAGAUGUGAAGGUCACAGAAAUUCAGUCUACACUAGAGAAGAUCCAAGAAGAUCUUGAAGACAGGGAUGAGGGACCUACUACAAAUGCUUUUCAGCAAGUCCCAAGGGGACCUAGGUCAUCAACUGUGCCAAUUGUGACAGAUCCCAGACCCAUAGUGUCAGCACCUACAGCUACAGCUUCAAUUGCUCCUCUAAUUGCAACUCCACCAGCUCCUCAGACUUCUUCAGAUGCAUUUGUUGCAGGACUCCUCUCCACACCACCUUCGCACUCCGGAGCUCCCGGAGAUCGUGCUUAGAGACGCAUAACACUAUACAUUUUAAAGCUUUUUGGUAACUUGUUGCCAAAGCGGGAGAAAGUGUAUAGAUCAUAGGCUUCGAGAGAGAGAGUGCUUGCUUCUUUUGCCUCUUUUUGCUACUCCAUUUGCUUUCCUUGUGUGGUUGAAACGAUAUUUUAUGCUUGUGUGUGAGAUACUCUUCUGAUUAUAUGUUUGAUCAUGUCAUACUUGAAUGCUUGUGCUUAAUGAUGAUAUUCUUAUCUUAUGUAUGAUCAUUCAUAUCUUAUCUUGGUGAUGAGUGCAUAUUCCAUAUUCUAUCAUUUUGAACGCUCCACCAAGAUGUAUGUGACAUGGAAGAGUGACCCAUAAUCCUAAUUCCUUCUGCAUUUGCAUUCAAAAGCAAAUUUAAAUAAUGUACUUAUUUAGGGGGAGCUCUUGCUUAUCACAUACUUCUCAAAGCGACGAUGUACUUCAUUUAUAUUAUCAUUUGUCAAAGCUUUGAUCUAUAUGUUGUCAUCAAUUACCCAAAAGGGGGAGAUUGAAAGUGCAACCAAUCCCCAGGUGGUUUUGGUAAUUCAUAACAACAUAUAGUUCAUUGAACUAAUACUCUUUCAAGAUCAAUAUUUUAGAAAGUUCAAUGAUUGGUAUGGCAUGGACUAUAAAUGUGGACCCCUCAAAAUGCAAAGGACUCAUAUUGGCAAAAGAUCAAGACUCUACAUUUUCAUUUUAGUGAUCCAAGAUCACAUUGAGUCUAUAGGAAAGCCAAUACUAUUAGAAGGGGAUGAGGUGUUGCUUAAUGGCUUGCUUGCUCAAAAUGCUUAGUGAUAUGCUCCAAAAUCCCUCAACUACUUUCUCAUUUCCACAUAUGUCCUAAACCUAAAGUCAAACUCGGCCCCACCGAUUUGAUCUAUCCAACGCCACCGAGUUCACUUGACAUAGCCAUAUCCACAAACCCUAAUCAGUUCGAUCUUACCGAUAGGGAUCUCGGUCUCACCGAGAUGGGAAUGCAAACUCUCUGUUUCCCUUCAUAACGUUUUGGUCUAACCGAAGUGAGCGAUCGGUCCCACCGAGUUGGCAUUGCAAACUUUGUGUUUCCUUUUCGUAAUGUUUCGGUCUAACCGAGAUAGGCUAUCGGUCCCACCGAGUUUGCCUAACCAAGUCUCUGUUUGCUUAUUACUAAAAUCAGUCUCACCGAGUUCAUGUGAUCGGUCUCACCAGGAUGAGGUUUUGCCCUAACCCUAGCACAUCGGUCUCACCGAGUUGAUGCUGUCGGUCCCACUGAAAUGCCUAACGUUCACAUUUUGAACCAAGUCGGUCUGACCGAGUCUAACCAUUCGGUCCCACCGAGUUUGGGAAUUUGUGUGUAACGGUUAGAUUUUGUGUGGGGGCUAUAUAUACCCGUCCACCCCCUUCUCCAUUUGUGAGAGAGCCACCUGAACGUGCCUACACUUCCACUACUCAUUUUUGAGAGAGAACCACCUACUCAUGUGUUGAGACCAAGACAUUCCAAUCCAACCACUAGAAUCUUGAUCUCUAGCCUUCCCCAAGUUGCUUUCCACUCAAAUCAUCUUUCCACCAUAGCCAAAUCUGUGUGAGAGAGUUGAGUGUUGGGAAGACUAUCAUUUGAAGUACAAGAGCAAGGAGUUCAUCAUCAACACACCAUCUAUUACCUUUUGGAGAGUGGUGUCUGCUAGAUUGGUUAGGUGUCACUUGGGAGCCUCCGUCAAGAUUGUGGAGUUGAACUAAGGAGUUUGUAAGGGCAAGGAGAUCGCCUACUUUGUGAAGAUCUACCCUAGUGAGGCAAGUCCUUCAUGGGUGAUGGCCAUGAUGGGAUAGACAAGGUUGCUUCUUGAAAGCACAAGUGCUCCCUAGGUGGUUUUGGUAAUUAAUGUCAACAUAUCUCUUAUUGGACUAACACUUUUAUCUAGUAUGUUUCAGAUAAGUUCAACAAUGGAGUGGCAUGGACUAAAGGAUGUGGGAACUCCUUCAAGAUGCUAAGGACAAAGGAUUGGCUCAAGCUUCAAGCUCAAGACUCUUCAUUUUACAUUUUAGUGAUCCAAGAUCACAUUGAGUCUAUAGGAAAAGCCAAUACUAUCAAGAAGGGAUGAGGUGUUGCUUAAUGAGUUUCUUGCUCCACAGUGCUUAGUGAUAUGCUCCGAAACCCUCAACUACUUUCCCACUUCCACACAUAUGACCUAAACCUAAAGUCAAACUCGUCCGCACCGAUUCUUUCUAUCCGCCGCCACCGAGUUCAGAUGUCAUAGCCACUGCCACAAACCCUAGGCAAAUUGGUCUCACCGAUAGGGAUCUCGGUCUCACCGAGAUGGGAUUGUAAUCUCUCUGUGUAUGUCCAUUACCAAAAUUGGUUUCACCGAGUUUGAGCAAUCGGUACUACCGAGAUUACAAUGCAAACUUCCUGGUUGACUCAUUACCAAAAUCGGUCCUACCGAGUUUGUGUAAUCGGUCCAACCGAGUUUGCCUGACCAACUCUCUGGUUAGCUAAUUACCAAAAUUGGUCCAACCGAGUUUGUGUAAUCGGUCUCACCGAGAUUACAUUAUGCCCUAACCCUAACCAUAUCGGUCCUACCGAGUUGCAUAUCGGCCCAUCGAAAAUCCUAACGGUCACUAGAUUUACUAAAUCGGUCCGACCGAGUUUGUUGAUUCGGUCCCACCGAGUUUGGUAAAUUGUGUGUAACGUUAGAUUCUGUGUGGAGGCUAUAUAUACCCCUCCACCUCUUCUUCAUUCAUUUUACUCAAAGCAAGAUCCUAUCCUCAACACAUAAGUUUAUUGCUUUGAGUAAGAUGAAUUCUAGUGAUCCUAUGUUUGGUGAUUGUUUAUUUGAGCUUACAAACCUUAUGCGUGCCAAAGGAGAUGUUGGAAUUAUUAGUGAUAUUAUUUCCGAAGCUAUAAAAAUUCAUAAGCAAGACCAUUGUCAAACUCACUCUAACGAAUCACCCUCUCUAGGAUUUGAUCCACCAUAUGACGAUGUUGAACAUGGAUACUAUGAUGAGGAUGAUGAUAGUGACUUCGAUCUUGAUGAUGCAAUGAGACACUUUGGUCUUAUGGCAAAUCUUCAGGGAUAUAUGUUAGGAGGAAAGGAAUGGGUUCUUGAUAGUGGAUGUACCGAUCACAUGACCGGAGAUAAAGACAUGUUUCGUGAGCUUGCUGAAAAUGAUAGUCCUCGAAAGUAUGUCACGUUGGGUGACAACUCAAAGGGUAAGGUGGUUGGCCUCGGUAAGGUGGCCAUAUCACAUGAUAGCUCCAUACAAAAUGUCAUGCUCAUUGAAUCUCUUGGAUACAACUUACUUUCAGUAUCUAGACUUGCUGAUUUCGGUUUCAAUGUACUAUUUACUGAAGUAGAUUGCCAAGUGUUUCGUCGAGACAAUCAUAAAAUGGUCUUUACCGGUAUACGUAGAGGUGAUCUAUACAUUGUUGAUUUCACUAAAAAGGCUCAACCUAAAACUUGCUUCAUUGCUAAAUCCUCAAAAGGUUGGUUAUGGCAUAGACGACUAGGUCACAUUGGUAUGACAAACCUUGACAAGCUUAUUAAAGGAAAUCAUAUCCUUGGUGUUAACGAUGUCAUAUUUGAUAAGGAUAGACUUUGCAGCGCUUGUCAAGCAGGUAAACAGGUUGGAGGGAGGAAUCCCGUGAAGAACAUCAUGACCACAAGGAGGCCGCUCGAGCUACUUCACACGGAUCUUUUUGGUCCCAACUCUUACAAGAGUCUCGGUGGAAAUUCUUUUGGUCUAGUUAUAGUUGAUGAUUUUCAAGAUUUACGUGGGUGUUCUUUCUCGAUGAUAAAUCGCAGGUCCAAAAGAUCUUCAAAAACUUCGCUAGGAAGGCCCAAAAUCAAUUUGAAGUGAAGAUCAAGAAGGUUCGCAGCGACAACGGAACGGAAUUCAAGAACGCAAAUGUGGACACCUUUCUUGACGAAGAAGGGAUUUCACACGAGUUCUCGGCUACGUACACACCUCAACAAAAUGGAGUUGUUGAGAGGAAGAACUGGAUGCUCAUCGAAAUGGCGAGAACGAUGCUUGAUGAGUACAAGACACCAAAGCACUUUUGGGCAGAAGCGGUUGAGACAGCUUGUCAUGCAACAAAUCGCUUGUAUCUUCACAAGCUACUUGGCAAGACGGCAUACGAGCUCCUCACCGGUAACAAACCCCAAGCUGGAUACUUUCGAGUAUUCGGCUCAAAGUGCUACAUUCUUGAUAAGCAUCGUCGUUCUAAAUUUGCUCCUAAGUCUCAUGAAGGUUUCCUACUAGGUUAUGGCUCAAACUCUCACACGUCACCUGAAAGGUUGAAGAGACGGUAGAUGUGAAGUUUGAUGAAUCUAAUGGCUCGCAAGUAGAGCAAUUGCCAAUUGAUGUAGGAGACAAAGAUCCUUCGGAAGCAAUCCAAGACUUGUCUAUUGGCAAGGUUCGUCCAACGGAGGUGAAGGAGAGUACCUCGUCCAUCCAAGUGGAAGCUUCUACUUCAUGACAAGGUGAACCAAGAGUUGAUACGGAAGUAUCCACAAGUGGGACACACCAAGAUGAAGAAAACGAGGAAGUGCAUCAAGAUGAACGUCAACAACCUCCUUCUCCACCAUGACAAGAGAACGACAACGCUAACAAUGAAGAAAUCCAAGAAGAAGAACAAGAUGAAGAAGAAGUUCAACCAAGAAACAAGCAAAAGCUUUCACGAGUUAGAGCAAGAAUUGCUAAAGACCAUCCCGUCGAGCAAAUCUACAAUGAUAUUCAAACCGGGAGAAUCACUCGCUCUAAAACUCGUUUAGCUAACUUUGGUGAAAACUAUUCUUUCAUCUCUAGCAUUGAACCUAUGAAGGUCGAAGAAGCAUUGGAAGAUCCGGAUUGGAUAAAUGCUAUGCAUGACACAGCUACACAACUUUGAGAGGAACCAAGUUUGGACAUUGGUUGAGAAGCCCGACAACAACCACAACAUCAUCGGUACCAAAUGGGUGUUUCGCAACAAGCAAGAUGAAGACGGACAAGUAGUUCGCAACAAAGCACGUUUCGUCGCCCAAGGCUACACACAAGUCGAAGGUAUGGACUAUGGUGAGACUUAUGCUCCCGUUGCUAGACUUGAAUCCAUUCGCAUCUUACUUGCCUAUGCUAAUCACCAUGAUAUCACCUUGUGCCAAAUGGACAUUAAAAGUGCUUUUCUAAAUGGUGAAAUAGAGGAGGAAGUUUAUGUUAAGCAACCUCCAGGCUUUGUCAAUCUUAAGAAACCCAAUAAUGUUUACAAACUUCACAAAGCUCUUUAUGGUCUUAAACAAGCUCCUAGAGCAUGGUAUAAAUGCUUGACCAAGUUUCUUAUUGAAAAAGGCUUUGAAAUUGGGAAAAUUGAUUCCACACUUUUUACUAAAAGGGUUAAUGGAGAACUAUUUGUGUGCCAAAUCUAUGUUGAUGAUAUUAUAUUUGGUUCAACGAACCCUCAUUUUAGUGAAAAGUUUGGGAAGCUAAUGUCGGAGAAGUUUGAGAUGUCUAUGAUGAGUGAACUCAAAUUCUUUCUUGGUUUGCAAAUCAAGCAAACUAAGGAAGGUACCUUUGUCUCUCAAACAAAGUACACCAAGGACCUAUUCAAGAAGUUCAAUAUGCAAGAAUGCAAAGGUAUGACUACACCCAUGCCUACUAGUGGACAUCUUGACUUGACCAAAGAUGGUGAACCGGUUGAUCAAAAGGUUUAUCGCUCUAUGAUUGGUUCAUUGUUAUAUCUAUGUGCUUCACAUCCCGAUAUCAUGCUAAGUGUGUGCAUGUGUGCACGAUAUGAAGCUGCUCCUAAAGAAUGUCAUCUUAAGGCCGUGAAAAGGAUAGUGAGAUACUUAAUCCAUACACCAAAUUUUGGCAUUUGGUAUCCUAAGAGGGCCUCUUUCGAUCUUGUUGGCUACUCCAACUCGGACUAUGCCGGAGACAAGGUUGAUAGAAAGUCCACUUCGGGUACUUGUCAAUUUCUUGGUAGAUCUCUUGUGUCUUGGUCCUCCAAGAAACAAAACUCGGUAUCCUUAUCCACCGCCGAAGCGGAAUACAUUGCCGCUGGUUCAUGUUGUGCUCAAUUACUUUGGAUGACCCAAACUCUUAAAGAUUAUGGGAUAUAUGUGAAACAUGUUCCAUUGCUUUGUGACAAUGAAAGUGCUAUCAAAAUUGGUCAUAAUCCCGUACAACAUUCUCAAAGUAAGCAUAUCGAAGUUCGUCAUCAUUUCAUUCGAGAUCAUGUUGCUAAGGGUGAUAUUAAUCUUAAGCAUGUUCGCACCGAAAAGCAAUUAGCAGAUAUAUUCACUAAACCUCUUGAUGAGAAAGUGUUUUGCAGGUUGAGAGGAGAAUUGAACAUCAUAUAUGCUUCAAACUUGGAGUAGAAACUCCAUUGGAUACAUGCAAGACAUGAGCUUAUGACUAAUCCUUGAUAUUUCUCUUAUGAUGAAAAUCUGAUGUCUUGGAUAUAUUUGCAACUUGCAUGUUAUCUAACCCAUGUAGGUACUUGGUGGAAUCAAAUUCCAUGAGAUUGCAAUCUACUCACAUCUUGAGCAAUCUCUACAUCACCAAGUUUCUACACUAUGGUGGUUGAAGACAAGGAAGCACGAAACCACUCAAACAUAUCCUUUGACAAAUUCUAUGUUGAGCUUCAUGAUUGUCAUCUUUGGAUACACAAGUGAUCUUCCUUGCAAGAACUAACCCAUGUAGGUAGAUGGACUCAAAUUCCAAGUGGUGCUCCCAACUCUUGAUGAGCUACAUCAACCUUGAGAAACCCACACAAGUUCAACUACAUGGUCAACACCACCAACCAAGGUAUGUUAUUCCAUCUUAGAGAAGCUUUACUCCGAGUCAUGAGCUAAAGAAACUCGACAAGGUGUGAAUACAUCAAGAUGCUUAAACGAAAAAUGGCAACCCCAUUUUGAGCUUAAACGAUGAGUAUGACCUAUGAUCAAGUGAUCUCACUUGACUCCUAAGUCAAUAUACUCUAACAUAGGUGACUUUGUCGCUGACCAUCUCUAGAUAAAGUUCUCUUGUGUUCUUUUCUGUGUUUUUGCAUUUGUCUCAUGCAUAUUUGUUCCCCCUUUCAAAAAAAAAACUUCUUCUAGAUUUCUUUCUGUUUGCUCUGCAUUUUCUGCAUCCAAUUUAUUGCAUAUCAUUCAGUAAAUUCCUUGCAAAUCUUUGUGAGAUCUUACUAGUCUAGUGAGCUGAGGUGACAAGUGUUUUCUCUGUGAUGAACUCGGUUUCACCGAUUUGUUGUUUUAGGUCCAACCGAAGCAUACCACUCGGUGCCACCGAUUUCACAACAGGAAAAACAGUUUGCCACUUAUUCUGUGUUUCCUCUGAUCCAGCUCCACUCAAUGAAUCUUGUCCUCUACAAGCAUCACAUUUUUAUAAAUGCUUUGUGCUGUGACUCAAGGAUCAAACCCUUCUUGGAAAUUGAUGUCAAAGGUGGAGAGAGAGAGAUCACAUCAAAGCUUAUCACUUAGAGAGAUCACAUCAGAGAGAGAGAGAGAGUAUCACCUCCUCAGGGGGAGAAAGAGAUCUCCAGGGGGAGAGAAUACUCAAGUAGAAAGUAUUUCUCAAGGAUCCCAGAUGCUUGGUGUUCAAGAGGAGAGAUGCCACAUGUCUUCUUGAGGGGAAAGGCAUGUUCAUAUGUGCUUAUUUGCAUUAGCUCUGUUCAUUUAUAUCUUUCAGCUCUGAUUUUCUGUUCCCUAUCUUCUCCCAGUAUCCCAUGCUAGAUUCAGGGGAAGCAAGACAUCUAAGGGAAAGAAAUAAUUUAAAUUCAUUGCAUAUCUUUACUCUUGGGGACAUGUCUAAUCCAAUGUGGUACUUAGUACUCACUCUCUACAUGUCAUCCCAGUCUUGGUAUUCUUGUGGUUUCUUCUGAUUGCUCUGGCUAGUAGAUGUACCUGUGUUAUCUAACCUUGUUUGCGCAGGUUCAUUCCAUCCUAAGCCAACUCAAGACUACAAGGUAAGUAUAUGCAUCACAAUCAUGUGUACGAGGAAUUCUUGCUGAUGUACAUACUGUUUGCAAGAAGGACUCAUGAGCAUGAAGGUAUUUUCUUUAAUAUUCUUUGCUCUGAUGCAUAUGGCCAAGAUACAUGUAACACAUUUCCUACUCUAUCAUGGUUAUGCUCUCACAUGCUUCUACAUUCCAUAUUCACAUGAUUGCAUACAUGUAGGGGGAGCCUAUGCCUAUUACAUGUCUUUCCAAAGCUUUACUUGCUAUUCUUUAUAUCUUUAUCUAAAGCUUUGAUGUAUGUUGUCAUCAAUUACCAAAAAGGGGGAGAUUGAAAGCACAAGUGCUCCCUAGGUGGUUUUGGUAAUUAAUGUCAACAUAUCUCUUGUUGGACUAACACUUUUAUCUAGUAUGUUUCAGAUAAGUUCAACAAUGGAGUGGCAUGGACUAAAGGAUGUGGGAACUCCUUCAAGAUGCUAAGGACAAAGGAUUGGCUCAAGCUUCAAGCUCAAGACUCUUCAUUUUACAUUUUAGUGAUCCAAGAUCACAUUGAGUCUAUAGGAAAAGCCAAUACUAUCAAGAAGGGAUGAGGUGUUGCUUAAUGAGUUUCUUGCUCCAUAGUGCUUAGUGAUAUGCUCCGAAACCCUCAACUACUUUCCCACUUCCACACAUAUGACCUAAACCUAAAGUCAAACUCGGCCCCACGGAUUCUUUCUAUCUGGCACCACCGAGUUCAGAUGUCAUAGCCACUGCCACAAACCCUAGGCAAAUCGGUCUCACCGAUAGGGAUCUCGGUCUCACCAAGAUGGGAUUGUAAUCUCUAUGUGUAUGCCCAUUACCAAAAUUGGUUUCACCGAGUUUGAGCAAUCGGUACUACCGAGAUUACAAUGCAAACUUCCUGGUUGACUCAUUACCAAAAUCGGUCCUACCGAGUUUGUGUAAUUGGUCCAACCGAGUUUGCCUGACCAACUCUCUGGUUAGCUAAUUACCAAAAUCGGUCCAACCGAGUUUGUGUAAUCGGUCUCACCGAGAUUACGUUAUGCCCUAACCCUAACCAUAUCGGUCCUACCGAGUUGCAUAUCGGUCCCAUCGAAAAUCCUAACGGUCACUAGAUUUACUGAAUCGGUCCGACCGAGUUUGUUGAUUCGGUCCCACCGAGUUUGGUAAAUUGUGUGUAAUGGUUAGAUUUUGUGUGGAGGCUAUAUAUACCCCUCCACCUCCGCUUCAUUCGUGGAGAGAGCCAUCAGACUGAACCUACACUUCCAGCAUACAUUUUCUGAGAGAGAACUACCUACUCAUGUGUUGAGGCCAAGAUAUUCCAUUCCUACCAUAUGAAUCUUGAUCUCUAGCCUUCCCCAAGUUGUUUUCCACUCAAAUCUUCUUUCCACCAAAUCCAAAUCCAAAUCCUGUGAGAGAGAGUUGAGUGUUGGGGAGACUAUCAUUUGAAGCACAGGAGCAAGGAGUUCAUCAUGAACGCACCAUUUGUUACUUCUUGGAGAGUGGUGUCUCCUAGAUUGACUAGGUGUCACUUGGGAGCCUCCGACAAGAUUGUGGAGUUGAACCAAGGAGUUUGUAAGGGCAAGGAGAUCGCCUACUUCGUGAAGAUCUACCGCUAGUGAGGCAAGUCCUCCGUGGGCGACGGCCAUGGUGGGAUAGACAAGGUUGCUUCUUCGUGGACCCUUCGUGGGUGGAGCCCUUCGUGGACCCGCGCAACCGUUACCCUUCGUGGGUUGAAGUCUCCACCAACGUGGAUGUACGAUAGCACCACCUAUCGGAACCACGCCAAAAACAUCCGUGUCUCCAAUUGCGUUUGAAUCCUCCAAAACCCUUCCCUUUACAUUCUUGCAAGUUGCAUGCUUUACUUUCCGCUGCUCAUAUACUCUUUGCAUGCUUGCUUGUUAUGUAUUGUGAAUGUUAAACUUGUUCCUAAACUCCACUUAAACUUAAGGAAUCUUAAGAACUGCAACUUUGGUACUUAGUGUCUAAUCACCCCCCUCUAGACACCUCUUCUCAAGGUCCUACACUUCUUCGUGGACCCUUCGUGGGUGGAGCCCUCCGUGGACUCGCACAGCCAUUACCCUUCAUGGGUUGAAGUCUCCAUCAACGUGGAUGUACAAUAGCACCACCUAUCAGAACCACGCCAAAAAUCUGUGUGUCUACAUUGCGUUUGCUCCCUCCAAACUCCUCCUCUUUACCUUCAUAUACAAUGAUUUACAUUCUGCUGCUAUACUCUUAGAAUUGCAUGUGUAGGUUGAUUGCUUGACUUGUGUUAAGUUGCUAAAAUCCGCCAAGACAUAAAAUUGGGAAAAGGCUAGAUUUUUAUUCGGUCAAGUAGUCUAAUCACCCCCCUCUAGACAUACUUUCAAUCCUACAUAGGCGCCGGGCUUAGCCUGUGCGUGCGGCGGAGGCACUACUCCCUCUCGCGGGUCAAAGGGUUACGCAGGGCUCCCUGGAUCGAGGGUGUGAUCCCGAUCUGGGCUGUGGUGGCACCGAUCUGGUUCAUGACGGCCCAGAUCUGGACUUCGACGGUGUGGCGGCUGGCCGGCGUCCUAUCGACGGCUGUGUGGUAGUGCUGGCGCUGCUCCUACUGAUCUAGGGCAGAGGGCCUUGGAUCCGGGGUGGCGGCCCCAAGGUGGACCUUCCUGUCUGGUGGCGCAGAGGGGCGGGCGGGCUAUCUGGGAUCGGGUCAGAUGGCCGGCGAUCCACCGACGGGUUGGUACCGCAGCUUGUUGCCUCGACGGCCAACAACGUCGAGCUACUUCUUCCUUCAAUACUUGCAUCAUGCACUCCAUCCUAACGGACAUGGCUGCGCUGCUUGCCGGUCACUGGAUGGGGCGGAGCGGGAGGUGGGGACUCGGAUUGGGAUAAUUCCCUGGUUGGCUCCUGCCGACCGCGACGAUGGUGAUGCCCGAGGGUGUCGUUUCUCUUCCCGGAGACGUUGUUCGGGUCUGCCCCACCUUUUCCCACUCCACAGUUUCUCGGGUGAAAACCCUAGGGCGGCGAUGGCGCUCAUGGCGUCGUGUCCUUCUUAAAGGCACCAUUGAGAGAGCUAAGUGGUUGUGGCCACGGCUUGUGUUCGUGGGUAGUUGUAGUUGGCGUCCCCCUCUUCCUCCAGGAGGCAUCUGCUUUAGGGGAAACCCUGGAUCUGGGUCACCCAGGUGGGAUGAUGACGGAAACUAUGGUGCCAUUCUCCUUCUUGAGGGCAUCGUUUUGGAGCAGGUGCUGAUUGGAAGGGCCCAGAGGCGGAGCGGGGGUUUCAUCUUCCGCAUCGAUGACGACGGGUCUCGGCGGCAUGGCACAGUGGAGGCUUGGCGUCCAAUCUGGGUUGAUGGACUCGCGCAGGAGGGCGACACUGUCUGGCAUCAUGGUGGCGUCAAUGAUAGAGUGGCCUAGUAAGGUUGAUGCAUCAGUUCUGCUGUGAAGAUGGAUCGUUGGAAGAUGGAGGUGACGACCCUUGCAGCGUGCGGUGCUCACUAGGAGUGUGUUGGACCGGUGUGUGACCCAGUCUAGGUAGUGGCUUGGAUGGGGCAUCCGUCUUUAGAUGUUAGGCUUUGGUGCAAGGUCUGUUUGGUAUUAGGCUCGGACAUUCGGCACCCCUUCAUCAAGGGAGGAGUAGCAACAUGUGUUGCCAAGAUGGUGGCUUCAGACUUAUUGAUGUAUUACCUUGUAAGGUCUUUGGAAAUAAUUAAUAAUAUGGUUGCAUGCAUCGUCCAGAUGCAGAGGCCGGGGAUACAUCCUCCUUUUCUAAAAAAUAAAAAAAUGAUGCGAAUCCUGAUGAGGUCAAAAUGGGAUGCCAGGACUAUAGUGUAAUGGUCUGCGGCACUAUAUUAGCAUCCAAACUCAGUGCUUGUACAAGAACAUUUUCAUAUAGGCGAAUUGAGAUGGCAAGAUGGACAUAUCUACAACAAAAAGAUCAAUACAAGCAUACCUGAUUGUUUUCCCCCAAAUUGCAUGUUCUACUUGGUGCAGAUGUAGCUUUCCCAGCACAUGACCUUGAGCAAAUGAGAAGAACAGAAGUCAAAUGUUAUCAGGCACAAAAAGUACUGGUGAAAUAGAAAAAUAUGCGAUUAAAUCAACAAAUUUGUCCUAUCAUUGUCUAGAAGUUGUCGAAACAAAGAACUUACAAUGGAUCACAACCCAUAUUAGGUACAGAGGAAUCACCAUGGAUCUAUGUACAAAAAAAGUUAGCUGGUACAGAGUCUUCCAAACGAGGAAGGAAGCAGGUCACUUACGGUUGCAUUAUUGGGGCUAUUGUCGGGGAAAAUAUACAGGGGCAUAUGUUUUCCCCUGACUCGUGCACGGACAGGCCAAGAUCAAACCCAGAUGUACAAGAAACCAAGAGACUCGAAGAACCAACAAGCAGACUAGAGAGACCAAGGCUAAGCCAGAAGAACAAGAUAUCAUCAAUAAAGGGGCCUCCUUUGCUGGGCAGGCGAGCCCGACAAGGGGCGAGGCCACCCCUAGAAGAAGAUGGCCAAGGCGUCCCGGAGGGCCUGCCGGGACCUGCGGUGGCCAGAUCACCUCCCUGACUGCUCCACCACAACUCACGUCAUCGAUCAGUGCGGUGUCAAGCCGCAGAGUGAUUAAGUGACAACCAUUCACCACAUUGUAGCCACAUUCUACCAAUAGAACCCACAGAUGACACCCGUCCUAUGACAUGUCAGGAAAGCAGGCGUGGAGCUGGCAAGAUGGCCCGGCAAGCCUUGCCGGGCAACCGACGACGUGACACUAAGCGGCGCAUUAAAUGUGCACUAUCAGGCUACAGAGUUAGGUAUGAUAGCGUUGUUUGCUAUCUUAUCAGUGUCUAACGACUAAUUUACCACUAUGGUGACCCCUUAACCUAUAAAAGGAGACCCAUGGCAACGGUUCGAGAGGUUGGAAAGUUGGAUAACUCGCACCCCCGUAUGCGCGUAGUCGCUGCCGCCCUGAGGCAACCCUUGCCGAGCAAGUGUACUACACCCUGCCACCACAUUUCCACCAUCAAUCCACCAAAGCAGGAGUAGGGUUUUACGCCUCGCGGCGGCCCGAACCUGGAUAAAACUGCAUGUGUGAUCUCUGUCGUGCUGCCCCAUGUUGGUCUGCUCUUUGUGCAACGCGACGUCCCCCUGCCAUACCAGCAAGGGGCCUCCCUGGCCCCAUAGGUGGCCGUGGUUUCCCGCGACAUCUUUGGCACGCCAGGAAGGGGGAUUGCUUGUGCGAACCUGAAGACGUGAGUAGCGCGACACCUCCAUCGCCAUCUGCAUCUUCGGCGACACCGUCGACCGUGGCACCACAAGGACACAGAAGCAAAGCGGGGCCAUCCCCAUGCCACGUUGUUGGUCUUCAUGCCUCGCUGUGGCCACAUCUACAACGAUGAUCUCCACUGAUGGCAAGAGACCCGUCCCAGCGAUCCACAUGGUGUCCCCACCAUUCGGGCGCCGCUCGGAGAAAGGGCACGAAACGUGCGGGUGCAAGCUUUCUCCUCCCCGUCCCUUCCUUUCGUCAGCAGUCGAAUCGCUUUAGCCCUGGCGACAUCGAUGUCGAUGAUUACCGCGCAAUGCUCGGUCCAGUAUUUAUCCUAUCUAGGGUAAUCCUGAGUGAAGCGCUGGUAUGAGUCCGUCGAUAGAUUCCCCGGCAAGUGUAUUUCGGUGAGGCUGCCUGCAUCGGCACGACCCAUGCACUAGCAGCCGCUGGACUGACCCGAAAGGAGUAGAGAAAAAGGGAGGAGGACUAGAGAAACCCAACACUAUGCCCCGAUGGCCACUAGCCGUGUGAAAUGCAUAUCGGUCCCUGCCGGGAACGAGGAAACCACCUGAAUGGCUCUUGCUCUGCCAAGCACCGCUGACGCGCCUGGCGUGCGCGGCCCGAUAGAGGAGAAAGAAGCUCAGGACGAAAGCCAAGUUUUCAUUAUCACUCCUUGAUUUGACACAUUAGAGAAUUUUGCAAUUGUUUACCCCUUGGACCUAGCGAGCGUUCGUAUUGUGAAAAUCCUCAUGUGAUGGAACCUUGUUAGCUUCUUUGGUUGCUCCAUCGUCUUGUCCAGAGCCAUGCUCGCAGGACGAGAGGCUGCAUUGAGAACUACUUGGGAAAAACAUGCCGGGAUGCAUCCAUGCCAAGAUGACUGAUAAGGCCGGACCCUUACGACAAUCGCGACAAUAUGAUACUGGCAGGCAUCCAAAGCAUACAUAGGAGACGAUCAUACAAACGCAAACAUACGAGGCUCAGCGGGAUAAACACACAUCUAAGAUACAACUAGGAAUAUCAGUCUCGCACAAACAUCAGAAAUAGAAUAACUAAACACAAAAUGUAUGUCAUGUUUCAUUACAGGGCGACACAAAAGCAACAACGACCCGAUACUUGACUUGGCGACCAGAUGGAGUGAUUCAAACUUGGAGAACCCUGUCGGUCCGUGAUGCGACUUUCUCCUUGGCGGCUGCAAUGUUGGCACCCGCCGACAGCUUCUUGAAUCCGUCGUCGAGGUUGAGGUCUGGGUGGCGGCAGAUGAUAUUGCUCAAGACCAUGAAGAGGGCAUUGCGAGCAAGCUUUCGGGACUCUGUCGUGAAGUGUUGGGCCCUCCCUUCUUUGUGCACUCUCGGCUUCUCGAUCAGCUUGUUGAAGAAGACUCCCAACUUGGCACUUGGGACCUUGUGCUGGCUAAGCAAGAAAAUUGGGCCAUCCAUGCCCAUCUCCACAACUUGGGCACCAAGGUGCUCAGCUAUGUCGAUCAGGCUCUUGAUCCAAAGGUUGCUCAGAUUGACCUGAUUCUUCAGCUUGUCCUCAGCAUCCUGCCAAAGACGCUUGGCAGUGUCCAAAUCCUUGGACAGCAACUGCUGGCAGACUCAAGUGACUCCGCUGAGUGCUCCAAGGUGCCAAUCCUCGCCUUCAUGUUCGAGAUCUCGCCAUUGGCAGCUUCGAGGCUCUGAGUCUUGAAAGAGAUCUGCAAUUGCACGUCAAGAAAGAGAGCCUCCACCUUCCGCGCUUCUUCCUUGAGAGCUUCCAACUCCUUGGCGUUCCCGACAAGCUCUUCCGCCAUCUUGGACACCUGUUGGUCGAGAUCAGUCUUGGCGGUGGACGUGACAGCCAGGUCAUCAGCGAGCUUCUUCAGCCGGGCAGUGGAGUCAGCGGCAAUAGCGUCCAUAGCCUCUUCCUGCUUGUCCUCCAGGUCCUUGGUGCACUGGCAAACGAGAGCCUCCAAUUCACCUCCUUGGUGUGAAGGGUGGCUUCAAGCUUCUCCUCCCGGAGAGAAAUCUCUCACUCUCUGGCGUCCAGGGAUGCCUUGCGAUCUGCCAGGCACGCCUCGAGAGCCAUGACAUCCUCCCGCGUCACCUGGAGCGUCUCUUGCUGCCUCAGGAGCACCUUGAAUUGCUUGUCAUGCCACUCGCGCAGCUCCAAGCCCUUAUCCUUUAGCUCCUGGCUCAUCUUGUCGAGGGAUUCGCGCCAUUCCUUGAGUGCCAGCCACUUCUGAUUGUGCCGGGCCCGCAUCUCCUUCACUUUCGCCGCCAUGGAUUCACGAAGUACAAGUCCAUGGCGACGACAACUGAAUCGUUGGCCUCCCUAGCUCCCUAAUAAAGCGGAGCCAGGAUGCGUUGAAGCUCCUCACCAAGCUCGGCAUCCGUUGUCAGGGACAGGCCGAGGGCUCCAGCUCCGGGCGCCGACAGCAACAUGGCCAGCGUGCUCGAGGAGGACAGCUGGGUCUCAGCAAUGGGCCCGGUAGCAGGGAGUGGGCCCAUGGUCUAAAGAGAGAUCUUCACCUUUAUGACCACUCCCUCUACCGGGACGAUCCCCGGAGAAUGCUCCAUCACCACCAGGGAACCCUGCACUUCCCCGGCAACGAUCCUGUCCCUCCGCGGUAGCGAUGUCUGCUGCCUCCUCCGCGGCAGCCUUGCCUAUGUCAACCACCACCUCCAAUGGUUCUGGCUCUUCGGCUUGGUGGCAUGCGGGCGAGAAGAAUAGAGGACAACAAGGAAGUAGAAGUUAAAAAAAAGAGAAGAAGAAAGUGAAGAAGGAGCAAAUGAAGUACCUGGAGAAGUCUGCUGGGCAGAGGCCUCUGUUUCCCUAGCGACAGCUGUUGCCGGGACCUGAACUUUGCUCGUUGACGUGGUAGUCCCGGCAGUCUUCUAGGCAAAAUCACCUGCAAAGGGUUCCGUGGGGCUCUCUCCAGCUCAAGCAGCAGGGGAAGCAUGCCCCUCGGGGAGGGGCUCGCCCUGCAUCAUCUCACCUCCUCCACUUGGAGGGGCAGGAAGACCAUCUCCAUCACCUCCGACACGUGGAACCGAGUCUCCGCUUUCGGGCCUAGGGCUGGACUGGGGGCUCGGAAGGGGGUCCUCUGCAUCGCUCCCCGCCAAGACCGAGCUCUCUGUGCCCUUCAACGACCCGAGACGCUGGAGCUUCCUCUGGGAGCGAUGGACAAGGGUUUCCGUCUCCUCCUCCACCCCCUGUCGGCAGCAACAAAAGCAAGAGGUCAGUCAGCAAAAAUAAAUGGAUAUGCACAAGCUAUUCACAAAAGAAAUCCUCCUUACUCUUCUGCAAUGAGCAUGGAGUCCAAGUUGAACUCCAUGGGAGGUGAGGGCUCCCUUCUCCUCUUCGGGGGAAGAGGGGCAGAGCUCUCUGGAAGCUGUGGUGCCUGGCGCGGAGCCGGGGGAUCAGACGAAGAUGAGUCCUGUGAAGAACUCGAACUCAAGAUGGAGUCAAGGUCGUCCUACAUGACCGCCGCUCGCUCGGCGGGAGAGGUCUUGGUCUUGGCAAGACGAGGAGAUUGGUGGCACGUCACCUCAGCCUUGGAAGCUUUGGUGGUAGUCUUCUUCACCUUCUUGGUGGCUGGACCGGCAGCGACACGCUUGCGGGUGUGCUGCUCGGGGUCCCGCUCAAGGGCUUGCGGCCCAGCCGCAAGCCACUCCUCAGGCUCCGCCACCUCACCGACCUCAUCCUCCUCCUGGAUCUCGUUUGCUGUCGUGGCUAGGGCAUCUAGCCCGGCAAGAUUGUCCCCGACAAGAUCUUCCCUGGCAUCUCCUUCCGUGGCUUGCGUCUCACUGCUGCCUUUGGAAGAACUCCCGUCCCCAGCCUUCCCCUUGCUCUUUCCAGCCUUCGCAGCCUUCGCCAUCUCCGCAAGGCGGGCCACCUUGGCCUCCUCGAUCCUCCUCAAAAUAUACACCACCUCCAUAGAAGAGGUGGGCUUAUACAUCCUGGUCUCAAUCCUGGUGGCCCUCUCCUCCAGGGUAUUCGACCACUCGAGCUCCUCAUCCAGGGUGGGUAGCUGCCAAUUGCUUGCUACCCCAUCAGCAUUACAGUCCAGCAUCCAUUUCAAUAUCUGGUCUCGGGAAGAACUGAUGUUUAGGGGGAUGACGGUUGCCGGGAGCUUGAACAACUCGAAGUGACCGAAUAGUUGGUCGCACAACCAAUCAUGACCAUAAACCGAUAGGUUAUUGGCCAACCCGAGAAACAACCUCAUCUUGUCUGCCGCAUCGCCAUACAACCACACGGAUCUGUCCCUUUCCUGCAACAACGAGAUGCGGCGGAGAAGGAAGUCCGCUCCCACAUGCUCGAUGGUUAGCCCGGCAGCGCUCAAACGGGUGAUCCUGUUGAUUGCCGGGCGCAGCCUGUCCUCGGUAAGGCCUUUGGUGCUCCAAUCCUUGCCGCGCUCAACACAUUCCUUCCAGGCUUCACAGAAAUCGGGGGCUUCCUUAUCCUGGAUCCAGCACCAAUCACCUCUCCAUUCAUCCCACCUCUCGCGCUAGUACACAAGGAGGUAAUCCCAGAUCUUCCUCGUCAUGCGUGGCAUCCAACUAAUGAUCCCAGAGCAGUAGACUCUGCUCUCCACUCGCGGGACAAAAUAAUGCCGGAACAGAUCCACAUUGGGCUUGACUCCGACGAAAUUCUCGCACAAAUGCGCAAAGAUGGCUAUGGUCACCAUUGCAUUUGGCAUGAAAUCAAGGAGGUGGAAUUUGAAGAUGUUCAUGAUCGCCUCAAAGAACUCGGAGAAAGGGGGACAAAGACCGCAGAUGAAAUAAGCACAGAAGAAUCGAUAAGAAUCCUGUAGAGCCACCUUCGCCGACACAUAAACCACAGGCGCUCCAUGCCCUUUCUCAAUGGGCCUCCCCCACAAAUACCCAUACCUUGCUUGAAGGACUUGGCCGCUCAAAUUUGACGGGGUGAAGAUGACAUCUUCGCUCCACCUCUUGCUAAGCUCCGCCCCUCUCUUGCUCCCAUCGGUGGCGGCCUCCUUCGCCGCGGCCGUCUGCUUCUUCUUAUCCGCGGGUUUCUUCCUCAUUCCAGCGGCGGUGAUGCGGAAGGGAUUGAUAGGGAGGACGACGACAAAAGGGGGAGAGGAGGAACUGUUGCUUGGCUUGCGGAGGAACAUGGGAAAGCAGAGCAGGAGACAGAUGGAUCAUGCCGUUCCAUUUUUCCUUGCUCUUAAGGGGAGAAAGCAGAACGAAGGUGCGACGCUUCAGAAAGUUACCGUUUUACCUCAACUACUACAGUCCCACGACCCCACGAUGCACAGUAAUUACACGAAGUGGAUGUUGGAUUGACCAGUCAUCAUGGCAAACCGGCACGCACAACCCUUUCCUGCCACGUGUCCGCGCAUGGUUUGGGACCAGAACCAAUGUGCCCCGCGACACGUGUGGCUCAGACCCGGGGGCUUAUGUCGGGGAAAAUAUACAGGGGCAUAUGUUUUCUCCUGACUUGUGCACAGACAUGCCAAGAUCAAACCCAGAUGUACAAGAAACCAAGAGACUCGAAGAACCAAAAGCAGAUCAGAGAGACCAAGACCAAGCUAGAAGAACAAGGUAUCAUCAAGAAAGGGCCUCCUUUGCCUGGCAGGCGAGCCUAGCAAGGGGCGAGGCCACCCCCAGAAGAAGAUGACCAAGGCGUCCCGACAGGGCAUGCCGGGACCUGCGGAGGCCAGAUCACCUCCCCGAUCACUCCAUCACAACUCACGUCGUCGAUCAGUGCAGUUUCAAGCCGCAGAGUGAUUAAAUGGCAGCCAUUCGCCACAUGGCAGCCUCUUUCUACCAAUAGAACCCACAGAUGACACGAGUCCUAUGACGUGUCAGGCAAGUAGGCGUGGAGCUGGCAAGAUGGCCCGGCAAGCCUUGCCAGGCAACCGACAACGUGACGCUAAGCGGCGCAUUAAAUGCACAUUGUCAGCCUGCAGAUUUAGGUAUGAUAGCACUGUUUGCUAUCUUAUCAAUGUCUAAUGACUAAUUUGCCACUAUGGUGACCCCUUAACCUAUAAAAGGAGGCCAAUGGCAACGGUUCUAGAGGUUGGAAAGUUGGAUAACUCGCACCCCCGUACGCGCGUAGUCGCUGCCGCCCUGAGGCAACCGUUGUCGGGCGAGUGUACUACGCCCCGCCACCACAUUUCCACCAACAUUCCACCAAAGCAGGAGUAGGGUUUUACGCCUCAUGGCGGCCCGAACCUAGGUAAAAUUGUGUAAGUGCAUCUAGCGCCCCUUAGUGAUUUUGGUGUAUUGAAGACUUAUAGGUUAAGGGAUUGAUGCGUUUGUGAGUGUACACAGGUCUAUAAGUCUAUGAGGAGUUUGAUAUUUACAGAGAAAGUCGACCCCUAAAAAUGAAGUUUCUUCAACUGAAGACUUUGGAUUUCUAAAGACUUUCUGAAGACUUUGAAAGUGAAGAAAUUGGUGUGACCUUGAAGACUUGGAAAUUAUUUGAGGAACAUGAAGCGUGAAGACUGUUGUUUUUAUAGUUUCAUUUUCUCUUUCUUGAGUCAUAGGAAACAUCGUACUGUUAAAGGGGGUCGAGGAAAUACUAAGGAAAAAUUUGCAUGUGAUGCUCAACUCAAAAUCCUACACCUACCAAUCUCUUCGAGUGAAGCCAUUGGAAAUCUCAUAUAGUUCAGUCAUAUUCUUCAAUGACAGAGACGAAGUUCUUCUGGUCUCUGAGGAAUUUGUUCUGACUGAGGAGUUAGGAAUUCGCCAGUGCGGAUUGCCUACACAGUGAGGAACAUGAUAGCCCUGAGGAAUUUGAGAGUCUAAAUUCCGACCGUUGUUGUGCUAUGCGCCAGCUGUCCCAAAAUAUCUACCCACCUAAUGGUCAUAUCAUUGAAGGGCAUUUAUGUCUUAUCAUGUCGGGCUGCUCCCUAGGCUAUAAAUAGCCGCCCCCUACAACCACUAGCUGGUUGGCUGCUCCAAGAGAAACUGACACUUGUCAUUUGAGAGCAUCCCAUCCUCCGAGGACUUUGAGCAAAAAUCAUCGAGUGAGGAAAACCCAAACCCAACACCUACAAACCCAAAGUGAUUGAGCAUCACUGAAGAGAUUGAUCCUGCGUGGAUCCGACGCUUGUUACCUUUCAAGACUGUGCUUCUUCCAGAUGGUUAGGCGUCAUGGUCUAGAGCAUCCAAGAGGAAUUGUGGAUCACCGAGUGACCUAGUCUGUGAAGGUUUGGAAGUCAGCUGAAGACUUACCAUGAGUGAUUGGGCGAGGUCUGAGAGACCUUAGCUCAAGGAGAAUUCGGUGAGGACUAUGUGUCCUCGAGUUUAAAUACUCAGCCGCUCCAACCAGACGUACAACUAAGACAACAGUUGGAACUGGUCUACCAAAUCAUUGUCUUCACCAAGCUUACUGGUUCUAUUUCCUCAAAUCUUUCAUUUCCUCAUUUAUGUUGUUGUGUGCUUGUUCAUAUCUGUUUGAAGACUUUGACUGAAGACUUUCUCAAUUUCCUCAGUUCAAUUUCUUCAGUCUGUCCGUCUUCUUUCUGUGUUUACUGUGUUUACGCUUUCUGUACUCUGUGCUUGUCUUCAUUCCAUCAUGAUGACCAUGCUUGUGUUCUGUUAUGUUUACAUUUGAGUACUUAUUCCGCUGCUAGUAGUUCUUCAUUUAGGAAUUUCCUCACCAGCAAAUUCCUCAGUGAAGAAUUCAUAAAAAUCGCCUAUUCACCCCCUCUAGUCGAUAUAACGCACUUUCAAUUGGUAUCAGAGCAAGGUACUCCCUUGUUCUGUGUGAUUUUGGUUUAACCGCCUGCAGUUUUAGUUAUGUCGACCGCAGGUAUGAUCAAGGUCUCUGCUGGGUGUCCUACCUUCGAUGGAACGGACUACCCCUACUGGAAGAAUAAGAUGCGAAUGCAUCUUGAGACAAUUGAUAAUGAUCUCUGGUAUGUUGUGGAAAAUGGUGUUCCCUCAGUCACACCUUCUCUAAAUGCCACUGAUGUGAAGAGAUUCAAGCAACUCGAUUCUCAAGCGAAGAAUAUCAUAUGUGGCCAUCUGAGCAAAGGGCGGUAUGGAAGAGUGAGUGCUUUGGAAACUGCUAAGCUUAUCUGGGAUAGGAUGUCCAAAGUGAAUGAAGGAGUCUCAACUCAACAUGACUCUCGUGUUGACGUUCUUCGCAAUCUCUUCAACCGCUUCAAAAUACUCGACAAUGAAAAUGUUCUGCAAACCUUCGAUCACCUCACUGACAUCUCAAAUGAGCUUCAAGCGCUUGGCACCAUUGACAUCACCGACCAUGAGGUGGUGAAGAAAUUUCUGAGAUCUCUCGAUUCUUCAUUUGAUACUCUGGCACUGAUGAUUCAAGAACAUGCUGAUUACAUGUCACUUGAUCCCGUUGAUAUCCUCGAGAGGCUAAAUACUCAUGAGUUCCAGCUUGCUGAGAAGAGAGAUCUCUAUGGUUCGAGCUAUGGCAGAUCACGUGCUCUGAAGGCCAAGGCAACCUCUGAGUCUGAAGAUGAGGACUCUGCUAGCAGCCUUGGUGAUCCUAAAGAACUGAGCCAGGAACUAGCACUGCUCGUGAAGAAAUUUUAGAAGUUCUCAAGACGUGGUCGCUUUGGAAAAUCCUCAAGGAGCAAUGAUUCCUCAUCUAGUGACUACAAGAAGAGGCUUUGCCACAAAUGCAAGAAACCUAGUCACUACAUCCAAGAUUGUCCUCAGUGGGAUAAGGAAUCAAAGAAGAAGAAAUACAAGGACUACAACUCUGAUAACGCAAAGAAGAAGAAGAAAUCUUCAAAGUCUUCAUCAUCAAAAUCCUCGAAGUCUUCAUCUCACAAGAAGAGCAGCUCCAAGAAGGCUCGGGCAUUCACUGGUAAGGAAAUGGACUCUGAGGCUGAAUCUGAGGAACAUGAGGACAAGGAGGCAUCUGAGGAGUCCAAGUCUGGUGUGGCGAGCCUAGCUCUCGCUACUGCAUUCGUCAGCAAGUCUAUCUUCAACUCUGAAGAAAAUGGCUUCACCAACAAGGCUGAUGAAGGCAAUGAUGACUACGCUCCCACCUAUUGCUUCAUGCCAAAGGGUGCCAAGGUAACUAAAUACGCCUCCUCUGAAUCUAGUGAGGAUGAAUCUGAUGAAAACCUUAAGCCCAGCUACUCUAAACUUGCUAAGAUUGCUGUGAAACAACAAAAGGCUUUUGAAAAGGUUCAAAACAUGCUAGAUAAAAGUGAUGAUAUGUUGGGUGAAGAAAUGGAUCGCACUAAAACCUUGACUGAAAAUCUUCAGAGACUUCAGUCGAAGUUUGACAACCUUCAAGGUCAUCAUAACACUGUCUUAUCUGAUCACAAGAAACUUUCUUAUGAAUUUCUUCAAAGAAAGCAAGAUCUUGAGAAGUUAAGAGUGUAUUAUGAGGAUCUUCAGAAGGAGCGCAAUUCAUUACUUGCUCAACAAAUCAGCGCUACUCGGGAAGAAUUUGUUCCUCCAUGUUUGAAGUGCAUUGAACGAGAAUCUGCUAAUUCUUCACCUGAAUGUUCAAAUGCUUCUAAUGCUACAAAUUCUUCAUCUGUCUCUGCUAUCACUAAUUCCUCAUCUGAGGACAAUGCAAGUAUCACUGAUGAUGCAGGGCUGAAGGAAUUGUACAUGACAGGCAUGUACAAAAGCCUCAAAGGGCAUCAGACUCUUUGUGAUGUGCUCAAAAAGCAGAUCCUCAACAGAAACCCUAGGAAAGAGGGUAUUGCCUUUGAGAGGAAACUCAAUGCUGAUGGAACAUAUUGGAAGCCUGAGCAGUACCCCAAAACCUCAGGGGUUGCUGCAAAGGGACCUCCAGUUGAUCCAUCCAAUUUAUCUGGAUUUACAUGUUAAUCUCGUCAUUCUUCUGAUGAGUCAUUUGACUCCAACUAUAAACUGUUCAAAAAUCGGAAUGGUGAAGUAUUUGCUAGAUAUGUUGGCACUAACUGCAGGAACGGUUCCCCUAUGAAGAAAAUCUGGGUUCCCAAAAGUUGCCUUUAAAGUCUUCAGGUGAAUGUCCUCAUGACACCACCUGUGAAGAAUAGGAACUCCAGAUCAAAUUCUUCAUAUGGGCCCAAGUCCUCAUACGGACAAAAUUCCUCACGUGGAUCAAAUUCCUCAAAAAGAUCAAAAUCCUCAUAUGAUCAUCAUCGUGCUAACCCUUCUAUUUCGCAGGGUAGAGCUAAGGGCUAUGAAUAUGAGCAUUAUUCUUCUAAUCAUUAUGUUCAUAAGUCCUCGAAGAAUUUCUCUGCUUAUUCAUAUGCUUAUCCUAACCCCUCGUAUGUGAAAAGAAGUGGACUGGCUUCUAUGCCACCGUUCUCACAUGGUGCUCGCAGAGUGAUGAAUUUUUUGCCACCCCUUCAGAUGUGGGUGGUGAAGAAAAAGAACUAAUCUCUUAUGCAGGGUCAGGUCUCCAGACGUGCUUAAAAAGUCUGAGGAAUUUGCUGGAGACCUGAACAGUGCCUGAAAGGAUGCAGGCUAAUCAUGAUGAAAUGAACUUUCAUUUCACACGUCCUCAUACUGUUUAUCUGUUCUAUUGAUCUGAUGAUAUUGAUGUCAUAUUCUUCACUGAUGAAGUAUAUGAGUUCAUAAGUUGCACUAAUUCAUCUACAUGAUGAUCAACCCAAAGCCAAUGAGUGGGUCCUCGAUAGUGGUUGUACGAAUCACAUGACUGGUGACAAGAAUCUAUUGAUGGAUGCUCUUCUAUCACCGUCGCAUCUGAAGCAUAUCAUCUUUGCUGACAAAGGCAAAAGUGAGGUAUUGGGUCUAGGUAAGGUUGCAAUCUCAAAGGAUCGACACAUGGACAAAGUCAUGCUUGUCGAGUCCUUAGGAUACAACCUCAUGUCUGUCUCAAUGCUUUGUGAUCUUGAUAUGGUUGUUGUCUUUGGAAAAUAUCGUUGCGUUGUAAUCAUGGAAGCUGACAAUUCCAAAGUCUUCGAAGGCUUUAGGAGAGGAGACUUGUACAUUGUUGAUUUCUCUAUAGAACCACAACCAGCCGUAUGCCUACUUGCAAAAGCUUCAGAAGGCUGGCUAUGGCAUCGACAACUCGGUCAUGCUGGCAUGAGGAAUUUGCACAUUCUUGCGAAGAAGAAGCAUGUCAUUGGCAUUAAGAAUGUAAAAUUCCUCAAGGAUCACUUAUGCGGAGCCUGUGAAGCUGGAAAGAUGACAAAGGCCAAGCAUCCAGCAAAGACUAUCAUGACUACCACUCGACCAUUUGAAUUGCUUCACAUGGAUCUCUUUGGCCCUAAUCAUUAUUUUGCUGUUACAAAUGAUGCAUCUCUAUAUGGCUUUGUUAUAGUUGAUGAUUAUUCUCGUUACACAUGGGUGCACAUUGUCACUUACAAACAUGAGGUGCAGGAAGUCUUCAAACGAUUUUCCUCGAGGGCUUCAACCAACUUUGGUGUGAAGAUCAAGCACAUCAGAAGUGACAAUGGGACUGAGUUCAAGAAUUCUGGUCUUGAUGAACUUGGUAUUACUCAUGAGUUAUCUGCUCCUUAUACUCCUCAGCAGAAUGGAGUCGUGGAGCGCAAGAACAGAACUCUUGUUGAGAUGGCUCGCACCAUGCUUGAUGAAUACAAGACACCUCGUCGGUUCUGGAUUGAGGCUAUUGAUACUGCGUGCCACAUCAUCAACAGAGUAUAUCUUCACAAAUUCUUCAAGAAGACUGCUUAUGAACUCCUCACUGACAAGAAACCCAAUGUGAGUUACUUCAAGGUCUUCGGUGCUAAAUGUUGGAUUAGAGAUCCUCAUCACAAUUCUAAAUUUGCACCGACAGCACAUGAGGGUUUUAUGCUUGGUUACAGAAAGGACUCGCACACCUACAAAGUCUUCAACAACGUUCUUCACAAGACUGCUUAUGAACUCCUCACUGACAAGAAACCCAAUGUGAGUUACUUCAAGGUCUUCGGUGCUAAAUGUUGGAUUAGAGAUCCUCAUCACAAUUCUAAAUUUGCACCGACAGCACAUGAGGGUUUUAUGCUUGGUUACAGAAAGGACUCGCACACCUAGAAAGUCUUCAACAACGUUCUUCACAAGGUUGUUGAAACUGUAGAUGUGCGGUUCAAUGAAACUAAUGGCUCGCAAAGAGAGCACCUACCUUCUGUGUUAGAUGAACCAGCACCUGAGGAAUCUAUCAAGUUCAAGGCUAAUGAGGAUGUCAUUCCUACCGAAGAAUCUGCUGAAGAAUUCAUUCCAGAACGUCAAGAACGUCGAGCUGGCGCACCUGAAGAAAAUGGUGCUGAGGAAAAUGCUCCGGAAGAGAAUGUGGAUCAAAUUCCUCGAAGACAACCCGCUCAUCCUCGCAUUGCAAAUGAAGUGCAAAUCAAGAAGAUCAUCAAUGACAUUGAAGCACCAGGUCCUCUCACACGCUCAAAAUCUUCACAUUUGUCUAACUUUUGUGGGCACUUUGCUUUUGUCUCUAUCACAGAGCCCACUAAGGUAGAUGAAGCAUUUCUGGAGCCUGAGUGGAUUCAAGCUAUGCAAGAAGAAUUACAUCAGUUCAAGUUCAACAACGUUUGGGAACUGGUUAAACGUCCAGAUCCUCACAAGCACAACAUUGUUGGCACAAAGUGGAUCUACCGCAACAAGCAAGAUAAAAAUGGCCUUGUGGUGAGGAAUAAGGCACGGCUUGUAGCUCAAGGCUACACACAUGUUGAAGGAAUUGACUUCGAUGAAACUUUUGCACCUGUUGCUAGACUUGAGGCUAUUCGCGUAUUACUUGCUUAUGCUAACCAUCAUGAUAUUAUCUUACAACAAAUGGAUAUGAAAAGUGCAUUCCUCAAUGGUAAGCUUGAGGAAGAAGUAUAUGUUGCUCAACCCCCAGGUUUUGAAGAUCCAAAGCAUCCUGACAAAGUCUUCAGACUCAGUAAGGCCCUGUAUGGCCUCAAGCAGGCCCCUCGGUCGUGGUAUGACACUUUGAAGGAAUUUCUCAUGAAUAAAGGCUUCAAACCCGGUUCACUCGACCCUACUCUUUUCACUAAAUCUUAUGAUGGUGAAUUGUUUGUGUGCCAAAUUUAUGUUGAUGAUAUCAUUUUUGGCUGUACUGACCAACGAUACAUUGAUGAAUUUGCCUAUAUGAUGAGUGAAGAAUAUCAAAUGUCUAUGAUGGGAGAAUUGAAAUUCUUUUCAGGUCUUCAAAUUCGUCAACAGUGCAAUGCCAUAUUCAUAUCUCAGGAGAAAUACCUCAAGGAUGUAUUGAGGAAAUUCGGCAUGCAAGAUUGCAAAGGGGUCAAAAUUCCAAUGCCCGCAAAUGGCCAUCUAUGCACUGAUGAAAAUGGUAAAGACUUCGAUCAAAAGGUAUACCGCUCCAUGAUUGGCUCUUUAUUGUACCUAUGUGCAUCUAGGCUGGAUAUUAUGCUUAGUGUUUGCAUGUGUGCCUGAUUUCAAGCUACACCGAAGGAAUCACACCAUAAGGCUGUGAAGCAUAUUCUUCGAUAUCUAGCUCACACACCAACACUUGGAUUAUGGUAUCCCAAGGGCUCUUCGUUUGAUCUCAUUGGAUAUUCAGACUCUGACUAUGCUGGCGAUCGUGUGGACCGCAAAUCAACGUCAGGCACAUGCCAUUUCCUUGGACGAUCUUUGGUCUGUUGGUCCUCGAAGAAACAAAACUGCGUAUCACUCUGCAUUGUAGAAGCUGAGUACAUUGCUGCUGGAUCGUGCUGUGCUCAACUACUAUGGAUGAAGCAAACACUCAAGGACUAUGGCGUCAACGUGAAGAAUGUGCCUCUCUACUGCGACAAUGAGAGUGCCAUCAAGAUUGCUCAUAACCCAGUUCAGCACUCGAAGACCAAGCACAUCCAGAUUCGUCAUCAUUUUCUUCGUGAUCAUGUGUUGAAGGGCGACAUCUCCAUCAACCACGUUAGCACUGAAGACCAACUGGCCGAUAUCUUCACUAAGCCCUUGGAUGAGAAGAGAUUUAGCAAGUUGCGAUGUGAGCUAAAUAUCCUAGAAUCUUCUAAUGUUCUCUGAAAUGGACACACAUCCUAACACUUAUGCUGACUUGAUGACUUAGAUGCGCAACACACGAAGUAACAUUUUUCUUCAAUCAAUGAAGACUAACCCUCUAAGUGUGAAGAAAUUAAUGAAGAAAUUGAUUCUCAGAGCCCUACGACAAUUGUACGCGGUGUCUGAAAUCAUCUUUCUUAUACGGUGGGUUACGCCACCAACCAAAGUUGAAAAUCUUCAAUUUGAGUUUUUCUUUGUUUUUGAAAUUCCUCAGUUUUUCAAAUUCUUUAACUUUGCAUUGUCUUCACUCUUUCCGGUGUUGUUCUUCAUUUGAAUAGAUAUAUAUGAGUUUAUGUCCUCUACAACAUUCAAUUAUUGCUAUUUCUUCAAGUUGAGUUCUUCUGCUAAGUGAAUGUGAUCGGGCCCUUCCCCCUCUAUGCUAAACUCAACCCAGUCUGUUCACAAAUUCUUCAUGUGCGUUCUCUUUGAAACUCGUUCAAAAUCUUUACUGUGUCCUUGAUAGCUGAAGAAAUUGCGAACGAAACUUUUAACUUAUCUUAUCUGAAUUUUCAGCUUUGCCACUCAAACCGUUUCGCUUCUCACGACAAUACUUAUCUAUUCACCCACGAUCCUACACGAUCGCCACCUCUCAGUACGUGGGUGACACAUGUCAAGCGAAUGAGAAGGGCCAGGGGCACGUUCGUCCGAUUUCCUCGGGCGUACAGUUUUUCACUCCCACUAUAAAUACCCCUGCCUCUUCCUCACUUCGUUUUUACUCCACUCGCUCUCACUCUUGCUCGAGCUCCCCAAACCCUAGCACCGCUGCUACUUCAUCAUCGCUGGUGAGGAAGAGCUUCACUGCCUUGACCUCGUCGCUGUAGUACUCGCGCCGGUUGCAGAUUUCCUCACUCCGCCGCCGCCAUAGCCGUCUUCCUCUGCCGAGUUAGGGCGUGGAAGAUCUGAACUAACGAACUUCACAUCUACACUUCCCAGUUCAUCGUGUUCUUCAUCUCGGGUAAUUAAAAGUUACUUUUACUGCCCUAUUUGAUUCAUAUGUUUUCGUGAAAAUUUUCAAAGGUGUUUAUUCUUCAAAUCUUCACACACAUGAACACCUCACAUGUCAUCUGCUCUUGAUUCGUUUCUCUAAGCAAUGAUUUUCUUCAAGAUUCCUCAGUUGUGUGGAUUUUCAAUCUAUACAACUCUGGAACCUAAGAUAAAGAACGCUUAGUGAAAUUCCUCAAGACUCAUCUGGUCAAAUUCCUCAAACCUAUUCUUUUUUUGAAAAACCUUCUGAGAACGCAUAUGACCUCUCCAAAUUCCUUGCAACCAUACUCUAUUCACAGGUACAAAUGUCUGCUGCUGAAUCACUAGGUUCUCAUCAACUUAACUCAUUCACAGCGUUCCUCGAAGAAAAGUUGCACACCUCUUCAGAAACUUCAGUUGUUCAUAUUCCUCAGCUGAAGAAAACGGCUGAAGGUAAGAAGCCACAGAAGGGUGGAAAGAGGCCUGAGGUCAAUACUGCUUUCGAAAUCCCUGAGGACAUUUAUGCUGGAUACUGCACUCCUGAUGAGGCCAAAUUUGACAAGGAGGACAAAAAUCAGCGCAAGGUGCGCAUACAAAGGAUUGAGAGGAGAUGGGCACGGGAAUGGAGGGAGUACAGGUAUGUUACUCCCAAGUAUAUGAAGAAAUUCACACUCAAUCCUCCAUGCUCAAGACCUCCAUUGGCACCAGGCCAAUUGGCAGAUCCCACCAGCCUCAAGCGCGGUGAGGACUAUGCUGAUGAAUGGGCAAAGCGCCAGGCCAAACUAGCCAAGCAAGCAAAGGAAGCAGUGAGGAAAUUCAAUGCAGACUCUGCUGCUGCUGCUGCUGCUACCGCUGCUGAGGCCUCUGCUAGUCAGCCGAAGAAGGCGAUGCCUAAGAAGCCUGCGCAUAAGUCAAGUGCUUCUCCCUCAAUGCCCCCACGGCCAAGUUCCUCAGCAAUGCCCUCAAGGCCAGAUUCUUCAAAGCCCUCACGACCAAUUCCUCAGUCUGCGCCUCCUUCCAAGUCCUCAGCUCCUCCAACAAAGUCUUCAGCUGCUCCGACCAAAUCCUCUGCACCUGUGCAUCUCUCGAUGUGCCAAAGGACUACAGGCAUCUCAAUUGCCUCAGGAGCAUCUGCAAGUUCCUUAGCUGCUCCAAAUUCCUCAGCUGGCCCCUCUCCGUUGAAGAAAAAGGCCACUACUGGACGAGGCCUUCGACCAAGUCCUCACAAGAAGCAGGUCGCCUUCCAAGUGCCCUCUGAUGAUGAUGAGGCUGAUGAUGAAGAACUUGCCGAAAUCAUCAGAGACAGGCAGGCCAGGGCCGCUAGAGCCAAAUGCAGCAAUGUGCCACUGCUAUUGGAUCCAAAGUUGAUCCUCGACUUCAUUGAACUAUGGCACAAGGACCCUAACACGCCUUGGCCGGAGAUGAACCUCACUCCUGGUCAAAGUCAUGUUCUGACUGCCUUCAUUGAGGAAGAAAAAUGGAAAUUUUAAGAAGGCAGAAGGCUGAAGAAAGCGCAGUACAA
rnacentral:lncRNA from 1 species